rnacentral:lncRNA from 1 species
GUGGUGACCGAGGGUAUCUAGUAGGAUCGCAUCUUACUUACGCAAACACCACAACGGAGAUAUAUGAGUUGCUAUUUAACCUCAUCCAAGGACCUCCUCGGUCAAAUCCGAUUCAACUAAAGUUGGAGAAACAGUCACUUGCCAGUCAUCUUUGAGCAAAGGGGGUUACUCGUAACGAUGAAACCAGUCUCUCGUAAGCGUACGAGUAAUGUCGGUCCAAGCCGCUUCAAUCCAACAAUACCGCGGAAUCAAGAAAAGACUAAGGAGGGCAGCAAAACGCACAUCACCGCCCACAAAACCUUUUGUGUUCUACUCGAGAAGACAUCUACGCAUGAACCUAGCUCAUGAUGCCACUGUUGGGGAACGUCGCAAGGGAAACAAAAAUUUUCCUACGCGCACGAAGACCUAUCAUGGUGAUGUCCAUCUACGAGAGGGGAUGAGUGAUCUACGUACCCUUGUAGAUCGUACAGCAGAAGCGUUAGUGAACGCGGUUGAUGUAGUGGAACGUCCUCACGUCCCUCGAUCCGCCCCGCGAACAAUCCCGCGAUCAGUCCCACGAUCUAGUACCGAACGGACGGCACCUCCGCGUUCAGCACACGUACAACUCGACGAUGAUCUCGGCCUUCUUGAUCCAGCAAGAGAGACGGAGAGGUAGAAGAGUUCUCCGGCAGCGUGACGGCGCUCCGGAGGUUGGUGAUGAUCUCGUCUCAGCAGGGCUCCGCCCGAGCUCCGCAGAAACGCGAUCUAGAGGAAAAACUAUGGAGGUAUGUGGUCGGGCUGCCGUGGAAAAGUCGUCUCAAAUCAGCCCUAAUAUCUCCGUAUAUAUAGGUGGGAGGGAGGGGAGGAGGCAGCCUCAAAACCUAAAGGUUUGGCCGAAAUUGGAGGUGGAGGAGUCCUACUCCAAUCCUACUUGGAGUAGGAUUCCACCUUCCCACUUGGAAACUCUUUCCACCUUGUGUUUUUUCCUUCUCAAACCUUAUGGGCCUUAGUGGGAACUUAUUCCAGCCCACUAGGGGCUGGUUUAUCUCUUCCAUAGCCCAUGAGACCCCUUGGGCGUGACACCCCUCGAUGGUCCCCCGGCACCCCUCCCGGCACUCCCGGUACACUACCCGAUGGAGCCCCCGGAAAACUUUUUUCCCGGGUAAAUUCGGCCAACCGGAAAAAAACCCUUUCCCGGGUAAAACCCAAAAAUUGGAAGGUCAAUCCGUAAUAUAUCAAUCUUCGUUUCCGGACCAUUCCCGGAAACCCUCGUGACGUCCGUGAUNNNNNNNNNNNNNNNNNNNNNNNNNNNNNNNNNNNNNNNNNNNNNNNNNNNNNNNNNNNNNNNNNNNNNNNNNNNNNNNNNNNNNNNNNNNNNNNNNNNNGACGGGCCGGACACGGCCGACUCCGACCUCGCACCUCCACCACCUCGCCUCCCAACCUACGUCCCGCCGGACCAACGCUCCCCCCGGUCCCAAGUCCCCUCCCCUCACCUCCACACACCACGCCUAACNCCACCGGUAACCGGCCACCCACUACGGACGACACUGCCCACCACCACCACCACUCCACUACAAGGCACCAGCGCAAGCCCGACGCAGAAAACCUAGGCUCGAGCCCGGCCCGGUCCGGUCGUCUAGGCCUACGAUCUCAGGCCCAGGUCCGGCCCAUCACUGCUAAUUUCUGUCGGGCUUCGGGCCUCGGGUCGGGCCCCUUCCUUAAAACGCAAAAACAGCAAGCCCAUGCCCUACCCGAAAUACUCUUCGGGCUCAAAAUUUAGGCCCGGGCAUGGGCAAGGUCGGGCCGGGCCGACCGGGCCGGGCUGCCCAUUGCUAGAUAUACGCCUCCCAUCCCUAGUGCCUCUUCGCCGACGUACUUGUCGGUGUUGGUCUUCGGUUGAACUGUUUGGGUCUAAUAUUUUUCGCCUUCGUUCGCGUGGUUACUCGUUUAAUCUUUCCGGUCUACGACUCUCUUCAUCGGUGGUAGUUACUGAUCUCGUGCGUUGUUCCUUAAAGUCUUUAGUAUGAUGGUUUUUUAACUGUCUACUAUAAUAAGGUUUUGUCUGACUUUAAUAAAAAAAGACGAUGACGAGAUGCAAUGGCAGACCUAAAUAUGACAGGUCCCAUGCCUUUUCACACCAUCUUCCAGUAUUAUAGCUAGAGUGCUACACUAUAGCUAUAGUCAACGAAGAAAAUGAUCUACACGCCAAGGCAGCCGCCCGGGCUGACUGGGCCUAAGAGCAUAUAUAUAUACCGGUUGAGGUUUGUUUUCUUCCGAGUCAUGGUAAAAAAUUACGGACCAGAUACGUGAUGCACGGUCUGUUUUGACUAGCAAAACGGACCGAAUCCGUACACUUAUCGAAAUUAUCGGGCAACUCUAUUACAGGGUCUGCUAGAGAUGUUCUAGAUCCGCGUGUGACUGGAUGGGCAUUCGACUCGAUGCAGUACCUGUAGCUGUCGCUGUUAACCUGGUUGUAAUUUUUAUAACAUAUGUUCUUUGUACUGCCAUUACUAAUUACAAAUAGAUUGAAAAGCUCUCAUAAAAAAAAGUGAUCCCAUAACUUUUAAUUAUUGUAAUACAUGUAUCAUUUGCAAAAUGUUUUGUAAAACUUUUAUAAGUUUAUACCGAGUAUUUUUCAGAAACAAAUAUUUAAGUGUAGUACAUUUGUAUUUUUUUAUUAGUUUUAACUAUGUAUGCAGCACUUAAUUGUAUAUAUACUACUGUAUUUGUUAAUGAAAAAUUACUGCACUGAUGCGUGGGUAUCAUGAGCGCAUGGCCGAGGUUACACUGGAUCUCAGUCGACCGAGCAGAUUAAAUACGUCUUGUCUCCAACGGGGACAUGUUGUUGGCACCGGCACGCGUCGACCUCCCCACCGGCUACCCUCCCCUGGCCUAGCCAGCUCACCGCGGGCAACCGCCUCGCGGCGCGACGCGUGCCACGGCGCGCGCGUACGUGGCGCCUCGCCGCGCUAAACAAAAUGGCCGCGCCGGUCGGCGGAUCGAGACCGAGAGAGAGAGCACACCAACCUCCGCCUCCAUUCACUCGCGGAGCACAGAUUCCCGGCCGACUCGCCGUCGCUGUCCCGGUGGUGCCCGCGACAGUGAUCGGAGGACGAUGGUGGUGACCGUGGCAGCGACGGGGCCGGACACGGCCGAGACGCUGCACUCCACCACCUUCGCCUCCCGCUACGUCCGCGACCAGCUCCCCCGGUCAGUCACCCUCCUCUCCUCCACACACCACGCCUACUCCUACCGGUAACCGGCCACCCACUACCCCACCACCACCACCACCACCACUCCACUACAAGGCACACAGGGGAUAGGNNNNNNNNNNNNNNNNNNNNNNNNNNNNNNNNNNNNNNNNNNNNNNNNNNNNNNNNNNNNNNNNNNNNNNNNNNNNNNNNNNNNNNNNNNNNNNNNNNNNAAUUGAUCUAUGAUAGCUGGCGCGGUGGAAACCACCCAAGUGUCKYYUYGCUCGCCCGCCCUCGCCGCCUCGCUCGCCCGCUUAACGCCGCAAAUUUCUACAGAGUUUACAGAGUAUAAACUUUGUAUAUACAAUUCCAAACAUAUACAAUACAAAAAUAUAACUGAUGGUGUAUCCAAUGACAUGCAUUUCGUAAGUUAAUGGACAUAAUUUGUGUGUAAACAAGGUCAAAGUUUGUGAUUUUUGACUUUUGAAAAAAAUCUAUACAUACUACAUUAUGGAAUGGAUGGAGUAUAAAUUUUCUUGACAUGGAUUGUUUAAGUUGUAGGAAUAAAUCCCAUAUGGUAUAGUUUUUUCAUUGAUGUUUAUUUUUUUAUCGGGACAAUAACUCCAAUAACAUAAACUUCCUUAAAGACUUUCACACAAUCCAUGUUUGUUUUAAUGAAUGUCCUCAACAACCAUACACUGCACUACCACCAAUUUAUAUGCCGUGUUCUCUGCAUGCUUCAGACUCACUGAGUUUUGACACAUCUGAGAAACCACCUGUUAGCAAAAGAGGGAAAGCACUAUGCAAGAACAAAGAAAAAGAAAUAAAGAAAGGGAGGUCAUCACUUCAUCUUGAGAAUAGAAGACGUCGGGAAGAAAACGCUCAGUUGAUGCGACCGCUAGCAUCCCACGAAGAGAAAACAUAUUGUCGAGCCCUAUGAUUUCUCGAUGCACCUGCACAGUCCCGGGUCUCAUACUCGUGUGGUUAGUACACACGGCAGUGAUGAGAAAAAAAAGUAUGGUCUAAAACGUAUAAUCAUUUGAAUUUACAUAAAAAAUGACUUAGUUUAACAAAAACGGUAAAAUAACUUAGGGUAAGAAUUAGUUUAACAAAAACGGUAAAAUAACUCCCUCUCCGUGACGCCGUCGUCUGCCGCCCCGUCUCGCGCUCUACCGCGACACCCUCUCCCACCCUUCCUCGCCCCCUCCUUUUGCCACCGCCCUUUCGCCACCGCCACCGCCACCGUCCCCCUUCUUCACUUAAUUAAUUUGUUUUUACUACAUGUUUUCAGGACUGACAUAAUGGCGGACGAUAGAGCUGACCCGAUUAUGGACAACUAUGAUCCGGACGGUGAAGCACAUAUGUUCGGCAUCAUAAACGGCGAUAUUCUAUAUGUGCCGACCGGAGAAGAAGAAGAUGAUAUCUCUUCUUAUCUGAACCUUGACGGUGAAGAUGAAGGGCGCCGUCGGCAAGAUGAUGCCGAACAAACGUCGAUAAACGACGAUCUUCAAAUGGAAGUAGCAACCACCUCCGGCGCCGAGGUAUAUAUACAUUGAGCCUCUGGUGAUACAAACUAACUGAUUUGAAUAAAUAUGUGUGUACUAACGCGCGCUACUCUCUUUCUUAUUUUAGCCCUCGGCCGGAUCGUCGAAACAAUCGAGUACGUCGUCAAAGCGUGGCGCAACCAAGACGAUGAAACAAGGAGAAACAUGCACCAUCGAGGUUGUCGAUAGUGCAACCGGCAGGCCGCUGGAGCCCCGCAAGAACGCCACCAAGUUUGUCAGCCAAUGCGGAGCCGUUGUUAGAGACAACGUCUCGAUCACCGUCCAGGAGUGGAAUGAGCCAAAGAAGGCACGAAUUGCUGGUUUCACUUUUGUCGAUAAGAGAACAAAAAAAGAUUGCUUCAUGAGAAAUGGAAGGCGGACUGCAAGAAGAAAAGAGAGCCCGAGCCCAAGCCAGUAUUUUCUGAUGAGCAAAAGAAGUGGGCUAAGUCAUUUUUGAGCACACCGUCCCAAGCCGCGAAGAAUCUGCCUGACGACUAUGCACGUGAACUUCGUAGGCAGGCAUUCAUGUUGAAGGAGAAGAAAGAGCGGGCGGAGAACCAGGAGAACAAAGCCUUGGAGGAGGCCGAGAAAACGGAAUUAGAAAGUAAAAAAAGCGGGAAACGAGUUGCCCAGCUCGGGGAACAAAGUAAACAAUCGAUUGCCCCGCUUAUAGUGAAAGCCGCCGGUCCGGAUGACCCCGAUAUCAUAGCAGCUGCGGCAGCACAUGGAUUGACUGUAACGAGUGCCAGAGAACAAACGGCCAACUUAGGUAUUACUCUUCGUGAAAUGUUAGGCCUUGAUGAGGCGCCAGUGAAGGAGGUAGUAAUUACAUAUGUGAAGAAUGGGCCUCUCAUCGAGCCUGCGCAGGAAGAGGAUCUACCUCCACAAAUGAAAGGUCUGCUGAAAUGGUACAAGGGUUACAUAAAAAAUAAAAACGCCAAAGAUUAUAUUUAUGCGGAAGUUAGAUAUGAGCAUCACUUCAAACAUUACUAUGUACAAAUUCAUCUGAGUGAAUUGUUCCAGCUUUUCAAUCUGCGGCGAGCUCGACAAAUCUAUCAUCAGUUGCUACGUUCUGUAAGUGAUUUAUUUAUACCCCAUCUCGUUCAUAUUGCCUGCACUAUAUAUAUGUCGUAACUAUAUUGUUGUGUCUGCUAUUAUACAUGCAGAAUGAAGAUUAAGGAAUGCAGAGUAAGGAACAUCCAUGAUGUUGGGUUCAUUGACCCACACAUCGUUAAUGGAUAUGUGUUGGAGCAUCACCCCGCCGACAUGGAGGCAGACCUGUGGCAGUUUCUUACAAAGCAGGAACUCAAAAGUGAUAUUCUAUUUCCUUACCAUUUUGGGUGAGUGUUUCUGUCUUGAGCACAUUCUCUUUUGUUUACUCCAUGCAUGGUAUGUGGCCGGCUAAUCGAUGAGUUAUGCAUGACGUACUGUGCAUGUAUCGUGUCCGCAGGUUCCAUUGGAUUCUGCUAGUAAUUAAAGUUGACACCUCAGAAUGUCUCGUCCACGACUCUCUGAAUAUGGAUCCAAAGCUUUGGGGCGGCAUGAGAAGAAUGCUGCAGAAGUAAUUAUUUUCAUUCAUUUGCGCUCUAUAUCGAUCGGCCUAUUUCGUUCAUUUCCUAAUAUCAAGUAACUAAUAACUCUCUUGUUCAUUUAAUUUUCUUUGCCUCGUAGGGUUUGGAGACGGUUCGUAGAUACAAAGGUCGGUGAAUUCAAAAAAGAGCUAGAAUUCAAAAGGUCAAAGGCUAAAAAUGGUGGGGAUAUUCAGCCAGCGGGGACCAAUCUAUGUGGAUACUAUGUCUGUGAGAUGAUCCGGAGAUACACCUCUGAGCGGGUUCCGAGUGAUACCAAUGCUCAGCGGAAUAACCUCCGGGUGAUGCUUAGUCCAGAAGCUCGCUUCCAACCACUUCAAGAGGAACUAGCUGGAUGGUUCAGGAGGGAAGUCCUCCAUCGUAAAGGAGAACACCAUUACGAGGACGUAGAACUUUAUAUGCAUUAAAUUAUGUAUGGAAACUUGUUCAAAAUUGUAUAUGGUCAUCCGAUGAUAUUGAAUAUAUAUUGUAUAUUCCUCUUGAAUUCUUUUUGGUUCUAAUUUCAAAUUUGUUUGUAAAUUGUACAUUCAUAUGCAUGUAUGUAGUACCGUAGAAUAUGUGAAACUCUUCAAAUUAAAAUAAAGCAACAAAAAGAAAUAAAAACAAUACAAAUUAAAACAAGAAAAAACGAAGGGUUUAAGGGGGGGGGGGGGACGUAAACCUGUGGCGGCCGUUAGUUCGCGGUUGGCCAGAAACGCGACUAAGUACUCCGCCCGACCGGCCGCCGUCGGCCGGCCCNNNNNNNNNNNNNNNNNNNNNNNNNNNNNNNNNNNNNNNNNNNNNNNNNNNNNNNNNNNNNNNNNNNNNNNNNNNNNNNNNNNNNNNNNNNNNNNNNNNNUCAAAAACGACUCAACUUUGCACUAACUUUAGUACAAAGUUGAGUCACUUAUUUUGGGACGGAGGGAGUAUAAUUUAGAUGCAUAGUUGCAUACCUCACCAUUCCUAAUCUAUUGACUCUCUUUAAUAAAAACGUUGUUCCUUGAGAACAAAAUAUUAUUAUGUUUACAUCAAAUUUAGGCUCUCUUUGGUUUACAGGAAUUUGUAAGAAUUCUAUAGGGUAGGAUUCCUUUAGGAAAAUUUCCUUUUGAGCCCUUUGAUUUGUAGGAAUGAGAUUCAUAUUCCUAUGUAGAAUUGAUUCCUAUCCUUCACAUUUCAAAGGAGAAAAAAAACAUUAGCUAAGACCUAAUGGAAAAGUUCCUAUCCUAUGAGCCAAAUGACAUCUCUUUUCCUAUUGGAACUGAGAUACAUGUCAUCCCGUUUCCUAUGACUUCCCUAUUCCUACAAUAUUCCUAUCCUAUGAACCAAAGGCGUCCAUGCAUAUAUUUUACAAAAGUAUAGUGCACUCUGAGCAAGUGGUUACCAGAAUUGUGCCUCUCAUCAUGGGGAUCUUGUUAGGACGAACAUCGUCAGGACAAGGAUGAACAUCGUCAGGACAAGGAUGAAGAACCAGGAGAUAGGGAGAUGGAUCUUCUGGAACUCGCUCUUCAAACUGGAAGACACAAAAAUCAGUCAAAGUAUUAAUCGAUGUCAACAUGCGUCAUAACUGUAGUACAAUGUUAAGGAGUCAUGGCAUACAACAUACCUCUUCCAAUAAUGCAUGACCGUCUGGGAGCACAUACCUGUAAUAACAACUAUGCAAUCUUAGUGGGGCACUGCUGACUUCUGAGGACAAAAUCUCAAUAUAUCAGGAAAGUAUAUCAUUACGUACGCAAGGUGCUCUGUCCUAAGACGCCCUAUGUGUUUCAGGUUUCUGCUUGUAUGUUGUGAAUUGCUCAAUGCCAAAUCUUUUCCAUGAUUUGGUGUCCAAGAGCAAUUGCUCACCAUAGGCUUGUUUGAACACAGAUUUAUUUCAACGUCGUAGUGUACUCUUUUUGACAUGAUGUCUUCAAUAUCAACAAGAUCAUCUUCAUUGGGAUAUUCUUGCUCAUCAAGUGCUUCAUAUUCAUAUUCGGGACUUGGUGGCACCUCAAUAAUGGGCUCACAGCUGCGGGAGGGUUGUCUGCCAGCAGCCCUGCUUUCUUCGAUUUGAUGUUGCCACACUUGCAGACUUGGCAUGCAACUACCAUUUGACAACAGUCUUUCAGAAGUAACCAUACUUUUUUUCUCUUCACCACCACGCACAUGCUCCUCUGCAGGAGGAAGUAAUGGUCUGAUAACAAGCAAAUGUUAUUGUUCCGUGCUUCACUCUAAAAUUAGUCCAAAUCAAUAAAUAAAAAGUUCACCAUGCAAAUAUCGACUCCACAAGAAAGACACAAAUCUUAUAUGAGUACUCAUCUUUGUAUAUUGCACCUUCUAAAAGGUUUUACUUCACUUAGUAAUUUCCAAUCCUUUGUUAAAGACAUAUCACUUGAAUGACAUAUAGCACUUGAAUGACAUAGGUGUUAAAGACAUAAACACCUAUGUCACAGUACUACCUAGUUCAUUGGCAGCCACUCAAAUUCAAACAGCAUCCGCCAAAAAAAAGGUAGAAUAUCACCAAAGAACUAGCCAUGGACAGGGCUGCGAGUUAGUUAGCUAUCCACGUGCCAUGACCAUGAGUUGGUUUCGAGAUCUUAUGGAUUUCAGCUCUAGCCUACCCCAACUUGAUUCGGACUAAAGGCUUAGCUGUUGUUGCUGCGAGAGUUCACUACGUACCAUAACAAUAGUAUCUCGGUAUGUUGCUGAAAUAAGCUCAAGUAAAUAACUUUGCAACAUGUGAACAUACCUGGUAAGUUUACUUUUGUAGUACCUGCAGUCCCCACGGAAUGGGCAAGCAUUGCAAUUUGGAUCUACUUUUGUGCAAAUUACCUGCAUAAUGGAAGCAUCCACCAUAAAAACAUUUKKAGCUAAAACUAUCAAUUAAAUUUUUAACUAAUCUACUUUUUGUGGAUUAGCUAAAUACCUUUCCWAAAGUUAAUUCAUGAGACAGUGUAGUUCAUACCUUAUUAUUUUACUAUAUUCGUUCAGUAUGUGUCUUACUAAAUUUACUUAAAGUUAACNNNNNNNNNNNNNNNNNNNNNNNNNNNNNNNNNNNNNNNNNNNNNNNNNNNNNNNNNNNNNNNNNNNNNNNNNNNNNNNNNNNNNNNNNNNNNNNNNNNNCAGGAUGGACGUGAACUGGGCCUGCCCCUGCCCACCGGAAUCUCCUGAGGCUGCGUGGGCGCGCUCCUCGCCGUCCUGCCCGCAUAUGCUUCCGCGCCGUCUGCCGCACCUGGAGGGAAGCCAUCCCGGAAGAGCAAGCCCGCGCGAUGCCGGCGCCGUGGGUCAUCGUACCCCGCGUCGACGGCUGCACCGACUCCUUCCUCGUACUCUCCGCGCCCACCAUGAACUCCUUCCGGUGGACGCCCCCGGACGGUGCGCGCGCCCGCUGCGUCGGCUCCAACGGCUCCUGGCUCGCCAUCGUCACCGUCGUCGACGUCCGGAGCCUCGCCAUCUCGCUCGUCAACCCGCUCACCGACGCGCGCGUCGAGCUCCCGCUCAUCACCGGCUGGCGAUGGGCGUUGGAUACCGAGCACGAUCUCGAGUUCGAGCUCGACGUCGUUGUCCGGAAGGUGGCCUUCUCCCCGAGCCCCAGCGCGCACGACUACGCCGCUGCCUACGUGUCUCCCUGCAGCCAAGCUGUGUUUUGCACCAGGGCCGGCACCCACCGCUGGCUUCCGCUCCCGGAGCUUGUCGGCGGUGACCGCGAGCACGAGGGCGUCAGGCGGGAGCUGGACGUGGCGUACCACGACGGCAAGUUCUACUACAUCGCCACCAGCGGCCAGGUGUGGGUGGUCGACAUGGCCGCCGCGCCGCCUCCCUCUCCCGUGCCGCUCCACGUCUUGUCGCCACCCUUGGACGGCUUGCUCACGUGCCGCGGAUACCACCUGGCUUUCUCUUCUACGCCGAUGGCGCGCUGCAUGUGGUGUGGAGCCGGAGCGAGGGCAAUGGAUACCCGCCGAGCUGGAACCUCUGGGACAUGGCCGUGACACGCUACGGCCUCGACGCGUCUGGCAAGGAGGGGUUUAGCGCUCCGGGGAGCAUCGUCGGCCGCCGCGCCUUCCUCAUCGGAGAUCGCAACCAGUCCAUGUCGGUCCCCGUUGACAACAAUUCCUGGCUCAGGCCCAACUCAAUCUACUUCGCCAACAUCCCGCUCUGCGUGAGCUUUUCGCCAUUGAAUGCCCUGGCCGUCGAGGCUUGCGGGCCUUCGACGUGGUCACCGGCAAGAUCACUUGGGUGCACGCACCAACCGGCAUGGACGUCGAGAGGCCGUUGAAAUCGGAAUGGAUGGCUCGGCCGCGCGAGAUGUUUGAUAAUAAACACUUGGGAUCCGAAUUGGACGUGGACUGGGCAAAAUCCCUUUGGUUCAUGCCCUGCUUGACACAACCGCCCAAAUAAAAAGUGUGGUGAGUGGUUUUUUGUAUACUCUGAUGAAAUACCGUGCAUGCAUUCACCGUCCGUCCUUUUUUGAGGUUCAUGCCAUGUUUUAUGAUAUUUAGUCUCGCAAAUUUCUUGUGUUUCAAAAUAUUACUUCCUCCGUCCACUGAUGGAAAAAGGGCCUUUGGUCGCGGUUCGCAACUGCCAUUAGUCGCGGUUGCGUAACCGCGACCAAAUAGGCGCGACUAAAGGCCCCCCCUUUAGUCGCGGUUGCUUAAGAACCGCAACUAAAGGCCCGUCCACGUGGGCGCCAGGCGGCCGUCGGGGCGGAGGACCUUUAGUCGCGGUUUUUCUGGCCAACCGCGACUAAAGGCCGCCACAGGGUUUAGCCCCCCCCCCCCCUAAACCUGUUUUUUHGUUUMAUUUGUUAUUGUUUUUAUUUUCUUUUUGUUGCUUUAUUUUAAUUUUGUAAGGAGUUUCUACAUAUUCUUACGGUACUACAUACAUGCAUAUGAAUGUACAAUUUCUAACAAAAUUUUAGUAAAAUUAAGUAAACCCAAAAAAAAGAAAAAUUUCCUAAAGAAGGGAAUAAUUAACAAAUAAUUAAUAAUUUNNNNNNNNNNNNNNNNNNNNNNNNNNNNNNNNNNNNNNNNNNNNNNNNNNNNNNNNNNNNNNNNNNNNNNNNNNNNNNNNNNNNNNNNNNNNNNNNNNNNAAAUAAUACUUAAAAUAACAAAAUAAAUAAUUAAUACAAAAAAAAUUAACAAGAARAAAWAWAAACUAAAUUACAAUUACAAUAAUAGUUAAAAACACAAAAAAUWAUAUACAAAAAAAUUAAAGAAAAAAUAAAACUAAAUUCAAAUUACAAAAAUAGUUUAAAAAAUAACAAAUAAAUAAUAUACAAAAAAUUAAGAAAAAAUAAAAACUAAAUUCAAUUCAAAAUGCACCAACCAGCCGGGACUAAAGGUUAGAUGACCAGCUCUGGAUUCCUCUUCUUCCCGCCAUUUCUUCCCUGUCUUCCCGCCUCUUUCUUCCCGCCUCCUGUCUUCCCGCUCCCAUUUUUCCCGCCAUUUCUCACUACAUAUAUGUAGCCCGGCUUGGCCAGCAUUAUCACAUCUCUACAAUCUCUCAUCACUCUCUCAUGGCUUCCACCGCACCCACUCUAACCUACCAGCAGGUGGAGGAGCUUUGCGCCUCGAACUACCCUUGUCCACCGGGCUACCGCGUCCCACCGGCUGGAGCCUAAGCGCCGGCGGCGUGCCGGUCCCUCCCGUCCCUCAGGGUACUGCGCGCCGGGCGGCCAUCACGAACCACUACUACCUCGACCUCACGCCGGAGCAGCGGAUGAAUCCCCGCUGGCAUCCCGAUAACCAGCAUACUUGGGACGCCUUCUUCAUCAAUCGGCGUGAGAGGGCGCUCGCCAGGUAUGUGGAGGACGGUCUGCCUCCUGGGAACUUCCACGAGGCCGGCCGUCGGCUAUGGUGGUACGGCCGGACUCUGCAGAGCGUCAUGGACUACAUCACGGCCGGCGAUAUCCCCCGCCUGCGCUACCCUCAGUUCGAGCCANNNNNNNNNNNNNNNNNNNNNNNNNNNNNNNNNNNNNNNNNNNNNNNNNNNNNNNNNNNNNNNNNNNNNNNNNNNNNNNNNNNNNNNNNNNNNNNNNNNNUACGUACGUACGUACGUACGUACGUAACCGUACUAACUACUAACUAUAUAUAUAUAUAUAUAUAUAUAUAUAUAUAUAUAUAUAUAUAUAUAUAUAUAUAUAUAUAAACUCUAUUCAUCACACAGGGUGCAGAAUAAAUUAUUCCUCACUCGAGUUAAUUUAAGACCAUUUCAUAAAUAAAUGAAAUUAGAAAUGCAAAUAGAUACAAUUAUAUUGAUUAACUACGGAAAAAUUUGCCAUAAUAAAACAAAAAUAUAGAUCAUAAGACUAGAAAAAUCGCAUUUUAUGUAUAAUUUACACUAUGUUUUUUUGUUUGUAAUUUUACGUGACAUAAAAUAUUUUUUACGGUGACUAUGUAUUUUUUUACGGUCUSUUUUUACGUAUGAAAUAAGAUUAAAAUUUAAGAAACGUAAAAUUACGGUGUAUUGAUGUGAAAAUAGAGGGGGGUGAAGAAUAACUAUUCCUCACCCAAGAUGACGAAUAGUGCGACCCUAUUCAUCACCGUAAAAAAAUACAUCACCCAGGGUGAAGAAUAGAAACUCUAUUCAUCACCCAGGGUGCAGAUUAAAUUAUUCUUCACCCGAGGUAAUUUUACGACCAUUUUAUAAAUAAAUUAACUUUGAAAUGCAAAUACAUACGUUUAUAUUGAUUCACUAUGAAAAAUUUGACAUAAGAAAACAAAAAUAUAGGUCAUAAGACCAGAAAAAUCACAUUUUUUUUAUAAUUUACACUAUGUUUUUAUGUUUGUAAUUUUACAUGACAUCAAAUAUUUUUUACGGUGAGUAUGUAUUUUUUUACAGUCUCUUUUUACGUAUGAGAUAAGAUUAAAAUUUUAGAAAUGUAAAAUUACGGUUUAUUGAUGUGAAAAUAGAGGGGGGAUGAAGAAUAACUAUUCCUCAUCCAGGGUGACGAAUAACGCGACCCAGGGUGCAGAAUAGUUUAUUCUUCACCCGAGAUAAUCUUACGAUCAAUUUACAAAUAAAUUAAAUUUUAAAUACAAAUAUUUACAUUUAUAUUGAAUCACUAUGUAAAAAUUGACAAAAUAAAAACAAAAAUAUAGGUGAUAAUACAGGAAAAAAAAUGUUUUUUUUUGUAUUUUUUGCACUAUUUUUGUAAGUUCGUAAUUUUACGUGAUAUAAAAUAUUUUUAUAUUGGUUAUAUUUUUUUUACAGUCUCGUUUCAUGUAUAAAAUAAAACAGAAUUUACGAAACGUAGCAUUGCCCCUCCUGUCGUACAGUGAAAAUAAUGGAAAAUAAUAAAUGGUCGCGUGACCAGCUAUCUUGUAGCCAGCUCCCGGCACGACGCGUGCCGUGGCGCGCGUGUACGUGUGCCUCGCUGCAGUAAACAAAAAGAAAGCAACGUCCCAUCACCGCGUCGGUCGGCCGAUUGAGACCGAGAGAGAGAGAGCACACACCAACAUCCGCCUUCACGGCCGAUCACGGGGCAGCGACGGGGCCGGACACGGCCGAUCCGCUGCACUCCACCACCUUCGCCUCCCACUACGUCCGCGACCAGCUCCCCCGGUCAGUCCCCUCCCUCACCUCCACACACCACGCCUACUCCUACCGGUAACCGGCCACCCACUACGGACGACACUGCCCCACCACCACCACCACUCCACUACAAGGCACACAGGGGAUAGSCCGACGCAGAAAACCUAGGCUCGAGCCCGGCCCGGUCCGGUCGUCAGGCCUAGAUCUCAGGCCCAGGUCCGGCCCAGUUCACCUGCUAAUUUCUGUCCGGGCUUNNNNNNNNNNNNNNNNNNNNNNNNNNNNNNNNNNNNNNNNNNNNNNNNNNNNNNNNNNNNNNNNNNNNNNNNNNNNNNNNNNNNNNNNNNNNNNNNNNNNAUUAUCAAUGUUUAUUAAAAUUUAAUAAAAAAUAAUGCAUAAUUACACAUGAAUCAGGUUAUGUCCAUCUUUUCGUCCGAUGCAACGCACGGGCAUUUGUACUAGUACUACUAAUAAACAAGCCAACAAUUUUUUUCUUACGAACAUCCCAUAAAAUGUACACGAAAAUAUAUCACCAUCAGAUCAACCCAUUGGAUYAWAKSWAWMAAUACUUGACACGCAGAAAACAGUAGCAACAAAAUGACACGAUCAACAUGCUACGUCUAUUAGUUUGGGUCUAGUCCAUCACAUGAUUCUCCUAAUGAUGUGAUCCCGUUAUCAAGUGACAACACUUGCCUAUGGCCAGGAAACCUUGACCAUCUUUGAUUAACGAGCUAGUCAACUAGAGGCUUACUAGGGACAGUGUUUUGUCUAUGUAUCCACACAAGUAUUGUGUUUCCAAUCAAUACAAUUAUAGCAUGGAUAAUAAACGAUUAUCAUGAACUAAGAAAUAUAAUAAUAACUAAUUUAUUAUUGCCUCUAGGGCAUAUUUCCAACAGUCUCCCACUUGCACUAGAGUCAAUAAUCUAGUUCACAUCACCAUGUGAUUCCAACGAAUCCAACACCCAUAUAGUUAUGGGGUCUGAUCAUGUCUUGCUUGUGAGAGAGGUUUUAGUCAACGGUUCUGAAACUUUCAGAUCCGUGCGUUCUUUACAAAUCUUUAUGUCAUCUUAUAGAUGCUGCUACUACGUGCUAUUCGGAAAUGCUCCAAAUAUCCACUCUACUAUAUGAAUCCGUUUCACUACUCAUAGUUAUUCAGAUUAGUGUCAAAGCUUGCAUCGACGUUACCCUUUACGACGACWCUUACCUAACCNCCACUAAUACGAGAAAAAUUAACCUUUAACGUUCCUACUUUGUUUACUUAAGGUAAGUAAAUUUUAGUUACCGCCUGCUAGUGAUUCUNNNNNNNNNNNNNNNNNNNNNNNNNNNNNNNNNNNNNNNNNNNNNNNNNNNNNNNNNNNNNNNNNNNNNNNNNNNNNNNNNNNNNNNNNNNNNNNNNNNNGGACACGGAGGCUCCUGAACCUACACCAGGGUGGGACGGCCAUGGCAACAUCUCGUGGGUUCGACGUGACAGUCUCUCAGGCCGGUGACAAAAGCAUCAAGAGGUUUGCAGCGACGGUGAACUCGUGCGACGUGCUGGUGGCGGUGCACGGCGCGGGCCUCACCAACCAAGUGUUCCUCCCGGCGCGGGCCGUGGUGGUGCAGAUCGUGCCGUUGGGCGGGAUGGAGUGGAUGGCCACGAACUUCUACGGCGAGCCGGCGCGCGACAUGUAGAUGUUAAUCAUGUUGCUCAUGUAGGAUUAGGAAAGAAAGCCAAACCGAGUCCUAGUAGUAUUAGGAUUCCUAGUCCUAGUCCUAUUUCCGUAGUCCCUUGUGGACGUGUAUAAAAGACACCCUAGGGGUGUUGAUUGUAACACCAGAAAAACGAAAAGCAAUACAAAGCAAAAGCUCGACACGGGCCUUUAGCCAUCAAAUCCAUCGAUCUUGACCAUAUCAAAUACCUCAGCACCAGUGCGUUCCGCAGGCUUCGGCCGGUGAUCUGCCUUGCCGUUGUAAUGCUUGCCUUUCUUUCUUACUGGAUGNNNNNNNNNNNNNNNNNNNNNNNNNNNNNNNNNNNNNNNNNNNNNNNNNNNNNNNNNNNNNNNNNNNNNNNNNNNNNNNNNNNNNNNNNNNNNNNNNNNNCUCGAUGGCGAGCACCAUAACAUCGACGACGUCCUCUUCGGCGAUCACCGGCCUCGGGCUAGGAUGGAUCUCACCGCCAUGACCUGCAGACGUCAAAUUGACGCGCGGGUCAAAUGAGGUGAACCACUAGGAGGCUACCGACGAUGUUUGAGCARAUGGUCAAGGYUCACURSCAWRGGCRAURUUGUCACUUGAUAACGAAUCACAUCAUUAGGAGAAUCAUGUGAUGGACUAGACCCAAACUAAUAGACGUAGCAUGUUGAUCGUGUCAUUUUGUUGCUACUGUUUUCUGCGUGUCAAGUAUUUAUUCCUAUGACCAUGAGAUCAUAUAACUCACUGACACCGGAGGAAUGCUUUGUGUGUAUCAAACGUCGCAACGUAACUGGGUGACUAUAAAGAUGCUCUACAGGUAUCUCCGAAGGUGUUAGUUGAGUUAGUAUGGAUCAAGACUGGGAUUUGUCACUCCGUGUGAACGGAGAGGUAUCUCGGGGCCCACUCGGUAAUACAACAUCACACACAAGCCUUGCAAGCAAUGUAACUUAGUGUAAGUUGCGGGAUCUUGUAUUACGGAACGAGUAAAGAGACUUGCCAGUAAACGAGAUUGAAAUAGGUAUACGGAUACUGACGAUCGAAUCUCGGGCAAGUAACAUACCGAAGGACAAAGGGAAUGACAUACGGGAUUAUAUGAAUCCUUGGCACUGAGGUUCAAACGAUAAGAUCUUCGUAGAAUAUGUAGGAUCCAAUAUGGGCAUCCAGGUCCCGCUAUUGGAUAUUGACCGAGGAGUCUCUCGGGUCAUGUCUACAUAGUUCUCGAACCCGCAGGGUCUGCAACUUNNNNNNNNNNNNNNNNNNNNNNNNNNNNNNNNNNNNNNNNNNNNNNNNNNNNNNNNNNNNNNNNNNNNNNNNNNNNNNNNNNNNNNNNNNNNNNNNNNNNGGGUUAGAGUGGGUGCGGUGGAAGCACUGAGAGAGUGAUGAGAGAUUGUAGAGAUGUGAUAAUGCUGGCCAAGCCGGGCUACAUAUAUGUAGUGAGAAAUGGCGGGAAAAAUGGGAGCGGGAAGACAGGAGGCGGGAAGAAAGAGGCGGGAAGACAGGGAAGAAAUGGCGGGAAGAAGAGGAAUCCAGAGCUGGUCAUCUAACCUUUAGUCCCGGCUGGUUGGUGCAUUUUGAAUUGAAUUAGUUUAUUUUUCUUAAUUUUUUGAUAUAUUAUUUGUAUUUUUAACAUUUUGAAUUGAAUUAGUUUUAUUUUUCUUAAUUUUUUGAUAUAAUUUUUGUGUUUUUAACAUAUUGAAUUGAAUUAGUUUUAUUUUUCUGAAUUUUUUGUAUAUAUUAUUUGUAUUUUUAAGAUAUUGAAAAAGAAAAGUAUUUUGAAAAAUACCUUUAGUCGCGGUUGGCCAGACCAACCGCGACUAAAGGUCGUUGCGCGCGGGAACGAAAAAAACCCUUUAGUCGCGGUUGGUUUGCCAACCGCGCCUAAAGUUUACCUUUAGUCGCGGGUCGCCUCCCCAACCGCGACUAAAGGGGGCGGGCUAUAAAUACAAGGGCCUGCCGCCGUCUUCUCCGAUUCUCGUCUUCUCCGAUUCUCUGCCGCGCGCGCCGAAGGCCUGCCGCCGUCGCCCUCGCCCUCGACGCCGCCCGCCGUCGCCCUCGCCCACCGCGCGCGCGCCGCCUCGCUCGCCCGCCCUCAACGACGCCGGCCGGCCUCGGGUACCUGCCGCCUCGCUCGCCCGCCCUCGCCGCCUCGCUCGCCCGNUUAACCGCCGCAAAUUUCUACAGAGUUUACNGAGUAUAAACUUUGUAUAUNNNNNNNNNNNNNNNNNNNNNNNNNNNNNNNNNNNNNNNNNNNNNNNNNNNNNNNNNNNNNNNNNNNNNNNNNNNNNNNNNNNNNNNNNNNNNNNNNNNNCCGGCGCCCGCCGUGACACGUGCCCCCUCUCCGAAAGACUUCCCAAAAAUGCGCCGGCGAUGAAGAAGACCAUCAGGAAGGUGUCCGCAAACGAAGAAGAAGCGGUGGAUGGCUCUACUAGGCUGCUUCAAACUAUAUAAUGUUUCGUUGUGUAUGAACAAUAAGAGUGCACUUUUGGAGUGGAUUUGCUAGCUGACAGUGAAACCCAACAAUACACUUUGAAACAAAUUAGAAAAGGAGGCAUAAAAAAAUAUAUCAUGUACUCCUUCUAUCUCAAAAUAAGUGACGUAAGUUUUUGUACUAAGUUAGUACAAAAUUUUUGUACUAAAGCAGCGUCACUUAUCUUGGGGACCACUGGUAGAAAAAGAGGCUUCCGUCCAGCCCCAUAAGUCGCGACACUGUAGGAACCGCGACUAAAGGUGCCCAAAKKYCUUUAGUCGCGGUUUGCCAUGCCAACCGCGACUAAAUCUCCUCCCCUAUAGAUACCAGUUCAGCACACUCACUUAGCCAUUUGGUGCCACUUCUCUUCACAAGCUUCACAAGGGGNNNNNNNNNNNNNNNNNNNNNNNNNNNNNNNNNNNNNNNNNNNNNNNNNNNNNNNNNNNNNNNNNNNNNNNNNNNNNNNNNNNNNNNNNNNNNNNNNNNNACCCGAACGGGACGAAUAAAGAAAUUACUAACUUAAUUAACAAGCAACGACCAACAACGCCUGGCAGCCAUAUAAUCAAUAAGAAUAAUAAACAACUUGGGAUCCGAAUUGGACGUGGACCUGGGCAAAANCCCUUUGGUUCAUGCCCUGCUUGACACAAACCGCCCAAAUAAAAAGUGUGGUGAGNGGUUUUUUUGUAUACUCUGAUGAAAUACCGUGCAUGCAUUCACCGUCCGUCCUUUUUUGAGGUUCAUGCCAUGGUUUUAUGAUAUUUAGUCUCGCAAAUUUCUUGUGUUUCAAAAUAUUACUUCCUCCGUCCACUGAUGGAAAAAGGGCCUUUGGUCGCGGUUCGCAACUGCCAUUAGUCGCGGUUGCGUAACCGCGACCAAAUAGGCGCGACUAAAGGCCCCCCCCUUUAGUCGCGGUUGCUUAAGAACCGCAACUAAAGGCCCGUCCACGUGGGCGCCAGGCGGCCGUCGGGGCGGAGGACCUUUAGUCGCGGUUUUUCUGGCCAACCGCGACUAAAGGCCGCCACAGGGUUUAGCCCCCCCCCCCCCUAAACCUGUUUUCUGUUUAAUUUGUAUUGUUUUAUUUCUUUUGUGCUUUAUUUUAAUUUUGAAGGAGUUUCACAUAUUCUACGGUACUACAUACAUGCAUAUGAAUGUACAAUUUCAAACAAAUUUGAAAUUAGAACCAAAAAAGAAUUCAAGAGGAAUAUACAAUAUAUAUUCAAUAUCAUCGGAUGACCAUAUACAAUUUUGAACAAGUUUUCCAUAACAUUAAAUUUAAAUGCAUAUAAAGUUCUACGUCCUCGUAAUGGUGUUCUCCUUUACGAUUGGAGGUACUUCCCUCCUGAACCAUCCAGCUUAGUUCCUCUUGAAGGUGGUUGGAAGCGAGCUUCUGGACUAAGCAUNNNNNNNNNNNNNNNNNNNNNNNNNNNNNNNNNNNNNNNNNNNNNNNNNNNNNNNNNNNNNNNNNNNNNNNNNNNNNNNNNNNNNNNNNNNNNNNNNNNNUCUNUCUUUUUACCUUUCCUUUUUCAGUNUAUUUUUNUUGAUUUNUUCUUUUCAUUUUUAUUCUUUCUUUCCUAUUUCUUAUUUUUCUUUCGUUUCUAUUUUUCAUGAAUUAUUUCUUUUUUACUAAAUUUUUGACUAUUUUUUGUAAUUCUUCCUUUUGUUAAAUCCGCUAAACUUUAUAAUUAAUGUAAUUUUUUGGAACCUUCGAAUUAUUUACCCAAAACCGUUAAACUUUUCUCCGAUUUCUGAAUGUAUUUUUAGAAAAUUUCAUGAGUUGUUUCAAAACCAUUAAGGAAUUUAAAAACCAUGUAUUUUUUGUCCAAAUUUGGUACAAAAAAAAUUUAAAUCAAUGAACUUUUUCCAAAUUUGUGAAUAGUGCUAUUCACAAUUUCUUUUUAAAUUUUAAAUUUUAAUUUUUCAAAUUCGUGUCAUUUCCAAAUUAAAACAUUAUUAUAUAUGUUUGCAUUUUUUUAAAUCUGUGAGUUGUUUUAUAUGCAUGAUUAUUUUUGGAAUCGCAAUGCUUUUUUCAACUUUACAAACUUUUUUUUAUUUUUAAAUCUGUUAACCUUUUCAAUUCCAUCGAUUUUACUGAAAUUGUUGAACUAACUUUUAGAUUCAAGGAAUUUCGUUUUUUCACGAAAUUAUUUGUUUUUUUAGUAAUUGUCAAAUCGGUGGUCAGACCGAUUUUUCGUGCACUAGNGCACAACGUAGACUCGAGAGGGUAAAACGAGGAAGAAGAGAGCGAUNNNNNNNNNNNNNNNNNNNNNNNNNNNNNNNNNNNNNNNNNNNNNNNNNNNNNNNNNNNNNNNNNNNNNNNNNNNNNNNNNNNNNNNNNNNNNNNNNNNNUUGGUGUGUGCUCUCUCUCUCUCGGUCNCAAUCGGCCGACCGACGCGGGUGAGUGGGACGGUUGUCUUUUCUUUUUUGUUUACUGCAGCGAGCACCACGUACACGCGCGCCACGGCACGCGGUCGUGGCCGGGAGCUGGCUACAAGAUAGCUGGUCACGCGACCUAUUUAUUUAUUUUCCAUUUAUUUUCACUGUACGACAGGGAGGGGCAAUGCUACGUUUACGUUAAAUUCUUGUUUUUAUUUUUAUACAUAGAAACGAGACUAGUAAAAAAAAUAUAACCAAUAUAAAAAUUAUUUUAUAUCAACGUAAAAUUACGAACUUAACAAAAAUAGUGACAAAAAAUAACAAAAAAAAACUAUUUUUUUUUCCUGUAUUAUCACCUAUUAUUUUUUGUUUUUUAUUUUGUCAAUUUUUACAUAGUGAUUCAAUAUAAAUGUAAAUAUUUGUAUUUAAAAUUUAAUUUAUUUGUAAAUUGAUCGUAAGAUUAUCUCGGGUGAAGAAUAAACUAUUCUGCACCCUGGGUCGCGUUAUUCGUCACCCUGGAUGAGGAAUAGUUAUUCUUCAUCCCCCCUCCUAUUUCUUACAACUCAACUAAAACCGUAAACUUUUUAACUUAUUUACUUAAAAACUUUUAAAAUUUACUUAUUCUUCCUAUAACGUUAAAAAANNNNNNNNNNNNNNNNNNNNNNNNNNNNNNNNNNNNNNNNNNNNNNNNNNNNNNNNNNNNNNNNNNNNNNNNNNNNNNNNNNNNNNNNNNNNNNNNNNNNGACGACGACAAUCAAGAUGAUGGUCACGGUCACGACGACUACGCCGACGACACGGAUGUCGAUGACACACCAAGGUCUCAGCCGUCUUCCUCAAGUGCAUCAACACCGACACAAUUUGUGUCGCCUCCCUCGCAAGCCACAACGGACUCCUCAGGGCCUCGUCGCUACAAGACCCUCAAGAAAGUCUACAAGUACACAAAGCCAGUUACGCUCGAGUACUCCGGACUAUGUCUGUUCGGAGUUGAGGAGCGGCGAACUUCAUAGAGGCGAGCAAAAGUCCUAGCUGGACGCACACCAUGGAUGAGGAGAUGAAGGCAAUUGAGAGCAAUGGCACGUGGACUUUGGUAACCCGACCUCCAAACCAAAAGACGAUAGGUUUGAAGUGGGUUUACAAGUUAAAGAAGGACACAGAGGGUGCCAUUGUGAAGUACAAGGCAAGACUCGUUGCAAAGGGCUACGUACAACGUCAAGGAGUUGACUAUGAUGAGGUGUUUGCAUCGGUUGCUCGAAUCGAGACGGUGAGAGUGCUCCUAGCUUUGGCAGCACAAGAGGAUUGGAAGGUUCAUCAUAUGGAUGUUAAAUCCGCUUUCCUCAACGGCGAUCUCACAGGAGAAGUGUACGUGGAACAACCCUCGGCUACGAGAAGAAAGGCGAAGAAGGGAAAGUUUACAAGCUUCAAGAAGGCACUUUACGKRKKGAUAGSAAGCGCCAAGAGCUUGGAACWCAAAGUUACCGRMCKARGUCUGGCCGUNNNNNNNNNNNNNNNNNNNNNNNNNNNNNNNNNNNNNNNNNNNNNNNNNNNNNNNNNNNNNNNNNNNNNNNNNNNNNNNNNNNNNNNNNNNNNNNNNNNNAUUUCGGAUUUUUGGUUUGACAGGGCCCGCAAGCUUUCUGUAUCCUUAUAAUAUGUGCUUGGUCUUUUUUUCCAUUUGGAUAUUUUAUUUGCAACAGUGGUAAGUUGAGUACGAGUUGACAUGUUCCAUGCUAUACAACUUGCCACCAAACAUUUUGAUAUUUUGAUACACCGGUUCUUCAUCAUUCACGACAUUUCCAAUGAAUGUUUUAUUUCUUGUCAAAAUUUGACAUGGGAGCAACUACUUGAUCCGUUCCCAGGUUUUUUAUUUGAUUCGGCACUACUUGGUGCGCGUCAACUCCCAAGACAAAAACUGCAUUUGGCACAAAAAAAUUGCCAUACGUUGUGUCUGCUCUACAUAGUUGUAAUGACUUCCACUUUACUUCAUGUUUCUUGUGUGAUCUUUGGGUCCGGUAUAUCAAAUCUGGCACCCUGUAUCUCUCUGGACGCGUCCGGAUGCAUCUGCAGAAGGUGACCGGCCAAUUCUCAAAUCACCGUGUCCACAUUUCUGUACUAUGCAUGCAAUGUAGAAAAAAAAUACUAACUAUUGCUAUGGACUCGUAGAUUCCAAUUAACUAUUCACACAUCAUCAUGNNNNNNNNNNNNNNNNNNNNNNNNNNNNNNNNNNNNNNNNNNNNNNNNNNNNNNNNNNNNNNNNNNNNNNNNNNNNNNNNNNNNNNNNNNNNNNNNNNNNACCUUUCUAAGAAAUCGGCGGGAAGGUAUCCGUAAUUACAGCCACGAGCUGUUUCUUCUCCGUCUAUGGUGAAGACCGAUGUUGGGCGAUCUUCCACUCUGACAUAUCCUGGCCUUCCCACUCACCUUCCUUGGAUCCUCCCCUUCCUCACAAAGUUAUAGAUGGCAUGAAGUUGAAGUCGCACUUCCUCUAGCAUGGUUGUCUGGGAGCAACCGCAUCGCUGGUCGCCAUUGGCGACGGAGUCGUUAUUUGCGGUGCCUCCUAAAGUCUUGAUGUCCAUGCCACGCGAACGCACCAUGGAUCCCAUGUGGGUAGCUCGUGCAAGGUUCAGCACCCACAUGUCGAGCUUCGGGGAUAUCCCAUGACGGUCAUGCCCACAUCCACCUUCGAUAGACGACCACUUCCACGAUGCGGCCCGUGGACGUGACUCGUUAGCCGGUGUAUCCACAGAAGCACGCCACGUGAGCCUGACAUGUGGGUUCAACUUGUCAGUUUCGCCAUUUUUUGCGAGCAUAUCACACAACUAGUGCUCUUCAUUAGUUUUUAGGUGUAAAGUUGAUGGUUUCCCGUGUCCUGCAUGAAACGUGGCACUAAGUUUUUACCUUAACCCUAGAUUACCUCGGUGGUGUGCGUAGCUGAAUGUGUGAAACCGAUACCCACGCCAGAGACUAGUAGAGACAAAUCCGCAUGUGUUUUGUCUUGCAGGACCGAGAUGGAGAUUNNNNNNNNNNNNNNNNNNNNNNNNNNNNNNNNNNNNNNNNNNNNNNNNNNNNNNNNNNNNNNNNNNNNNNNNNNNNNNNNNNNNNNNNNNNNNNNNNNNNAAAAAACACUGUCAACAGGGACGAUUCGUAGGGGGGGGGGGGCCUACCCCCCCCCCCCCCUUAAUAAAAUUGAUUUUUCUACUAUGAUAGUGGUUGUUGUAGAAAAAAAAAUUCACUUCAUAUGAAUUUUGCUCCCUUCAUGAAYAACSCCCCCCCCCCCAACAAAUUGAUUUUUCUACUAUAAUAGUGGUUGUUGUUAGCAAAAAAAAUUCACUUCAUAUGAACUUAGCCCCCUUCAUGAACAAACCCCCCCCCCCCCUCCCCAUGCUUGCAUGCUGGCUCCGUCCCUAAUUGUCAGGUAUAUCCCACACAAGAGACCUAGACUUUCAUCCUAGAACUUGGGACCGGGUGCUCGUCUAACUCCACAUAUGUGUUGCCGUCAUCAUUUUUGCAAUCUCAGUAGCUCCAUGCGAUGUGAAUUGCCACCACUGCACAAAUCAUUCCUUUGUGCAAAGCCGUUGUCCAGAGUUAUAAACACAUACUCCCUCCGUUCMUAAAUAUAAGUCUUUUAAGAGAUUUCAUUAGGGGUCUACAUACAAAAUAAAAUGAGUGAAUCUAUAGUCUAAAGUAUGNNNNNNNNNNNNNNNNNNNNNNNNNNNNNNNNNNNNNNNNNNNNNNNNNNNNNNNNNNNNNNNNNNNNNNNNNNNNNNNNNNNNNNNNNNNNNNNNNNNNAUUAUACUUGUUUAGGUUUUAGUCUGAUUAAACAAUAUGUUUAGAAGAAUAUAAAAGUUUGAUAUAAAAUUUAUUAAUAUGUUUAGAAGAAUAUGAAAGUUUGAUAUAAAAUUUAUUUAUUUUCGACUUCGCCCCGUGGCCCAAAAUUUGCUUGGACUGGCUCUGUCUCCUUCCCCAUUCCAAUUUCGCUUACAUUCUGGUGGUUGACCAGCGACCCAUGUCAGAUUUGCACUUACGGGAAAUGGGCAUACACUCUGAUUGACCAGCAACCCAUGUGAGAUUUGCACUUAUCAUUGAGAAAUGGCGAUAGGGUUAUAUGUGGGAAUAUAGGAAUUCGUUCGUUGGUUGUAUGUUUUGAGUAUAUGGAUUCGUUAGUUGUAUGUUAGUAAUUACAAUCAGCUAGAGUAACUUGCACAAGGGGAAGGGUAUGAGGAAGCGAGGACCAUGUAUAAUCACUAUCAGUUUCCUUGUAUUUGGAAUCCUUCUGUUCACUACUGUUAUUGUCUUUUGUUUCGUUACAAGGCAACGCCCCAUGUCCUUCCUCAACUGAAUUGUCAAAAAUCACUGGUUUGUUGUAGGUGAGAUAACCGGCAUCGCCAAUGAGUGCUUUAUGAAUGUAUACCCUUUCCGUCGUGAACUAGGGCCAAUGGUUAUCCUGUGGAAGGUAUGUUUAUGUACCAUCACAUGUUAUGCGUCUUUUGAUAAUUCAGUGUUUAAUGUGAUAAUCAAUUUUAUCGUGAUUUGGUUGUAAACAGUCUGGGGUCCCUGAGGAGAGCAACACCAUGUUUAAACUAAAGGUUGGCCUAAUUGGUAAGAAUUGAAUUGCUUAGUUAAAAUAUAUGUUAUUGCUAGUUACAGAUGCUAAUUGGUAACAUUAUCUAACCUGUUUCUGUUUUCAAGGUUUUGGAUCGAUAGGGAGACAAAUAGCCGAGGCAUUAGUCGAUAUCAAGGACGUUGAUUUGAUUACAAUCUGUGACGAGCUUAAAACAAGUGAUAUGGUAAUAGAGAAACUACAUUAUUAAGUUCUUACGUCUCUUUGUUCUAGUGUUCCAUGUCUUUUCCUUCCAGCGUUCUCAUUUGUUCCCACAGAUCCACCGUGGCUAGAGUUAUGCAAAAUCAUUUAGCAUGCAGUAGUUUAAGGGAAAAUAGGAGGAAAUCUCAAUUCAGAUGAAAGAAAACAAAACAGAUAAACUACAAGUGUAAAACUAACUCUUGCACAAGCACCAACUAGUGAUCAUUGAUUGUGGAACCCAUCAUUUAUCAUAAACAUUAUUUUAAUGCAAAUCUGUGAAACUGAAGCUCAGCAAGUCAUUAUAUUUGUGCAGGUUACUGCUUGAAAGAGCAGCAAGUUCAGCUUGAGGGGCUCUGGUGGAAAGUCGCUCAUGUUCCUGAAGAAAGCUGCUGACAUUGUCAAUGAGGAUGGCAUUCUGGUCUCAGUUAUCAUUCCCAGGUAACUGUCUUCUGUACUUGGCUGUAAUUACACCUGGGAUUGUUUUUUUUCGAAACGGAGGCAAUCCGUUUAAAAAAAUGUUUGUAAGUGUGUGCUGUACUUGGCUGUAAUUUUACCUGGGAUUAUCAAAUUUGUUUGUAACUGUCUGCUGUACUUGGCUUUUUUUGGAACCAGGGAACAUGAGAAAACCCCUUGGGGCUAUCUUCCGGUGAAUUACGUCAUUGACAUGCUAAGUCUCUCCUCCGAGGACAAGUCUGUUGCGUACUCAUCGCAUGACCAAAUUGAUCCACCUAAUGUGGCAGAAACGACACUGAUUUGCCAAAGCAGCUGCAUAGUACUGUCUACACCAUGAUGUAUUGUGACGAGGGAGUUCCAAGUAGUGGCUUUAAUCCAUCAAUGAAAUACAUCAAGUUUAGCAUCAGUGAUAACGAUUGUAAGAAGGUAGGGUAUUUCCAACUUCUCUUUUCCUUGAAAUUUAUUUGUUGUUUCCGAGGUUCAGAACUAAUGCUUGUUUCUGCAAGUUUGUGAAAAAUUUGAACUUCACAUUUCUUAAAGAUUUACAGAUGUGGAACAUAAUAUUUGUGUAUACGAGUUUCUGCUGUCCACCCUGAUGAGAGCUGGUUCGUGACAUGGUGAUAAUUUCAUGCUUGCUCUUCAUUUGAUUGGUGUGACAUCAUGAUAUAUUUUGCUCCAGUUAUUGUUUUUGUUGUGUUGCUGUACUGUGCGCAUAUACAGCAUUGCACUCCAUCUAGUUAUAUAGUCAUGAAAAUUGUUUGUAUUUCAGUACACUCCAAUGGUAAUGGUACAAGCUCACUUUUUACUAUGUAGGUUUGCUUUAUUUUGCUUUUACAUGCUGCCCAUUCUAAGUUUUAGGUCUUUAGAUAAAUGUAUGCAAGUUUUAAUCAGUGGAUUUGUUCUCAAGUGUAGAUUUUGAUAGCAAAAUUUGUCUGGGUGAUGAGAUGUGUUAAUUUGCGCAGUUUGUUGUUGAAAACAUGCCUGAAUGGAGAUCUUCAUCUGCAAAUAUUUGCUUCUAUGAUCACUGUGAUCCUACAAAUAGGCUAUGUGACCCCCUGACGGAGCUUCAUGUGAGGUAAGUUCUUGCAUCAGUUACCCGAGGAUGCUUUAUUUGCAGUCCAACAUUUUAAAUAAAAAACUACCCUAUUUGCAUGAGCACCCUACUCAUAUUUUUUUUAUUUGUUACUGUUUGAAAUUUAAAGCUGAGAACAUGCAAGUUUGCAUUAGUUUUCCGUGAUAACGAGGAGGAAGCUGAACACAGAGAAGGAGUCCGUCUAAUUUCUGUGCUGAGCUGCUGUAUUCGGAUUCUAAAGGGUGUAGCGGUUGGAGGCAUAUUCUUGAUGUUCUAGAGGCGUAUGCCAAUCGGGGGCUUCUGCGUUCAAAUAUAAUGUCGCUUCCACUCACUUCAGCUUAACGACGUAACACCUUGACACAGACGCCAGCAGUCCGCUGGAUACGUCGAACUAUUGCCCUGCCCUGUCGAGGCAUGUAAUGUUUCUCGGAUCAAACGGACGAACAGAAGAGAUGCUAGGAAGCGGACGUGUGUUUGUGUGAAAUGAACAAACGAAGAACAGAGCUGGAUGAUCACGUAUAGUACACUGCCAUUCCAUGGUUGUAGUCACGUACGUAUAGUUCUUUUCACGUAUAGUUGUAUUCCAAAUCUCACUGCCCUGAUGUGGAUAUAGAACCAAAUCUCAUGUUGGUCCUGAGUAAUCUCGUGGUGUUCUUGAGUAAUCCAACUAGGAUCGUAACUACAGUUGGCAUCUCACAGCUUUAAUCCUCAUUUACCAUUUCCUCUGCUGGUAAAAAUCCAAUUGAUUGCAUGAUCCCUAAAAUCUAUGGCAAAAGGUGUGAAAUCGCCACGCAAGGUUCUUUGGAACACACCUUAGCUCGGGUUGGAUCACGGUUGUGCCAAAUUGUUGCUCACUAUGUGUUCAACGAGAUGGCUCAGAGUGACCAGAUGAAGACAGUGCUUGAAUUACUGACGUGGAUCUAAGAGGAUGUCGCCACGAAACAAUGAGAAGCUUGAUUGAAACUUGGCAAACCUUGAUCCUCUUUAGAAGGAGUUGUAGUCGGUGCGCAAGGCCCUUAAGGAUUGGAAGCCGGACGUGGAUCAACACACAUCACUCAGUUGCAUCUUAGGGUGUCCUUCUACGGAUCUGAGCAAGACAUCUCGUCAUACGGAGAACAUCGCCGGCUCCGAUGAAGAAUCGCCAUUGACUCGGACUGCAUCGGCAAAGUAUGUGCCACCGCACGAGAUCGAACAUGUAAGCCAAAUUGGCUGCCGUGAAGAAUCGACUACACGGGGCCAGCCUGGUGUUGCCAUCAUGGUGUUGCCUUCGGCCAUUGAUACGAUGCCGACCCCUCAUACCCCUCCUUCUGUAACUGAGAAGUAUUCUCCUUUGCCAUCGACUCGGACUGCAUCGACAAAGUAUGUGCCACCGCAUGAGAUCGGACAUGUAAGCCAAAUUGGGUGCCGUGACGAAUCGACUGCAUGGGGCCAGCCUGGUGUUGCCUUCAGCCAUUGAUACGAUGCCGACCCCUCAUACCCCUCCUCCUGUAACUAAGAAGUAUUCUCCUNNNNNNNNNNNNNNNNNNNNNNNNNNNNNNNNNNNNNNNNNNNNNNNNNNNNNNNNNNNNNNNNNNNNNNNNNNNNNNNNNNNNNNNNNNNNNNNNNNNNGCCGGUGGGGACGCGGUAGCCCGGUGGACAAGGGUAGUUCGAGGCGCAAAGCUCCUCCACCUGCUGGUAGGUUAGAGUGGGUGCGGUGGAAGCCAUGAGAGAGUGAUGAGAGAUUGUAGAGAUGUGAUAAUGCUGGCCAAGCCGGGCUACAUAUAUGUAGUGAGAAAUGGCGGGAAAAAUGGGAGCGGGAAGACAGGAGGCGGGAAGAAAGAGGCGGGAAGACAGGGAAGAAAUGGCGGGAAGAAGAGGAAUCCAGAGCUGGUCAUCUAACCUUUAGUCCCGGCUGGUUGGUGCAUUUUGAAUUGAAUUAGUUUUAUUUUUCUUAAUUUUUUGAUAUAUUAUUUGUAUUUUUAACAUUUUGAAUUGAAUUAGUUUUAUUUUUCUUAAUUUUUUGAUAUAAUUUUUGUGUUUUUAACAUAUUGAAUUGAAUUAGUUUUAUUUUUCUGAAUUUUUUGAUAUAUUAUUUGUAUUUUUAAGAUAUUGAAAAAGAAAAGUAUUUUGAAAAAUACCUUNNNNNNNNNNNNNNNNNNNNNNNNNNNNNNNNNNNNNNNNNNNNNNNNNNNNNNNNNNNNNNNNNNNNNNNNNNNNNNNNNNNNNNNNNNNNNNNNNNNNGAAUCUGAGAUAACUCCUGAGCCUGCCAUUCCUAUGGAAUACUAUGAACAAACACAUGAUGAAAAUCCUGAGGAGGAUGAGGAGGAAGCCCGUGGUAGGGGCAAGAGACAAAGGACUGCAAAGACCUUUGGUGAUGAUUUCUUCGUAUACCUCGUGGAUGAUAAUCCCUCUUCUAUUUCACAAGCGUAUGCUUCUCCAGAUGCUGAUUAUUGGAAAGCUGCGGUCCGUAGCGAGAUGGAUUCCAUCAUGGCUAACGGGACAUGGGAAAUCACUGAUCGUCCCUAUGGUUGCAAACCAUUGGGAUGCAAGUGGGUGUUCAAAAAGAAGCUUAGGCCGGAUGGUACGAUUGAAAAGUACAAGGCUAGGCUUGUGGCCAAGGGCUAUGCCCAGAAAGAAGAGGAAGAUUUCUUCGAUACUUAUUCACCUGUGGCUAGACUGACCACCAUUCGAGGACUACUCUCAUUGGCGGCCUCUCAUGGUCUUCUCGUUCAUCAAAUGGACGUUAAGACGGCUUUCCUGAAUGGAGAGCUAAAUGAGGAAAUCUAUAUGCAACAGCUAGAUGGCUUUGUGAUAGAAGGUCAGGAAGGAAAGGUGUGUAAGUUGCUNNNNNNNNNNACUUUCUUUAAUGGAGAGCUAAAUGAGUUAAUCUAUAUGCAACAGCCAGAUGGCUUUGUGAUAGAAGGUCAGGAAGGAAAGGUGUGUAAGUUGCUGAAAUCUUUAUAUGGUCUGAGACAAGCACCUAAGCAAUGGCAUGAGAAGAUUAAUAAUACUCUGACAUCUGUUGGCUUCGUUGUUAAUGAAGCUGACAAAUGUGUAUAGUAUCGCCAUGGUGGGGGCGAAGGAGUUAUAUUGUGCUUGUAUGUUGAUNNNNNNNNNNNNNNNNNNNNNNNNNNNNNNNNNNNNNNNNNNNNNNNNNNNNNNNNNNNNNNNNNNNNNNNNNNNNNNNNNNNNNNNNNNNNNNNNNNNNUGGGAUUCCCAUCCGUACUUGAAGGGUAUAGUGAUGCAAAUUGGAUCUCCGAUUCUAAUGAGAUGAAGGCUACCACUGGGUAUAUGUUUACUCUUGGGGGUGNNNNNNNNNNGAAGAGAAGGUGCCCUCGCGCACUCCUCCUCCGUCGCCCGCCUCGCCACGCCACGCCUCGUCACAACGCGCCGCGUGUUGUGGGAAUGAGCCGAGCCGAGCUCAUAUCUGCGCGCUUAUUUUUGCCGGUCAGGAACGGAGAAUACGUAACGGACAAGGCACGAUCCGAGACGUUGGAUCGUGGCUGUUACCGACUCGGACAUGGGCUUGGCCCACGUCUCUCCACCCAGCCGCCUUUAUAAGCACGCGAUCGCCUACCCUAGCCGUCACGAGAAUCAGAUCACAUCUGUCUCACGCGUUCGUUCCUUCAACUGCCGCCGGCGACUCCGUCCCGUUUACCGCGUACAUGGUCGACGGGAGAGCAGGCCCCGAAACCUCGCCUCUCCGGUUCCUGUACGGGAGAGGGGCGAUUAGGUUUUUGGGGAGCGAUCACGCGACUUCUCGCCUCCGUCCGUCUGCUUCGUCUACGUCCGCGUCGCCUUCGUCAUNNNNNNNNNNNNNNNNNNNNNNNNNNNNNNNNNNNNNNNNNNNNNNNNNNNNNNNNNNNNNNNNNNNNNNNNNNNNNNNNNNNNNNNNNNNCACCACUGCUGCUGCUACGGCCAACUGGCCGAUUGGAGGGUAUGACUCGUUUAUCNNNNNNNNNNGUGCUGUUUCCUCGAAGUCUUGCAAGCAAACGAUCUUAACAAGAUCGACAUUGGAAGCAGAAUUAACAGCAUUAGACACAUCUGGUGUCGAAGCAGAAUUUCUUCGAGAUCUUUUGAUGGACUUACCUGUGGUUGAGAAGCGAUAAUCAGACGGUUAUUGUUAAAGUGAAGAGUUCAAAGGACAAUAUGAAGUCCAACAAANNNNNNNNNNCGGUUCCGGCUAUCCUUAUGAACUGCGAUAAUCAGACAGUUAUUGUUAAAGUGAAGAGUUCAAAGGACAAUAUGAAGUCCAACAAACAUAUAAGGAGAUUGAAGUCUGUCAGACGUUUGAGAAACUCCGGAGUGAUAGCGUUGGAUUAUAUCCAAACGGCUAAGAAUCUGGCAGAUCCCUUUACUAAAGGGCUAUCAUGUGUUGUGAUAGAUAGUGCAUCGAGGGAGAUGGGUAUGAGACCCACAUGAGUUGCCAUGGUAGUAACCCAACCUAUAUGAUCGGAGAUCCCGUGAAGUAGGACCUGGGAAAACAAGCCAGUGGUGAACUGAGGAGAGUAACUUUACUAACCCACUCCGUUGGAGAUGCAAUACUCUCGGAUACUGUAUGGUAGGAUGACUACUGUCUUAAUGUGUUCUAAAGCUUAUAUGUAAGCAAGAUGCUGUCCUACAUAGCGAUCUUUGGAGGAACACACCUAUAUGAGCUUGACUGCUGGUCACAGUCUAUGAGGUUUGGGUGAUCUCUAGUAAACUCAUGAAUAGGCCAGNNNNNNNNNNAGUCUUAAUGUGUUCUAAAGCUUAUAUGUAAGCAAGAUGAUGUCCUACAGAGCGAUCUUUGGAGGAACACACCUAUAUGAUCUUGGCUGCUGGUCACAGUCUAUGAGGUUUGGGUGAUCUCUUGUAAACUCAUGAAUAGGCCAGGAGUGUGACUAAUAUGCUCCAUCCGAGGGGUCACCUUCGGCAGUCUAGUACUAGUAAGACUUGUGGUGAAGCUCCUUUACGCCAAACUGACAAUUCAAGGCAUAGUCCAUUGUUCAGUUGUAAAGGGGUGUAGCUACUUGUUCUAGGUGAAGCUCAACCUUAAUAGGUAUUCACUGAAAUGCUGGUAUAUUAAAACAGUCAUUGGAACGAGGGAACACGAUGUGCCCUUGAGAUCUGGUGGGGGAUUGUUGAAAUUUGGAGGUGGGCUUUAGGCCCAUUAGAGAAUUUCAGAAANNNNNNNNNNNNNNNNNNNNNNNNNNNNNNNNNNNNNNNNNNNNNNNNNNNNNNNNNNNNNNNNNNNNNNNNNNNNNNNNNNNNNNNNNNNNNNNNNNNNNNNNNNNNNNNNNNNNNNNNNNNNNNNNNNNNNNNNNNNNNNNNNNNNNNNNNNNNNNNNNNNNNNNNNNNNNNNNNNNNNNNNNNNNNNNUAAGAGAAGGUGCCCUCGCGCACUCCUCCUCCGCCGCCCGCCUCGCCACGCCACGCCUCGUCCCGACGCGCCGCGCCGCGCCGCGUGUUGCGGGAAUGAGCCGAGCCGAGCUCAUAUCUACGCGCUUAUUUUUGCCGGUCAGGAACACAGAAUACGUAACGGACAAGGCACGAUCCAAGACGUCGGAUCGUGGCUGUUACCGACUCGGACGUGGGCUUGGCCCACGUCUCUCCACCCAGCCGCCUUUAUAAGCACGCGAUCGCCUACCCUAGCCGUCACGAGAAUCAGAUCACAUCUGUCUCACGCGUUCGUUCCUUCAAGUGCUGCUGCCGCCGGCGACUCCAUCCUGUUUACCGCGUACACGGUCGACGGGAGAGGAGGCCUCCGAAACCUCGCCUCUCCGGUUCCUGUACGGGAGAGGGGCGAUUAGGUNNNNNNNNNNUCUGCUGCCGCCGGCGACUCCGUCUCGUUUACCGCGUACACGGUCGACGGGAGAGCAGGCCUCCGAAACCUCGCCUCUCCGGUUCCUGUACGAGAGAGGGGCGAUUAGGUUUUUGGGGAGCGAUCACGCGACUGCUCGCCUCCGUCCGUCUGCUUCGUCUACGUCCGCGUCGCCUUCGUCAUCGCCAUGUCUUCACCAAGCGAAGCUGACCGUCUCCGCGAGAAGGCCGAAGCCGAGAAGAAGGCGGCAGAGGAUACUGCCGCNNNNNNNNNNUGCCAUGUCUUCACCAAGCGAAGCGGACCGUCUCCGCGAGAAGGCCGAAGCCGAGAAGAAGGCGGCAGUGGAUACUGCCGCCGCCACCGCUGCUGCUACGGCCAACUGGCCGAUUGGAGGGUAUGACUCGUUUAUCCUCAUGUUCGUGUUUAUCCUAGCAGUGCUACUUGUCUGCAUAGAUGUAUCCACUAUAUGCGUAGUAUGUGCUAGGUUAGCUCAAGAUCAGUAUAUCAUUAGUCUAGUCAAUGCCAUGCUAGUUAUUAUCUCGUGGAUUAAUAUCCUCGGAAAAUUGCCUAUUUACUCAACAAUCCAAAAACCUAAUGUCUGUAGGAAUUUUUCGAGUAAUGAUUUUGCUGCUGCACUGAAACCGGAUAAGUUUACCGGUACUUUUUUCAAGCGUUGGCAAACGAGAACCACCUUAUGGCUCACGGCUAUGAACGUGUUCUGGGUAGCCGGUGUCACUCCUACGGAAACUAUCACUCCUGAACAGGAGAAGAUNNNNNNNNNNUGUUGGCAAACGAGAACCACCUUAUGGCUCACGGCUAUGAACAUGUUCUGGGAAGCCGGUGUCACUCCUACGGAAACUAUCACUCCUGAACAGGAGAAGAUNNNNNNNNNNACAUGCUAGUUAUUAUCUUGUGGAUUAAUAUACUCGGAAAAUUGCUUAUUUACUCAACAAUCCAAAAACCUAAUGUCUGUAGGAAUUUUUUGAGUAAUGGUUUUGCUGCUGCACUGAAACCGGAUAAGUUUACCGGUACUUUUUUCAAGCAUUGGCAAACGAGAACCACCUUAUGGCUCACGACUAUGAACGUGUUCUGGGUAGCCGGUGUCAGUCCUACGGAAACUAUCACUCCUGAACAGGAGAAGAUGUUUAAGGAGGCCACCGUCCUAUUCCUUGGAGCAGUCAUUAGCGUGAUCGGAGAUAAGCUGGUUGAUGCAUAUUUAGAUAUGCAUGUUGCCAAGGACUUGUGGGAGGCGCUCGACUCUAAAUUCGGGGCCACCGAUGCUGGGAGUGAGAUGUAUGUUAUGGAGCAGUUCCACGAUUACAAAAUGGUUGACAACCGUUCUGUAUUGGAACAAGCUCAUGAGAUAAUAUGCAUAGCUAAGGAACUUGAGGUUCUUAAGUGCAAUUUGUCGGGCAAGUUUGUCGCGGGCUGUAUAAUUGCUAAGCUCCCUAAUUCCUGGAGGAACUUUGCUACUACUCUGAAACAUCAGAGGCGUGAGUUCUCAGUAGAGGACAUCAUCGGCCAUCUGAGUAUUGAGCAGAACUCGAGAGCAAAGGACUCCAAUGGAAAAGCGGUGGAAAGCUCUUCUGCUGCCAAUAUGGUACAUCAGAGGAACUUCAAUUCUGACAAGCCCAAGGGAAAGAAUUCUGACCAACAGAAUACCGACUUCAAGAAGAAGGGANNNNNNNNNNUCUGCCAAUAUGGUACAUCAGAGGAACUUCAAUUCUCACAAGCCCAAGAGAAAGAAUUUUGUCCAACAGAAUACCGACUUCAAGAAGAAGGGAAAGAAGCCCUUCAAGAAGAAUAAGAAGGGAGAUGGCUGCUAUACUUGUGGUUCAGAGGAACAUUGGGCGAACAAAUGCCCAAACAAGUACAAGAAGCCGGCGCAGGACUCCAAGUCUGCCAACAUGAUUGUGGGCAACAAUGAAAGUGGUGCAUCUGGGUACGGUAAUUUACUUACUGUAUUUACAGUUUGUUAGUCCACCGAUUGGUGGGUGGACACGGGUGCAAAUAUUCAUGUGUGUGCUGACUUAUCAUUGUUCUCUUCUUAUCAGGCCACCGGUCGCGGGUCCGUAUUGAUGGGGAAUAGAGCGAGUGCUUCUGUUCUUGGUGUUGGCACGGUCGAUCUGAAGUUUACUUCGGGAAGGAUCGUGCAGCUGAAGAACGUGCAGCNNNNNNNNNNGGCGCGAGUGCUUCUGUUCUUGGUGUUGGGACGGUCAAUCUGAAGUUUACUUCGGGAAGGAUCGUGCAGCUGAAGAACGUGCAGCAUGUCCCCGCCAUCAAGAAGAAUCUCGUUAGUGGCUCCCUUCUGUGUAGAGAAGGGUUUAAGUUGGUAUUCGAGUCUAAUAAAGUAGUAGUUACGAAAUAUGGACUUUUCGUUGGAAAAGGUUAUGAAUGCGGAUGUCUGUUCCGCCUUUCUCUUGCAUAUUUUUGUAAUAAAGUCGUGAACAAUAUUCAUUCGAGUGCUAAUGAAUCUGAAGUUUGGCAUUCACGUCUUUGUCACAUAAGUUUCGGNNNNNNNNNNNNNNNNNNNNNNNNNNNNNNNNNNNNNNNNNNNNNNNNNNNNNNNNNNNNNNNNNNNNNNNNNNNNNNNNNNNNNNNNNNNNNNNNNNNNGUCAGUAUCCGUAUACCUAUUUCAAUCUCGUUUACUGGCAAGUCUCUUUACUCGUUCCGUAAUACAAGAUCCCGCAACUUACACUAAGUUACAUUGCUUGCAAGGCUUGUGUGUGAUGUUGUAUUACCGAGUGGGCCCCGAGAUACCUCUCCGUUCACACGGAGUGACAAAUCCCAGUCUUGAUCCAUACUAACUCAACUAACACCUUCGGAGAUACCUGUAGAGCAUCUUUAUAGUCACCCAGUUACGUUGCGACGUUUGAUACACACAAAGCAUUCCUCCGGUGUCAGUGAGUUAUAUGAUCUCAUGGUCAUAGGAAUAAAUACUUGACACGCAGAAAACAGUAGCAACAAAAUGACACGAUCAACAUGCUACGUCUAUUAGUUUGGGUCUAGUCCAUCACAUGAUUCUCCUAAUGAUGUGAUCCCGUUAUCAAGUGACAACACUUGCCUAUGGCCAGGAAACCUUGACCAUCUUUGAUUAACGAGCUAGUCAACUAGAGGCUUACUAGGGACAGUGUUUUGUCUAUGUAUCCACACAAGUAUUGUGUUUCCAAUCAAUACAAUUAUAGCAUGGAUAAUAAACGAUUAUCAUGAACUAAGAAAUAUAAUAAUAACUAAUUUAUUAUUGCCUCUAGGGCAUAUUUCCAACAGUCUCCCACUUGCACUAGAGUCAAUAAUCUAGUUCACAUCACCAUGUGAUUCCAACGAAUCCAACACCCAUAUAGUUAUGGGGUCUGAUCAUGUCUUGCUUGUGAGAGAGGUUUUAGUCAACGGUUCUGAAACUUUCAGAUCCGUGCGUUCUUUACAAAUCUUUAUGUCAUCUUAUAGAUGCUGCUACUACGUGCUAUUCGGAAAUGCUCCAAAUAUCCACUCUACUAUAUGAAUCCGUUUCACUACUCAUAGUUAUUCAGAUUAGUGUCAAAGCUUGCAUCGACGUUACCCUUUACGACGAACUCUUUAACCACCUCCAUAAUCGAGAAAAAUUCCUUAGUCCAUUUGUUACUAAGGAUAAAUUUUGACCGCUGCUAGUGAUUCAAACAUGGAUCACUCUCUGUACCUCUCAACAUACUUUGAGUCAAGGCACACUUCAGGUGCGGUACACAGCAUGGCAUACUUUAGAUUCUACGGCUAAGGCAUAGAAGACGACCUUCAUCUAUUCUCUUUAUUAUGCCGUGGUCGGGUUUUGAGUCUUACUCAAAUUCACACCUCACAACGCAACCAAGAACUCCUUCUUUGCUGGUCUAUUUUGAACUCUUUCAAAAACUUGUCAAGGCAUGUAUCUUGUUGAAACUUCUAUUAAGCGCUUUCGAUCUAUCUCCAUAGAUCUUUGAUGCUCAACCUUCAAGUAGCAUAAUCCAGGUACUCCUUUGAAAACUUCUUUCAAACAACCUUGUAUGCUUUACAGAAAUUCUACAUUACUUCUGAUCCACAAUAUGUCAACCACAUAUACCUAUCAGAAAUUCUAUAGUGCUCCCACUCACUUCUUUGGAUUAACUGGUCAACUGACCAGUGGGUCCCGAGCGUCAUAGGCACAAGUUUUAAUAUCGAUUAAAUAUUGAUUUAUCAGAUUAAUUUAAUGAGGGACCCACGUGGCAUUCUCUCAUUAUUCUAAUUAAUUAAUUUAACUAAUAUAUCUAUUUAACUAAUUCAUUAACUCAUUAAUUAAUUAUUAUAUCUAUUUAUUUAUUUAUAAAAACAUAUAUUUUUAUUAUUUUUAUUAACUAUCGCGUGGGGCCUCCCUGUCAUAGACAGCGGGUGCAUUGGCCCCACCGGUAAGUGACCCUAGGCCAAAAACACAUUUUUAAUCACAAAUACAUAACCAUACAAAUGUCGUAUUUCUCCACAUGCCUAUAUACGCAAAUACAUACAUAAAUAUGGGUAUCAAAUACAUACAUACACACAUACAUACGGAAUACAACAUUUGUUUUUUUUUUCUCUCAAAACUCUCAUCUCCCUCUCUCUGUUAAUAAAUAUAACAGAGAGGUUCUUUGCUAACUCCACAUAGAAGAACCAAAUGUUCAAUCCUUCCUACCGGAGUCUACCAUCGACGGAUCGAAGCCUCGUUUGCCGGAACGGAACCGGGGCGGUGAGGGGAACGCGACGGUGGGAGGAGCCCGAGGAGGGGCUCACCGACGUUGACGGGAGGGGCCGGUGAAGCCGGAGUUCGCGGGAAGGGGCGGAGGAGACGGCGUGGAGGCGUUCCUGGAGGCGGUGAUGAUGAUGCCGGUGAGGACGGUGGUGAUGGUGGUGACGCGCCGGCGAGGGCCUCCCGGAGCCGUGGUGGUGGUGGUUGCCGGAGUUGGUGAAGGGGCCGGCCGAUGGUGGUCCGGGGGAUUGUCGACCGAGGUGUGGGGGCUCGGGUUGGGGUCGAGAGGGGCCGGCCGACGGGAUGGGGAGGGCCCCGGCCGCCGGAUCUGGAGGGGUGGUGGUCGGCUCUAGGGGAGAGGCGAGGGAGGCCGGCGGUGGAGAGGUGCUGGCCGGCGUGGUGGAGGGCCGAGGGACUCGCCGGUUCGGUGGGAUGGGGGAGGGGCUUCGGGUGGACGAGGAGGUGGCCGAGGUGGGGAGGGAGCGGUGUAACGAGAGGAGAGGUUCCUCUCAUGGGGGGAAGAUCUGGUGGGGAGGAGAGGGAGUUGCGAGGUGAGAGGAGGGUUCCUCUCGUGGGCUGGGUGGGGGCUCGGUGUGGAGGGGUUUGGUGGGGAGGGAACCGACAGGCAGGGGAGGGAUCGGUGGGGGUGGGGCCUCCAGCGAUGGGAAAGGUGGGUGGCGGCGGCCGAGGGGGGGGGCUGACGAGGGAGGGAGGGGUCUCGCGAGGGGGUGGGGAGCGAGGGUCUCGCCAGGGGGAGUGCUAGGGUUCCUAGCGGGACUGAUGGGUGGCCUGGCCGGCUGGGCCACUAGGCCCAGUUGGGCCAAGUGGGGGGGGGUUCGGUUGUUUGCCUUUUUUUUAUCAUUUGUUUUUCUUUCUUUUACUUUCUGACAUUCUAUCAUUAUUAUUUUCUUAUAUAUUUAUAUCUUUCUGUUCUAACCAUAUAGGACUUUUAAUACAAUUAAAAAUGUCCGAUUCGUUUUUAUAACAUAUUAGAGAAUUUCAACAACUCUCCCGACAUUUUUACUUAACACCACGAAACGUUUCUCGUUCGACUUUAUUCGUAAAUUUCGAACUCGACUGGUUUUUCGACUAACACGAGAUCCACAAUAGAAUUUAUGAUGACGUGGCUUCACUAGCGUGGGAUUACUGUCGCUUGACUACAGGAGUUACUGUAGCACCAAUCCGAGGAUGUCACAACUUGGGACGUGAAAAUGAACUCUUAUAGUCGAAUUCCACGGUUUCACUCGGAGGAGCAUUGCGAACUUGUUCCAAGCAAGUUGUCCAACGGCUACAAGUCGGCUUGAUCACAUCCCAAUGACCUUGGAGUGACCGAAAGGUCCAUGUUGUCCUAUUGGGAUACUUGGCCAUGAAUUGGAAGUACUGAUCUUCGAUUCUUUGCUAAUACGUCUUGAUGGUUUGAGACACACUCGUGCAAGCAUCCAUAGACACCGUACUCCAAGCCUUGAUCAAGAUUUGAUCUUCCAAGAUCAUGUAGUUCUUUGAUCUCAUGCUUAUUUUGCUUGCGAUUGCUGAUACGUCCGCUCAUCUACCUCCUCCACUUCAUCUUCACCACCGUGGUCAUCCACGCCACCCUCCAAUUCAUAGUAAUCAAAACCAGCGAUCCAGGCUUGAUCGAUGUCGAUGAUGUUGGUGUCCAACAAGUUUAUGAACUCGGCCUUGACAUUGUUCGAACCACCGCUACAUUGAGUGACAUCACGUCACGAGCUACCACAAUGGCGAAAAAUCGAAGCAAGAAUAAGGGAGGGAAGAUGCAUACCUUCUGGCCCUUUCAUCGAACACCUCGCCUGCGAUUGAAGCAGCGCCGUAGAAGGCACCGUCGGGGAACGUCUCGCCGGGGCGGAGGGAGUGGGCGAGGGCUUUUUCGUAGGAACCUUUUUCCACUUCACGCCCGAAACCCGUCUCAUCUUCCCCGCCGAAGGCCGAGCAGAUCGUGCAGCAGGGCGGAGCCCCGCACGAGUUCCUUUCCGGCGGGGCCAGUCGGAAUGCCGCCCUGCACGACAACGUUGCCUUGCCACUUGCGGACAGGCGCGUCGGUGCCUCGGGCGACGAUGGGGGCUACAUGACCGGCGACGAGAUCCGCCGGACGGGAUUGCGCGUGCGUGACCUCCACGUUGACGAGAUCCGCCGACUGGGAGGCUUCCAUGGCGGUGAAGAAUGGCGGGGAAGAUGGUCCGGAGCACGUGGUGGCGGGGUAAUGGUUGCCGAGGAGGGGGAGCGGGGAACGGUCGCGCGAAAAUUUCGGUCGCGCCAAAUCUCGUUGCGGAUAAGGGGCGAGCUUGGGUCGGCCUCCCAUCCCGUGAAUCUGAAGCUUAAGGGCAAAUUUUUACCGUACCCGCAAAAAAAUUAACGGAUUUAACGUGUUUGCGGAGUCUGAUCUAGCAACAUUUUUUAUCUAAUCCGUAUUUUAACGAUUAUUUUACGGAUCGGGGCAUUAGGGAAUGCUCUCACGCCUCCAACACUGACUAAUGUUGCGCACAGAGACUUACGAGGACUGUGUGAGGAUGACUGAGAGUCUCAGACGAUGAGACACUUGAAGAGGUGGGAUCCACGGAACAAAGAGAGUUGGAGAAACAGUGAGCCUGGAGAAGGUACUGUGCUCUGUGCUAGUCCCAGACUCCCGGUGUAUGGUCCUGCCGGUCCCAGCUGUAAGGGUUGGCGUGUGUGUGCGUGGUUAAACGAGGUGGAUAUAAAGAAUUCUGAAUUUCACAUACCCCUUCUGUUAGAGUUGUGUCGAAUAUUAUUGUAUAAGGUAAGUUACAGUUGGACUCUGAGUAGUAUUGUGUUUAGACAGGAUAUAGAGUCGUGUCCUGAUAGGAUCAGGACACUUGUAUCCUAGGCCUCUCAUACAUAGCGGGGGUAGACAUGCAAUGUAAUCUAAGCCAACAUAAUAGCACAGGCACACGGGGGAGCCCACGGCGUGUGCCGGCGCCCAGGCGGCCGGCGUGCGGUAUUGUGACGGUGUCACAGGGAGGAGCGUCCGUAGUCAGGCCCCGGGGAUGUAGGCAUAUCGAUGAACCUCGUUAACAAAUCUCGGUGUCGUGCUCGUGUGAUUGUUUGGUGUCGAUAGAUUGACGAAGUGCCUCGAAUUUAUUCAAAGAAGUGGUAUCAGAAAUAUCGAGUUUGAGAUGCAGCCCGGUGCGGCGUGGUUCUCGACGAGAUUGGAAAAGAGCAAUCAGAAAAGCUUUCGACGAGUUCGUAUAGCAGUUGAUUCGAUCCAGCAGGGGGCGGUAGAUCACGCCACAGGCGCAGCAGCGCUACAGUAUCGGACAGGCCACAUGGUCGUCCGAGAGGGGCCAGGAAGCAGGCCGAGUAGCAGGCGCAGUUGAGUUGGAGGCGUGCGUGUGCGUAGCACAAGGGAGCCGUUGUGCACAAGGCAAGAUGUGUGCGCUGUGCAGAACAAAUUGAAGCAAGCCGGAGAUUUGUUUUGGAAACAAAAAAAGAGGACCGGGUCCUCGUAUACGACGACAUGGACAUGCACAAGGCAGAUCAAUCAAGGGAAAAGAAAUUCAGCAAGGAAUAUGUUUCAUCGGGAAGGCAAGGAUUUGACAGAGUAAUUAGCUAGCUUCGGGAGUUGUGCUAGUGAGCUAUACACGUAAAGACAGGAAGUUGUUUGGGUUGGAAAUUGCUAUCAGUACGCGGAGGCUAGCCGUGUACUCGGGGCAUUGCGCGGAAAGCUCGGUUAAUUUUUCACAGGGUCAGCUGUACAAAGAACCAGGACGCUAACGGAUAUCAGGUUUGAGGUGGAGAAGUUCGAUGGAAUUAAAAACUUUGGGUUAUGGCAGACAUGUGUGAAAGAUUGUAGGCAUAAAAAGAUGUUUGAAGGCGUUGCGGGAAGUCAUGCCGGCUAAGAUGGAAUUAUUAUGUGAUGGAUGGAAAUUCGCGGAAGAUGAUUUGCGAGCCUAGAGUGUGUCGUGCAGUCGGACGAUUUCGGCUGGGUUAGACUAGACAGUCUGACAGAUCGACACGAGUCGGUUGUGCAGAAGACGGCGGUGAUUUCAGCGACGACGACAUAGGAGCGUGAUGCUGAUGGUGGCCAACUUCUGGGGCGUGGAAACAUGUGGUGGAGGUCUGAGGGCUUGUGUGGCUUCGACUAUGAUUGCUUGGUCCUUGGAUGAUCAACGGAGUGCCUCGGAUUUAUUCUAUCAAGUGGUCACCUUCUCUGUUCCCUUCUCUGCUUCGUCUACCUCCCAUUUCCUUCUCCCAUUAUUCCCCAAAUCCGUCUUUGUUCUCCACAAAUACGUAGCAGCAUACCACAGGCCUGUACCCGGAGCCGAUAUAUCCGGCGACGCCAUGGGAUGGGGUGGCCGGAUUUGGACGGCAACGAUGGCAGCGGCGGCGGCCGAUGAGGCAGCUGCGGAUGGGGGAAUGUGAGACAAAUUAUUUGUUCUUUGACUCUGUUCCAGGAUCACCAUUUCCAUCAAGAUGACGUUGAAGGUGUUGCGGUAAAAGCGUCAGCUGCAGCAGCUGGCGAAGCAAGAGUAGGUUGUUGCUUGCCAAACCUUCUGAAGAUUGGCCAGGGUGCUCCAUACUAUGUUGUGUUGAAGGUGCAAGAGAACCGCUAGCGAUUGCACAGACCGGAGAAGAACCCUCGUCUGUUAAUCUUUAGUACUGAUGAAUGUCUAUGUAAUUUUGACACCACAGGCCUGUUUGUAUAGUGAAGAAAAUCCAAAUAUAUCAUUUUUUUUGUUGCAAAGUAGUCUUAUAGAAAUGGAAGAGAUUUGAAUGCGAGUCAUUAUGGUUUAACCUAAAAAUAAUAGGUAAUUAUUUACAUUAGUUACUACCACUACCUGAAGGAUCAAUAUGCAUGUUGGCUUUUGUACCUUUUAGCUGUUGGUAUAUAUCAGCAAACUGCUGUGUUACUGUAAUUUUGUAGAUGGUAUUAGUCAAAUAUGAUGAGCUCAUGGAUCACACAAAUUCAUCACCGACAUUUGGUGGAUCUGAAUCUGGACAUAGGUAUCAUCAGAUGUGUACGCUCUCUUCUUUUAUAUCUUGUUGAUGUUGAUUUAAAUGAAUUUGGCUUUUACAAAUAGAAAAAUCUAAACAAGCACUUUGCAUUAAAUUUCAUUUUUUGAGGGGCAUUGAAUUUCCAAGAUUAGUAGUGACUGACAAAAUAUAGUUCCAUCUUUUCGUUCACCAGAAAAAGUUAAUGGACUCAUGGCCCAAUUGUGUCCAGGACAAUGGAAAGUAAGGCGACACGCUGGCAACCAGAGUGGGAAGCAUUAGGAAUCGCAUAUUCGGAUCUCACAGUGAAAAGUCAGCUGGGUAACAAAUGGGAGCAGCAUACUGUUGCUCUCUGAAUUUUGUUUCUGAAAUACAUAAAACAGGAUCCGUUGUGUUUUUGCUAGCGUUGAAAGUUUUUGAACAAAGAUAAUAACAAAUAAAAUGAUCCUAAAUCCCAAACAACGAAUAAAACAUUGGCUUUUGUAUUCACUGUUCUGUGCUGAAACACAAACGAAUAAAGCGAUUAUUCUAGCAGACAAGCAAUCAAUCCUCACUGAGGUACCUCAAUCUCAACUAAACUAGUACCUCGAAUCUCAACUACACCAUGUUCAAUAAUUGUUGAAUAGCUGUUGGGUAGCUGCUUCUGCAUUUCGCGGAUUCACUAUGACUCUCGAGGGAGCUGGUGCCACAACCGGAAGCAGCACCUCGUUUACUAGAUAGCUUCAGCAUCGUGUUGCAGUGGUUGCAUGCCGCGUACAUAAGUUGCGGAUUUUUUGGUGUAUAUCUUGGUGAAGCUGUCCCAUUGGUCUGCUCUCGGGCCAACCGGACCAUCUAAUGAUGAAAGAAAGAAGGGAUGUCAAUAAUUAUGUGCUUGUAAUAGCUCUCCGCAAGGAAGAAAUCAAUCCGUCUAAGUAAGACCGUGUUGUUACUCUGUAGCGAGUACAGCUUACCGAUGAUGUAGUCUUUCGUGUUGAGAGGGCCCUCGUCUGCGCAUCAUAUAAAUUGACAUGAUCGAUUUAUAUUACGAUAACAUAUAUGAAUUUCUCCGUUCUAUAAUGUAACAGCGUUUUUGACAAUAGUGAGAGUAUAAGAUUUGCAUGAGAAAGAGGAUAAGAAGGUCACUUACCUGUUCCUUUCCUCUUCCUCUUCGGGCCGGCCUUGUUCUUUCCUUCCAGCGGGUAGAUGUGGCAUAAGGACAGAUCCUCCUACAGUGAAAUAGAAGAGGAGUAGUCAAAAUAUAAUUUGAGUUCAAGAGAAGGAGUAGUUAAACAUGUAUAAUUUCAUAAAGAAAACAAUAAUUCCCAAGGUAAGCGUGCUUCUUACCUCCAGAUACAAUCCAGGUCGAUCUUUCAUGGUCCUAAGUAGGUUGUACCGUGUCAUGCCAACAACGGCGUUGGUGCCAUCCGUGGGUUUGAACUCCAUCGUCGUCUUGGUCCCCACGAAUUUAGGGGAGUUGGGGGAAUUACCUUGGGAGGUGUUAGGGAUCGCGAACAUAGUUUCUUUGUGCCACUCCCCGAAACUCGCGUAAGCCGCCUUCCUGAUUUUAUUCGCCGCCGCCUCACGCAGCGAGGCGGUCUCUGUAUCAAACCCCUCCUUCACCCUCGCCUGCCUAAAGAAGUAAAACUUGGAUAGGCCGACGCCGGGGUUGCCCAGCCGGUAAACCUCCAUCUCCUCCUUCCUCAUAUGGGAUAUUGAGGUGAGGUUGGAUACCAACUCCUGGUCGCUAGUCCUAGAAGGAUCGAUGAACUCAUCCAGGGAGUAGAUAUCACCGAAGGAGGAAUUGGGGAAGUAUUUCUCACAAAAGGAUUCAACGCUUUCCAUCGGAGCCUUUGGAUUUCUAUUCAGGAUCAAAGCUUGGGGGGUUAGGAUUGGGGAAGAGGAAGCCGAGGAGGAUGAUUGACUCUGGCGAUGGGGCUGGCCUGUGCUGAAUCCUGAUCUGCUGUGGGAAGCGGGGCCUGAUAUAAAGUAAUAGGGUGAAGAGUCGAAGAGGGUGAGCAGACGUUCGGGUACCCGGCCUACUGGACGUCUCACUCUUAUCUUAUGCCAUUACUAGCUUUGACCGGGCGAGGGUGGCCUCCUCGCGUGUGCUGAUUGUCCUUUUUUUUUGGUAAAUGCUUUGCUUUAACGCGGAGUUCAGGAAUUACAUGUAAAUCAAAGGGUUGUAGGAGCCACAUAUGACGUCUUUCCCCCAAAUGCAAAGCAUGCUUAGCUAAGAGAUGAGCUUCCCUAUUAGACACUCUCCCUUCAUGAACAAAAGAAAUAUGUUGAAAAUUUGAAUUGCCAUCCUUAACUUUGUUCAUUAUUGGGCCUGUCAUUCCAUGUGUGCCCGAGUGACGAGCGUGGCCGGCCACACGCUCGCACACGGACUUUCACAGACUGGACUACAUGCCCGACUCUAAUUGGGCCCCCCAUAUUUUAACUGGUGGGCCUGCCUUGCUUAAUCGAAUCACACGUAAUCAAAUGUUAACCACCCUGUAAUUCCCCUGUAAACGUCCGUGUGUCUUUUUUUUUUUUGAGUGUAAACGUACGUGUGUGUCACCUGCUCGCACCAGGCAUGCCGAAAACGAUCAUACCCGUCCUCCGAUUUUAUUUAUGUGCACAUGUACGACUUCCCUCCGCCCCUACUUCUUUAUUUCAAGAAUUCCAAAAGUAUGCCACUGUUCAAUUCUUUUUUUUGACGGUAUAGCAGACAAUCAUACACAGGUACACUCAUCUUUAUAUACGCGCACACGCAUAUCGAGUUAUCCACGCAAAAAACAUCGCAAUUAGGACUAGGGUAUCAUAUUUGUGUUCAACAACGAAACUGGCUGAUUGGGCCCACCUGUCGGGCUCACAUCGCAUGCUUAUGUGGAUUAUAUGUUGAGUUAGAUGAGAGACCCGUGUGUCAAUGACUCAAGUACUUUUUUUUCACCUUUUCUUUUUUAUAUCAUCCUCUUUUUCUCUAUGGGCAUUUAGCCAAAUAUGUUAAGAACAUCUCCAGCCAUUCGGUCCCUAGUGGCCCGAAAUACCAUCGGCUAGGGAUCCGUCGGCGCAAAAAACGGGUGGGGGGGGGGGGGGGUCGGCGUUCCUAGCCGCCCACCCAAGGGCGCUCCAAGCCGUCGCUUUCGGCCCAGUUUCGACGCAAAUUUGGCCUGUUUUUUACCCAUAUUCGACAUUCUUCGGCACAAAUUAAACAACAAUAGUUAUUUUUUAUCACAUAGUUCAUCAUAGAAAUCAAUACAAACUAAAAAAUAGUUUAACAAGUCAAUACAAAUCAAAAAACGAGCAAGGUGUUGCCCUUCAGCCUUCAUAGGUGCUCCACCAAAUCGUGCUGCAGUUGUUGAUGCACCUGUGGGUCUCGGAUCUCCUAACGCAUGUUGAGGAAGGCAGUCCAGGUUGCCGGUAGCUGGUGAUUAACUUAGGCAAGAGGACCUUGCCUGUAAUAUUGUUCGGUGUCAAACACUGGCUCCUCCUACUCGCUCUCAUUGAUCAUGUUGUGCAAGAUGACACAGCAAGUCAUGAUUUUCCAUAUUUGAUCUUUCGACCAGGUCUGAGUGUGGUACCGGACAACCGCAAAACAAGAUUGAAGCACACCAAAUGCCCGCUCGACAUCCUUCCUGCAAGCUUUUUGAUGCUUGGCAAAAUAGGAGUGCUUGCCUCUUGGUGCAGGAUUUGAGAUAGUCUUCAUAAAUGUGGACCAUCUCGGAUAGAUGCCAUCUGCUAGGUAGUAUCCCUUGUUGUAGUAGUGUCCAUUGACCUCGUAGUUAAACGGAGGAGCAUGACCUUCAACAAGAUUGACAAAGACAUUCGAGCACUGCAUUACGUUGAUGUCAUUGUGAGUUCCUGGCAUACCAAAAAACGAGACAUUUGAGCCUUUUUUUUUGCAGGUAAGCUUCUCUCGAAAUGGGAAGGACCUUAUAUCAUCGAAGAAGUAUAUCGCUCAGGUGCUAUCAAGAUGAACACAUGGUGUACAAUGUUACUCCUGGAGCUGUAAGGAGGAAUAAAAGGGCUCUAGGGUCUGUUCUCUUCCUCCGUAUUUGUGUGUGUGAAUGACUGAUCAAAUGACCAGACCACCUCCUUCGGAGGGCUAUUGGGAGCAUUGUUAAGGAAAUCGGUAGCUGGUAGCUGCUCGAUCGGCUUGGGAGUAGCGAUUAAUCGGUGAAUCGUCCUAUUAACUGGAUUAAUCGAUCGACCAUUAAUCGAUAGAUUAAAUAAGAACAUGUGAACAUAUUCUAGUUUUUUUAUGCAUUAUACCCUACUCUCAUCCUCUCAGCUAUGAGAUAUACCAUAAUAGGCUACUGUUUGAUCAAAUCCUAUCUAUUGAGGAGCUAGAGGAGGAUUGGAGAGGUUACAUGCCAAAAUAUUUGGCCUAUUUGGCCCACGAGUUUGUAGGCCAUUUAAGAUUAAUCGGCCUCACAAUCUAUUAAUCGAUCUAACAUGCCAUUUAAUCAGCUUGACAAGCCAUUUAAUCGGCCCGACAAGUUAACGCGAUGAAUAGGUGUUAUUCGAAUCGGCCACACAAUGAGUAGCGAUUAACUGGCCCAUUAACUGAUUAAUCAGAUGAAUUAUUGAAAGUGACUGGGAGGCAUAUACUUGGGCCUCCCCGGCAAAAUAUGACGGCCCCCUCCUCUAUCGUUUCCGGCCUCCAGUGGGGACCGUCGUUGUGGAGUCCUCUCGACCAUUUGGCACGCCGGUUGUCGGGUCCCAUUGACUGUGGGGGCUGUCGACUGUUCAGUCUUUGUAAUUGCCAACCCCAUCACAGGCCUGAUCAUUUGGAAGAAGUUCUUACGCCUUCUACCGUUGGUCCGAGCAUGGACGGGCUUGGUGGUGGUAACUCCCAGACUGAUCCAAUUCAUACGCGAGCCUCCGGAAAACCCUCUCCCACUCUGAGAAAUAAGGACUUCCCUCAGAAAGGUCGAGACGCAAGAUAAUCUCCUUGGCGGUGCGUGCUUUUUCUUGAUGUAAUUAGAUUAAGAUAAUGGAAAUUAUAAGGGAUUUGUGUGUAUGACUCAUUUACUGCUGAUAACCAUGUGUUCACAUACCCUGACCAAAUCCUGAAUUUAUCUAAUUUUAGUGAUGAAUUUGUCUGUCCAUAAUAACGAGAGCAUAUGAAAGCUGUUCUUGUGAGUUGCUAAUCAUUAGCAACGGGCGCCUUGUACUCCCCAUAACAAAACAAAUCUUUUUUUAGAUGGGAGGGAGGACAAAAAAGGUCAGCUCUCUGGACUCUUUAAGGAAAAAAUCCUGCUGGACUCUCGAGACGGAGGAAUCUGGUCGUCACACUCACAGUACGCCGGGUACCCGCUCCCGGACAACUACUUCCUCUCAAAUGAAACUACUCCUUUGUUCGCUAUCGAAGAGCGGCAGGCCGUCCGAUGAAAUUCCAACGGUGCAGCUACGACUACAAGCUUGGUGUGUCUCCACGUUGAUAGGUGUUGAACAUUUUUCUUCCUAACACAACACAAAUGCAAGUGUUUGUAUACACAUCCAUGCAUUCACCGCUAUGAACGAACACACACCGUACCUCUAUGAACACUCCCACGAAAGACUGAGCCGGCAUAUCGUCUUCAGAUUUUAAAAGUCACCGUAGACUUCUCGUCGUCGACGGAAACACCUCGUUUCGCAUCGUCGAAAAUACUGAAAUAAAUUUAAAAAUAAAUGCCGGACAGGUAAGAAAGCACGGUACGGCUCCACGUUUUCUUUCUUAUUUCGCCAUGCUGUAGACUGUAGAGUACAUAUGAAACGGGCUAUGAUUGUAUGUAGCUGCACGGUUGGAUCUCCAUCGGACGGCAUGCCGCUCGUCUUCGCCAGCGAAAAAAAAGAGUGGGUGUGCGGAGUGGGUACGUACCCGGCGUAUUGUGCGCGUGACGACCAAAUUCCUCCGAAAGCUUUCUCUGCAGAGCGCAAAGAGCUCAGUUAAAAACAAGUCCAUGCUGCUGACCUUUGUUUGCUAUGGUGAGUCCGGGCCACCCGCUCGCACCGGCCACCGGUCAGAAACACAGAGCAGCACCGGGCGCCCGGUGCUAAGGCUUAGCAGCGCACAAUAACAGCUUAAAAAAAACCGGAGGCAAAAGAUUUACCUCAUUUAUUAAUUAAGAAAAAGUUAAGAGUUGCUUUUACAUCCAAAAACAAUAAGAUUAUUGUAGUGAUGAAGGACAGACAAAUUCAGGAUUUGAUCAGGGUUGGUGAACAUGGUUAAGGAGUCUGGAUCUCCACAGUGUAAUAGAAUCCCAGAUACGAGUAAUUUUUAGGAAGAUAACGUGGAAAUUAGCAUAGGCUAUAUGGAGAUAAAAGCGAUGCAAACAGUAGGACAGUGCACGACUGUUUACACCAAGAAAAGUACAAGCUGCAAAUACGAUUAAUAUAGAAACAAUAUUAGUAGUAUUGCCAGUGCAGUAAGAUUUAUUCAACAACAACCACCACAGUUACAGAUUUCUCCGAGGUAUAAGCUCAAGGAUUAUAAGGCGAUACUACAAACAUAAGCUGAAAGAAUAAAAGGGGCAGUGUACCAGACCACUGCUACAGUACAUACAAUCCAACAAGGUAAACUGCACUGCUAACAGUCGACCGAGCACAUCACGCGCAGAACGGAAGUUUAAAGAAGCAGCCGAGGCACCACUCAGCAACGUUCAGCACCGGAUCUUCAUCGUCUCGCGGCUGGGGAUUAGUCACCGGCGCCGGCGCCGGCGCCUCCCCCAUCCUCGCCUUCUUUACGAUGACGAUCAGCAGAGAGUAGAGGAAACAGGCAGCCAGGAACCCGACGACGCCACAGACAAGCCCGUUCUUGGUGACAUGAACGUGGUCUUGGGGCUGAUGAGCUGCUGAGGUGUGUACCGAGGGCCUUGGAAACGCUGUGGCUGCAGGUGGGGGCUCGUGGACUAACGCUGGAGGUGCGUGCGGGCUCCCAUGGAACGGUGCGAACAGGGGUGCUGGCUGUGGAUCGGCGUGUGCUGAGAAGGUUGGAGGCUCUAGAAAUGGUGUGGCGGAGGCCGGCGGCAAAGGACGUCCGGCGACGGCGAUGGCCAUGGUGAGAGACACGGCGACGAAGAUUGGAACAAGGUUUGCCAUGGCUCUGUUUUUCCUACUUGCGCACCUGCUACCAAAGGGUUGCGGAGCUGUACUCCUAUCGGUCACGUUUUAUACAGUAGGAAGGCGGGGGCAUGCAGCUAGCCGGGCACCCGGAGUGCAAUGUUGUCACUCGUCGAAGAGGCAAACGCGUGUCCGUGGUGAAAUAGAAGAACAAAGGUACGGGUACCCGCUUUGUUAUGGUGCCCGCGUCCACGGGGAAGAAAAAUGUACAGGGUACCCGGUCUCACAAACUCUGUUUUCACCUUCUAUACAUUAGGGCAUCCUUAAAUAAAACCCUCAAAUCGCCUGCAAAGUGCAAACGUCCGGAAAAAUGUUAUUCAGAUGUAUUUUGUCAACGUCAUCUCGCAUCGUCCGUGGACUAAUUUAUUCAUCUAUCUUUCUACAAACCGAAAGCAAACAUGAGGUUUUAUGAAAAACCAUUGCCACGUAGUACUCAGACACCCGGCCCACCCAAAACCUCUUCAAAACCCACGUCUCCAUCCCUCUCAUAUUCCUCUACAUCCGCUUCCUCCCUCGCCGACACCGCUGCUCUACCACCCGGCUGCCCGCCAAUCACUACCUUGACAUUCACGGCCUCCACCGCUGCAACCGGUCGCCACACCGCUUGUCCUAGCCGCUGGUCCACACCCCUCGACGUCCGUCGAGCAUGUAGCAUAUGCCCCAUGGAGGUCACCACGCCCAACAAAUGUUUGGUGAAAUGUUCGUGCUAAACUUUUUGUUCCUUAUUUUAUGCAAUGGAUUCAGACAUAAAGUUCAUGCACAAGUAAUAUGUUGAGUCGUCUGAUGAGAAGGAUUAUGCGGAUGAAUCGAAGAUGAUGAAGUCAGUCCCUGCGGACGCAGAGCGUGCGGAAUAUCACGUUCUCAGUUUCAAGGGAGCAAUCAAGGGUCGUCGAAUAUUGGAUCAAAACAGGGGACGUGAGGUUUGAUGUUGUUGGACUACUACUUUGCCCCGAUGCCCCAUUCACGGACAAUUGUUGCCAACGCUCUCGCAUGCCAAAAUAAUAUCCCCGCCCCACUCUACAAUACUAAUGACUACUUCAGGUUGAGGUAGGGUGUUUAUGAAGGAUUGGAUUCUCUAGUUAACAAAAGUGCACGAGUGCAUUGUAGAUGCUUGCAUAUGGCACGACCACAGGUUGAUCGGACGAGUGCAUCCGGAUGUCUGAGAGCACAUGCGGAGUCGCCAUGGUCAGAUUUUCUACUACGGUUGUUAAGGUGUUUGGACCUAAGUACUUGAGAGAACCAACCGCCGCAGACACCGAGAGGAUCUUGGUAAUACCCACACAAUCUGACAUUUUCUAGAUCGUAACUUGCACAUCUACCCAUAGAUCGCUCAUAAUGCCACUGUUAGGAAAUGUAAUAGAAAAAAAAAUUGACUAUAUCGCCGAGAAACGUAAUGCACCCAGCGACUAUCACCCACUCCUCGUCGUCGCUACACCAGCGACUAUAUCGCCAGCUCUUCUCAUCGUUGCACCACCCAACGACUAUAUUGCCCGCCCCGAGGCACUAGUGGGGUCGCCACCCCGGAGCAAGCGCAGCCUCACCUCGACCUUGCUCUGAUACUAAAUGUUGAAACUCGUCCACGGAUCAAUCACAUCAAAUCACGACAACACGCACACAUAAAAUCUUAUAGCCAAGGGCCCUUGUCGUGUCCUAAUUUUUCCUCUUUAGUUUCUCCUUUUUUUCAACUCACGAUAUUGCAAAUCUGAAGACGUGCUCGUGCUCAUAUACACACACGCAGCACCUGACCCAACAUGAAUCGGUGAUGGACUCAAUCACAUAUUCGUACUAGUAUCCAGCCUAGCCUAAGCAAGGUAGGACACGGCACAACUAAUCAGCAAGGAAAACUAUCAUGGACGCUUACACUAUCCUAACUAGCCGGAUACAAUUUCUAAACUUAUACGUGCAUGACCAGUCCUACUAUUACUUGGAUUAGGACACCCAAAACCAUCGUCCAAGAUGUCAACUGCAACAACAACAUGCUCAUAGCUGCACGGUUUGAUCUCCAUGCAUAUGGGACGGCCUGCCGCUCGUCUUGGGUACUCUAAAAGAAGAGCAAGGUGUGCGGGUGCGGGUACCCGGCGUAUUGUGACUUGUGAGUCGUGAGGAACAAAUUCUGACCGGGCACGGAAGCUAUCUUCACGGAGCUGACUCUGUUUGGCGUUCCAUCGAAAAGAGCUUAGUUCCUGAGACAGAGAGCAGUACCGGGCAGCGGCCGGUACUAAUGAUUAGCAGCUCUGGAGAACAAGUUCUGCCUAUUCUAGCGAUUAAGAACAUACAAAUUCACCACUAAAAAUAGUUAAAUUAAGGAUUUGGUUACUGGUUAGCGUUUGUGAACAUGGUUAUGAGCAGUAGUAAACAGGGUCAUGCACACAAAUUCCGUAGUAACUUCCAUCAUCCUAAACGAGUUACACCAAGAAAAAGCACACCUUGUAAACACGGCUAAUACAAGAUCGGUAUUGCUAGUGCGGUACGAAUGUAUCCAACAACAACCACCGUUACAAAUAUCUGCGAGGUAUAAGCACAAUGUUUAAGAUGCGAUGCUACAAAUACAAGCUGAAUAUAUAAAAGGGAUGUCUGGUAAUAUGCCACUGCUACGGUAGAAUACAUACAAUCCAACGACAAAGUUACUGCACGAAGCAGACGAGGCACCACCAAAGCGUCUUCCUCUUGCGGUUGCGGAGCAGUUGCCGUGGCCGGCUCCGUCGUGGGAACGGAAUCUCGAUCGGGCGGCUGCAGCCCGUCUUCGGCAGCGAACAAAAGAUAGGAGCGGGUAACCGGCCGGUUGUGACGUGACGCCCAAAUUUCUCCGAGUCCAGAGCUAGAUGCCUGUUCGGCAUCGCUCCCUGAAGCUGGGCGAGCGGAGCGCACUUAGACCAGCUCCCGGCGCCUAGAUAUCUCUCCUCCGACGCGGAGUCACCGAGCUGCCUAGAUAUUUAUAUCUCCUCCGACGCGGAGUCACGGAACGGAGGGCUAGAUAUCUCCCAGUUUUAAAAGAAAAGGUCGAGAGAGCUGACCAUUGUUUGGCUUCCCAUCUAAAUAAAAAAUACAAAAGCUUUGCCUUGCAACGGGGAGUCGGCGCACCCGUUUGCCAGCAGCUAUCAAAUACUAUCUCCAUCACGUUUUUUUCCUUAGGUUUAAGACGCGUUGCAUUUAUUCAUAACAGCUAAUUAGUACUCUGUUGUAAUACUUCUAUAUGCAUCCGUAGUGUGAAUGUUAUUUUUUAACUUAUUUCACAAUCAAUCAACAACCACCUAGGUCCUAAAGAAUUUUCAUACACGUCUUUUAAACCGUGACAGAGGAAGUAACAGUUUUUUAUUAUAUAUUCUAAUGAGUAGCUAGGAACACACAAGCCUAGGAUUUGGUCGGCGUUUAUGAAUAUAUUUAUGAACAGUGAUGGAGCCACGAUCUCGACACAACCAAGCGAAAACACGCAUCAACCAAGCGAAAGCACGCAUCAUAAACACGGCUAAUACAAGAUCAAUAUACAUGAUAUUGCUAAUAUCUAUAGCUCAGACGCCCAGACAGACGAUCCGGUCAUAAAAUUUCAAUCUAGACGGGUGUUUGAAACGAGCCUCAAACGUACGAACUGUCCGACACCCUUCAUAUCUAGCCCAAAUAUAAGAGGGAUAUGAGGCAGCCCGGAUGUGCUCGGGCAUGUCCGUCACGUCACCCCGGCCCACCCCGACCACAUUCCGUCCCCCACAAAUAUGCCCAAUCCAGAAACCCUAUCUCGGUUCCGUCUAUUCUUUUCCUCUGAUUUCUUCGAUUUCAUCCACUCCAACUACUUCGGUGACCAUGUCGAGCUCCGGCAGCUGCUCUGACUCCGACAUCGACAUCAGCGAGGAGCUGGUCUUCCGCACUGCCCUCGAGAGGUCCAAGGUGGACAUGGGGGUAGUUUCGAAUAUGCUGCCUCACCUCUCCCUCGCCGGCGCCGCGAGGACAUCGGUUGUGGCACCUCCCGGCCCACGCGCGGCUUCACGCCUCCCCACCCCGUCUCGUGCCCCCCGUCGCCCGCUGCUCCACGUGGGCAGCGGUGGGUGCUAGUUCUCGCACCGCCGGCCCGGACGGGCACUCCGAAAUCGAAGGCGCGCGCUACCUGCCAUAGGAGGCAGUGAGGAAGGAAGACAAAGGCGGCGAAGCUGUCCGUGCGCCGCCAACGCUGGUUGCCGGCAGAGCCCGACGAGGACGAGCGGCUCCUCUUGGGUCUACCAUCGGUCGCUUAAAACGACAGAGAUGGAUGCUCGGCGGCUACGUUGGAAGAACGCCUAGGCGCUCCGGCUUGCCAUUGAGCAGUCGGAGCGCGAGGCGGCGAAGGCAGCGGCCAGGGCGGCUCGGGUGGCGAAGCUCAAGCGGCAGCAGGACAAGGUCGUCCGACAGCUCAAAGGGUUGUCCAUCCUCUUCUCCUCCGACUCCUUCGACGACGAUUACCACAACGCCUCGUUCGACAACUCGGACGAUCCUCCACCAGUGGUUGACGCCUACAACAACGUCGUCAACCGAAAAGGGAAAAGGCCGGUGAGGAAGUGGUGAAGAUUCGUCUUCUUUACCUCAAUUCCAAGUUUUUAGAUAUAGUUUGAAGUUUUGAACUUGUCCAUCGUAUUAUGUGCAUUGUAUGAACUUUGGCUAUCUUUUGAAGAUCCAGCUGUGAUCUUUUGCUCAACGGAUUGUGCAUUUGUAUGUCCGCUCAUGAUCUACGUAGUAUGGAUAUAGCGGAUCGGAUAUGAGAUACGUGAAUGCGGACGAGGAAAUUUAAGAACUGACCAGAUCAGUGUUCGCGGAUACGCAGGGCUAGAUUUGCCAUGUCCGAUUGUAGAUGCUGUCAUGGAAAAAAGUUUUUGUAUAUUCUGUUCAGUAGCUAGGAACGGACAAGUUCAGGAUUUGAUCAGGGCUUGUGAAUAUGUUUAUGAGCAGUGAUGGAGCCAGGAUCGCGACACAACCAAGCGAAAGCACGCCUCAUAAACACGGUUAAUACAAGAUUAAUAUACAAAGUAUUGCUAGUGCAGUACACAUUCGUUCAACAACAGCCACAGUUACAAAUAUCUCCGAGGUAUAUAAGCUCAAUGACUAAAAAACUCUACUACAAAUAAAUAAGCUGAAUAUGAAAGGACAUGUAUUGUACUACUGCUACGGAACAUGCUAUUCAAUAACAAACUUGCACCCCUAACAAUCGGCCGGAAACAUCACGCGCACAAUGGAUGUGUAAAGAAGUAGCCGGCAACGUUGAGCACGGAUCUUGCGGCUGUGGAUCAGUCGCCGGCGACGGGGCCCUCGUGUUCAGUGAGCGCUUUAUGAGGCCUUCCGUAAUGGUAGUAUCUUGGCACAAUAUCAUAGGCAAAAUGCUGACGUGGCACUAUAUUUAUUGAGGAAAGAGGAGGUUGUUGUAUCUUAUUUAGGAUACGGCUCUUGCACGGUAUCAUAGCAAAAUAACUUGUUAGAUCAAUCACAUAUUAGUAUGAGGCCAAAAUCAUUAAAUACAUGCUUACUAAGAUACGACACUUAACAUACAAUACAUUAGGAUGGUUGUAUCUAACGAUCGUAUACUACCUAGGAUACCGCGCUAAGAGACAAUGCAUUACGGAAGGCCUGAUCACAAUCAGCAGAGAAUAAUAGAUGCUUCGACAUACUCUGUCUUAUACCGUAGGAAGGGAGGCUCAUGCAGCUGGCCGGGUACCCGGGUGCAAGGCUACUCAUUGGAGUGGAAGAGGUGAAACGCGGGACGACGAAAGCACGGGUGCCUGCACUGCUUUGGUGCCCACGCCCAUUGCGAAGAAAAAUGUACAAGGGCGCGGGUACCCGGCGAAAGCGAUGGGCGUAGUGAGAAGUAUUAGGCAUGUUUGGUUCCUUGGCUCGCACUUGCAUCGCACCCAUCAUGUAAUAUUCGCGACGUUUCGUAGGUUGCACGUCUCUCUUGGCCAGGCCCGGCUGAUGCAAAAUAGACCCCUGAGCCAGGCUGAGCUCGCACACAGGGAUCGGCCGUUUCAAUGAGCCUGUACCCGGGCGUGCAAAGUCUCUAGCUAGGUUUCCUCCCCAGUCUAUCGUCUCGUAUUUCCCUUGCUCUCCCCGAAGCUCUCUCCUCUGGUGCAACGCAAGUGGAUCCCGGCCGCAUCUUCGUCGCCCUUGUUGGCAUCUCGUCACCGGUGGCAAGGCAUCUGUCCUUCUCUAUCCCCCCCCCCCCCCAUUUGCGUCCCAAGCUAUGGCCCUCCUUCCUGUCUCCCAGCAUGGAUCUCGUCGUCGUCCUCGCCCCCGCCUCCCCGCGGAUCUGACCCUCAGAGCAAGUACGGGACUACGGCGGAACGUACACAGCGCACCCUCACUCGCAGCCACCCACUAGUUCUGGUUGUGAGAGUUGUCUGCCGCUUGAUCCAGUUGUGUGAGGAAGCAAGGGACCAGCUGCAAAUCCAGUUGCUACGGAACAUGCUAUCCAACAACAAACUUGCACCGCUAACAAUCGGCCGGAAACAUCACGCGCACAACUGAAGUGUAAAGAAGCAGCCUAGGCACCACCCAGCAACGUUCACCGCGGGAUCUUGCGGCUGUGGAUCAGUCGCCGGCGCCGGGGCCCCCGCGUUGAGUGAGCGCUUUAUGAUGACAAUCAGCAGAGAAUAGAGCAAACAUGCCGCGAGGAACCCGAUCACGCCACAAACGAGCCCGUUCGUUGUGACGUAGGCUGCCGAGGCCGGUACCGGAGGCGGGAGGAUCGCCGUGGCUGCAGUUGGGGGAUCGUGGGCAAAGGCUGGAGGUGCCAACAUGGGUGGUGGCCCGACGCGCGCUGAGAAGGUUGGAGGCUCGAGAAAUGGCAUGGUGGAGGCCGGCGGCAAAGCACGUCCGGCCUAGCGAAGGCGAUGGGCCUAGUGAGAAGUACGGCAAGGUUACUCAUUGGAGUGGAAGAGGUGAAACGCGUUUCCAUUAUGAAGUAGACUGACGAUGGCCUGCUGAGAAGAACGGCGAAGGCGAUGGGCCUAGUGAGAAAAGUACGACGACCUGAGCUCAAAAAUAAUAACUAAUUUAAAAUGAGCUCAGAAAAAGAAGUAUGGCGACCAAGACUGGGGGAAGGUGGUUUGCCAUUGGCUCUGUUUUUCUUUUCUGAGCCGCUGUUAUCAAAAGGGUCGUCCGUUUUAUACAGUAGGAAGGCAGCUGGCCGGGUACCCGGGUGCAAGGUUACUCAUUGGAGUGAAACAGACCGACGAAAGCACGGGUGCCCGCUCUGCUUUGGUGCCCACGCCCAUUGCGAAGAAAAAUGUACACGGGCGGGUACCCGGCCCCAGAUACUCUGCUUUCGACUUGUAUAUUAAAUUAUGAACUUAAACUUCAUUUCCGGUGGAUUAGGUGUAGAGCAGUACCCCUCCGUCCUAUAAAUAAGAGUAUCCUUGACAUGUUAGAAAUACUUUUAUGUUAAGGGACGAAGGAAGUACAAUAUUAUAUUAAAAAUAAUAGUAACAUGGACAAUUUCCCCAUCAUAUAUUAAUCAAAAGAAAGCAAUGUCGUCUUGAACAAACCAUGGCUCUGGGUAUUCCUUUUUGCAUGUAUCCAAAAAUAAAAUGAUAUAUAAAAUAAAAUAAAAUAGGGUAUGCUUGGAACACAUCACAUAGUUAUUGCACAUCUAAAUGACUCAAUCAAGCAUAAAAAGAAAAAGAAAAAUAAUAUGGGACGAAUAUAAGGGUGGCCCGGGUAGCCCGUCGGCUUGGCCCACCCCCACCUCUCAAAUAUCACCAUAUGACAAACCCUAGAUAUCGGUCAAUCCAAACUCCACUCCACUCCCAUCUUCGUCCACCCCACUUUCGAUCCCAUCCCCUUCGAUCCGAUGGUCGGUGACGGAAGCAGCAGUGGCUCCAGCGGAGAAUCCGAUGCCUCGAUCAUCGAUGUGGAAGAGCUCGUCCUUCGCGUCGCCAUUAGGAGGUCACUGCUCGACCAAGGCGGCCCCGGCACCGGCGGAUCUUCCCCAACGCCCGUCGCUUGUCGACGCAACACCCACGACGUCGCAAACCCUUCCCGCCCGGCACGCAACUCCGCUCCACUCCUUCAGGUACGCCGUCCACCUUCACCAUCCUCUGGUCCGGAACUGGUACCGUGGCACCGCUGGGUCCUCGUGCCUGCGUCGGGGCCGAAGCGCACGAGUACGUCCGAGUUUGAGGCACGUGCAGCCACGCGCGAGCGGCAGCGGGCGAGGGAGAGGGGGAGGCGAUGUCCGCACGCCAUUAGCGCAUGAGCGCCGGUGACGUCGCCAACCUUUCACGCACGACGCGCAGCUCCGCUCUGAUAGGUCCGCUUCGCUCCUUCAUGUACGACGUCCACCUCCACCACCCUCUGGGCCCUCGUGCCCGCGCCGCGACCGGGGUGCACGAGUACGCUCGAGUCCGAGGCACGUGCAGCCCGACACGAGCGGCAGCAGGAGAGGGAGAGGGGGAGGCAUUGUCCGCACGAGCGCGUCGGCCGACCCCCGAGGACGUGCUCCUCGCGCCGGUCCUCCACCGCUCUCUCACGACAGGGGAGACGAAUGUCUGGUGCCUCCGCCGCAAGAAUACCAAGGCGCUCCGACUCGCCAUCGAGUUAUUGGAGCACGAGGCAAACAGGGAGGUGGCGGCCAAGGCAAAGGCGUCCCGCCAUGCGAAGGAGCACGACCGCCUGCUCCACAGGCUGUCGGGUAUGAGGUGCAGCUCCGACUCCGACCUGACGGGCGGCUCCACCUCCAGCUUCGAUGACGACGGAUGCUCCGCGCGCCGGCGUCCACACGGAAGAGAGGCACAACCACGCCAACAUUUGGAACGGGAAGGGGCCGGCGAGGAAAUGGUGAUUUCCUUCGCCCUUCCCUGUUCUGUUUAUAUUCUAACUAUGUUUUAAGUUGUUUGUAGUAUGGAUUUGCCUUUUAACUAUGCUCUUUUUUCCGGUGAUGUAAUGUUGAUCCGAUGAACUGUGUGUUAAUCUUGUUUUAUGUAGUGUUGCAUGAGUUGUAUGGUUUUAAGGGUUCAUAUAUGAGGGAUGCGGAUGUGAAAGCUAUAAAUAAAACGUAACUGAUUAGUGUCCGCGAACGUAUGAGGGCCAGAAUUCGCUAUGUUCGGUUGUACAUGCCCUAAACAAACCGAUAAACAAUUACAAUUGUCUAGUUUAUGANGGGAACCAGCUGCCUCCCGCGCGAGGUGGGAAGUGGAGUACGGGUUGGGGGCAGUUUUCUCUCCCAACCCUUACUUCUACAGGCUGGGAAAGGGUUUGAGGGUUGGACCUCUAAAUUUUUUACGGGUUUAAGGGUUUAAGGGUUUUAGUCUACGCCGUUUUUUCGAUGAAAACUGUAAAAAAACGGUUAUUUUUUAAGGGUUUGAGGGCUCUACUAGAAAUGCUCUAACGUCUUCCGCUCGCACAUUAGCAGGAACAUCACAAAACUCAGACGACUUGUAUCCUCUCCUACAUGAGACGAUCUCUGGUAGACCAUGAUUGUUACACCAACAUUGUAGGUCACUACCUCGGUGUACCUGGCAAAGCCGGGCCCGUAGGUCGCGUCGACCGAGCCUAAUAACUCGCGACAGCAUUAGAUUGCCACCCCUGCAAUCCAUAGCCGCAAGCCUAUCACAUAGAGCCGUGGCUAUGUCGCAUCUCAGACGGCCCAUCCAUGCUCAUCCGCCGUUACGGCUAUGAAUGACGACUUAUGCUCUAAAAUUUUAGCAUAGCACAAAAUUAGUUUGACUACUCACUCUUAAUUUAUUUGUCUUGAUGUUACUUACCCACUACAGCCGUGUCGAUCGACUACACCUUUUAUUUAGGCCACCUGCGACUGAUACCAACUCUCAAAUACUCCCAUGAUACCAUGUAAAAAAAAUUUAGAAUAUUCCAAAAAAAGUUGAAAGAAAUGUGAAUGUCAACAAGGAAUGUUCCUACAACCCCUACAAAUUUUAGGUCCAAAUUCGAAAUUCACAUGAGAAACAAAAAAAGACAAAUCCGUACAUGAAUAAUGGCAUCUUGACUUUUUGUCUUUUUGUGACACUAUACACGAUGGAUUUGUUUCUUUCUUCCCAAUAUGUUUUUGAAAUUUUGAUUUGACUUUUCUUUGGAUUGUACACUCGUGUGAUGUGAACAUCCAGAUUUUUUAGCGAUGGUAUCACCCAAAGGUUGGGAGCACAUGAUAUUCUCUCUAGGCGAUCCAACUUUGCAUCAAGAUCCAUGCAAUAUUUAUCUUUUUUUUGUUUCUUUCAAAUGAGAGAACGCUUGACUUGCAGGUCAACGCCACGCGGGCACACUGUUUGAAUAAAAUGUUUUUGAUUUUUCUUUAUGCAACAGAGAUUUGUCAAAUUAAAAAAUUCGAAUGAUUUUUAUCAUCUUAUAUAUUUCUAUAUGAAUUUUUAAUUUUGCUAACCUCAUGUACCAUGGGGUAUCAUCUUAUAUAUUUCUAUAUGAAUUUUUAAUUUUGCUAACCUCAUGUACCAUGGGGUAUCAUCUUAUAUAUUUCUGUCGCGUUACAAAUCCGCAACCAUGUUGUUUAAGUGAUAGCAAGUACAGUACAUUGCUUUAACGAAGAGGACGACUGUUGCUCUGAAUUUUGUUUCAGAAAUGCAUAAAGCGGGUCCGUUGUGUUUUCAGAAGUUUGAACAAGGGGAACAACGAGUAAAGCGAUACGGCGACACACCCGCUCUGUAUUCACUGUCCUCACUGAAACACAAAAGAAUAGCAGGAUUUACAAGGCGAGACGAGCAAUCAAUCCUCUUUGAGGCAGCUCAGUCUCAACCACACUACAUCUAACCUCAGCUAAACUACCUCUCAUCUGAACUACACCAGCUCUAAUUAUUCCGUGAUGCAAUCGGCGGAAUAGGCAUCGAUGAAGAGUUGCCGGGCAGCUGCUGCUGCUGCUUGGGUUUGCAUGGGCAGUGCUUAGGGUAAUGAUUGUUGAGGGAGCUGGUGGAUUGAUCUUUUAACUUCAACAUCGUGUUGCAGUGGUUGCACGCUCCGUACAUAACGUAAGGGUUUUUGGUGUAUAUCUUGGUGAAGUUGUGCCAAUGUUUUGAUUCUGGUCUCGGUCGCUUUGAGGAAUCAGUGGAGGGCAGAUCCGGAACAUCUAAUGAUGAAAGAAGGAUGUAAUGUUAAUGAUUAAUUGCUUGUUAGGAAGAAAUUGAUUCAUCUAAGUAAGAGCUUGUUGUUUGUCUGCAGCAAACUAGAGUUAAACUUACCCACGCCGUACUCAUCCACGUCCAUAGGUGAACGCUCUGUCGCAUCAUCUCUGGAAGCCACUUGGUCCUGUUCGUCCCACGGGAGAAUGAAAGGGUCAGCUGCACGUGCUCCUGUAAAUUUGCAAGAUGGAAUUAUAACGGUAAUAUAUAAAUGAUUUGCGCGAGAAAGAGGAUAGGAAGCUCAUUUACUUUUUCCCUUGGGUUUGAUUUCCAGCGGGUAGGUGUGGCAUAAAGACAGUUCUUCCUACAAACAGUAAAAAAGAAGAGGAGUGGGUUGGUAAACAUAUAUAACUUGAAAAGAAGAACAUGAAAUUCCAAGAUAAACAUGCUCCUUACAUCCAGAUACAAUCCACGGCGAUCUUUCAUAGUCAUAAGAAGGUUGUACCGCGUCAUGCCAACAACCGGCUUGGUGCCAUCCGUGGGUUUCAACUCCAUCGUCAUCUUGGUCCCCACGAAUUUAGGGGAGUUGCUGGAAUUACCUUGGGAGGUGUUAGGGAUGGAGACCAAUUUUGUAGGCGACCAAGUCCCCUGAUCCGUCUUCCAGCCUUCCAUGUGCUUGAUUAAGCACCAGAGCUCCAGUCGCUCGAUCAUUAGUCUGAGCUCGAGGCCGUCGGGGAAGGUAGCUGCUUCUGAGAACAGAUAUCAGCUGCUGGUCGCUACAUCUGGGAAGGUCUCGAGUCUGACUCUCAGGGAGGUAGUAGAUCUCAGCGAUGCCUGCCAUCGAAGCGUUGGGGAUUCGAUUCGGGACCUCUCGAAGGAGCUCUUGUGCUACGGGGAGCUAGGAUUGGGGAAGAGGAAGGCGGGGAGGCGUGGUUGACUGUGGAGAUUGAUGAUGCAGCAAUGUUUUGCUAUCGGGAUUGGGGAGGUGUGCUGCGAAUGGAGCGGCCAGGUCAGGUGGUAUAUAUGGACCAAAGACGGCCGGCCGGGCAGAGCCAAGGUGCGGGUACCCGGCAGGCGNCGAUCGCAAUCCCUAUUCGACGCUCGUGAGCGUCAAAAGGGGGCACGCAGCUUCGCUCAAGCUUGAUCUCAAAUUCGCGAGGCUGGUUCGUUUCCUUUCUGUUUCUUUUUUGUCUUUUCUUUUCUUCUUUCCUUUUUAUUCUUUCCUUUUCUGCUUCUGUUUCUUUUUUUUAUUUUAUUUCCUUUUUCAUGCAUAAUGAAAGGUUCAUUCUUCUUUGGAAAAAGAGUUCAUUCCGUGUUUAUACACAAAAAUGUUCAUCUUAUUCCAAACAAAAAAAUGUUCAACUUAUAUUUAACGAGUCUUCACCCCAUAUUACGAAAAUGCUUAACUUAUUUUUAAAUUUGCUCAUUGUGUAUGCUAAAAUUGUUCAGCGCAUAUCACAAAAUUGUUCAAUGUGUAUUUAAAUAUUUGUUUCAUCUUAUGUCACAAAAAUGUUCAAUGUGUACUUAAAUAAUGUUCGCAUUGUAUAAAAAUAUGUUUGAAGAUUGUUCAGAGCAUAUUAAAAUGUUUAUCGUACAAAAGUUUCAACAAUCUUUUGGAAUUUUAAAAGUGUGUUCACAUUUUUCAAACGUUUGUUCACUGUAUGUAAAAAAAUGUCCAUUGCCUAUACGAGAAUUGUUCAGUGUGGAAAAAAUAGUUCACCAUAUAUUAAAAAAUGUUCAGUUGAUAUUUGAGUAAAGUUCACCAUAUACUAAAAACGUUCAAUAUGAAGUUUUAAAUUCAUUCUAUUAAAAUAUUGUUUGGAAUUUUCACCUUAUUUACAUUGUGUCUUGUUCUUAUAGUGGUGCACUGCAAUGUCGACACAGAAGAGCAUCAGCUCGACUAGUUAUACUCGCAUGCGUGUAACGAGAGGUCCCAAGUUGGAUUUUGCCGGUCAUUUGUUUUUGGUAUAUUUUGGCGGUUCGAGAUGUAAUGGGCCAGCCCAAUUUAGGGAGUCCGGAACUAAGGGGUCCUCUAUCGGUUAGCUCAUCCCUUAUAGGCCGAUCAUAUGGACCGCGUUGUUGAAGAUCAGAUUGUGUGACGACCUCAUGCUUGAGAAAGAAUGUUCCGAAGACUGUCAUGUCAUCCAAGCAAAGUAGUCUAGAUCGUCCUAUCUGUCCCCUGCUGGAGGUCGUUUGUAUGUAACCCUAGGAACCCCUGGUGUCUAUAUGAACCAGAAGUUCUCAUCCGCAUUGGAAGGUUGAUUAAUAUAGGGUUUAGCUCAUACGAUCUCAGAGAGAUCAACUCUGUAAUUCUCAUCCACAUCAAUAUAAUCGAACAGGACGUAGGGUUUUACCUCAUCAAGAGGGCCCGGACCUGGGUAAAACAAUGUCUCCUUCUUCUCGUGUAACCUAUCGAUCCAUGGUCCACAGAUCGGGACCCCCUACCUGAGAUCCGCCAGUUUUAACACCAGUAUUGAUGAUUUCAUUGAGAGUUCUGCUGUAGGAUCGCCAGAAGGAUCGAUGGUUAGCUUAAUCAUCAGCAAUCGAAUCAGCAACGGGGACAUCUUCGUUCCCGGACAGGUUCUUGCGUUCGGCAGCUUCACACUGCGCGCCAACCCGACCGACUGUUUUGACCAGAUCGGAGGCUUCGUCUCGAGUCAGGAAAUAAGGUUUGGGAAUCUCGAAUUCUCCGCCGACUCGCGGGGCAAUCUGUUCCCCGCUAAGAUCACGGUUUCGUCCGAUGAGCUCCAAAAUCUCGAAGCCUUGACUUCGAGUCUCUUGUCGGGCCAUGACCUCGGUUCCCUCGUUGUCGAAGAGUUGGCCUUGAGCCCGAACCCGACCUAAGUGCGCGCGCAACAGCAAACGGUCAUUGCCGAACACGCAUCCCUAAAGUGGCAUUGAACUGCGACAGACGCGUCUUAUGGUACCGAGUCGUUACAUGGUGGCAAAGUGUGGUAGCUCCUUGCAAUUAACUCCAGGUGUCAGGAUCUAUUCGUCCGAUCAAUUUCCAUUUUUUUUCUUUAAUCUCUUCCUUUCCAUUUAAACAUAAUCAUAUAAAAUUGCAUGAUUGGUUGCGGGAGCAUCAAUAAGAAGAAUAUACGAAAGCGCAUGCUAAUACACAAAUAUCAUCGACCGGCCCUCCCGUGUCAAAUUUAAAGGUUGGUUGAAACAUGUGGUGCCGCCAUAGCUAUGCUUAUGCACGAAAAGUACCCAAUAAUCAAAAAUUAUAUGAUUUCAUAUCACGCUUACCACAAGUAAAACAGCAUAUAUUCACCACAACACAUUGUGCGCUGUGAGUAGAGGCAUGGCGAACUGCACAGGACAGAGUGUGCUUUUUAUUCGACUUCAUCUCCGACUAGAGCGUGUGGCAUGCCAUCGCCGACGGUCACCACGCGGACACCGGCCACCUCAGGCAUAGUUAUGCUUAUGAGGCUGUGUUGAGCAUGCUGCCACAGCCAGAGCCACAACCUGAACCAUGGCCACCAGAGUUGGCAUGGUUAGUCUCCCAUGAUCAUGCCACCACAUCCACCGCCACCGCACCCGGCGCCACAGCCUGAACCGCAGCCCCCAGACUUGGCAUGGCUCAUCUUGGAGCCUUCCAUGAUCAUGCGGCCACAUCCGCCGCCACCGCAGCCGGCACCACAGCCUGAACCACAGCCCCAGACUUGGCGUGGCUCAUCUUGGAGCCUUCCAUGACCAUGCCGCCACAUCCGCCGCCACCGCAGCCGGCGCCACAGCCUGAACCGCAGCCCCCAGACUUGGCAUGGCUCAUCCUGGAACCUUCCUUGACCAUGCCGUCACAACCGCCGCCACCGCAGCCGGCGCCACAGCCUGAACCACAGCCUCCAGACUUGGCAUGGCUCAUCUUGGAACCUUCCAUGACCAUGCUGCCACAACCGCCGCCACAGCCUGAACCGCAACCGCCUGACUUGGUGAAGCCAGUCUUGGAGCCUUCAAUGACCAUGCUGCCGCAGCCACCGCCACAGCCUGAACCGCAACCACCUGACUUGGCAAAGCCAGUCUUGGAGCCUUCCAUGACCAUGCUGCCGCAACCACCGCCGCAGCCAGAGCCGCAGCCUGAGCCACAACCACUAGACUUGGUGAAGCCACAACCGCCUGACUUGGCAUGGCCAGUUUUGGAGCCUUCAACCACCAUACCGCCACAACUGCCACCACAACCUGAACCGCAGCCGCUAGGCUUGGCAAUGCCACCCUUGGAACCUUCAAUGGCCAUGCCGCCACAACCUCCACCACCACAACCUGAACCACAGCCACCAGACUUGGUGUUCCCCUCCUUGGAGCUUUCAAUAACCAUGCUGCCACCGCAGGAACCGCCGCAUCCCGAUCCACACCCAGCAGACUCAAUAUGGCCAUUCUCUCCGCCUGCAACGACACCACAACUCGCAUGACCUUUCUUGUAGCUCAUGGUGACCACAGAGACACCACAUCCACCACCACAGCCUGAUCCACAACCACCGCACUUAGAAUCAGCCACCUUGCCGCUUGCAAUGACCGAGCCGGCACAGCUAGCAUGACCAGCCUUGUCACUUGCCAUGACCAUGUCGCCGCCACCGGCCGUGCCACAAGCGCCACAUUGUGCCGGACCAGCAGUGGCGCCUGCUGCUCCACCUUUCACCAUUUCAGAUGCCACUGUAGUAUCAGGCUGACCUUCAAUGAGCUUCGCACCAUGUUUUCCGAUGGAAUUCAGGAACAAGAAUGACAUCGCGAUCCAGGGAAGCAGAAACCAAUCCUCAUCCACCUAAAUUUAAGUAAGAAUGUACCAUGAGUGUAUCUGACAUGCAAGGAAAUUAAUUUUGACUAGUUAGAAGGAUAUGGCGUUAGAGCUGACGAUGUACCGUGAUAAAUUUUGAUUCAGUGUCAACUAGGGCGACUGCUUUGCCAUAGGGGUGUUCAGCCGAGAACUUCACAGCGGUAACUGCUGCUGCAGUAUCUUCAGCAUGCUGACUGCAGCAUUUGAGUUCAUAUGCUAGUCUCCUUCCCUUGUAUAGUUUGAUCUGCUUUGUUCAAAGAAGUACCAAAACUAUGAGUAUGAACUUAAAUGCAUAAACGUUUCUUAUUUACAUAUGAAUUAAUGUAAUCAUUAUCUUCAGAGCAAACAUGAAUUGAGCUGUACACUGCAACUGUCCUUACCAAUUUGUUGUCGUAUUUGAGCUCGUGUAUGCAGCCAUCCUUGCUUGGUUUCAGGUCAUGAGUGACGGAUGGGUUGGAGUUGUUGAGAGACCAUUUGUUUUCCGUGAAUUCUGCAAGCUGAAAUGGAUGCUUUGAUGACUUUGUUACUCCAACCAAUUCUUGAGUGAGAGCCAUGCCACUCUUGGCCUUGUGCUCCCUGAAUUAAGGGGAUGAAUUUCUCAUUAGACUAGAAAAAAAAACAGAUAUUUCAUUCAUAGUAAAAUAAUCCCCGCAAAUUUUUUUAGUAAAUUAGAACUUUGCCGUGUCCACUGGAAUAAAUUUGGAUCUGUUUUGAAGGCGAAAUACAGAUACUUCUAUAUAAGUCGAAUAUUAAUUCCUGCAGAAAACACCAAUUUGCAGUUUGAAAUGAAACUGUUAUUGGCAAUCGAUGUAUCACAUAGUAACUUUUUAUUCGUUUCUGCAACAGAAAAAAAAAUCCAAGUAUCAUGCAAGACGUACUAAUCAGCAGACAAAUGCGUUUCUAGACUCAAUGUUCAGUUCUUCACAUAUAUGUGCCGACUGAUGCCACGGACAGCGAAAAUACCUUAUCUGAAGACGAAUGAGUUCAGUACCACAAUCAUACACGAAGCGAGUCCAGGAGCUCAUAUCUUGAUCCUUGGUGGAAUGUGGCAAUAGACAGGCCUUCAGAGAGCAAGGCUUCACAUUCACCAUGCUAAGAACCUGUGAAGCCUGCCUUGGGACAGUACAAGAUGCGGCGACACGAAGACUGACAGGAGGGGAACCAGCAUAAGCGCCGCAACUUUUCAGUUCAAACCACCUCUCAAAGGAGAGCUUGGAAUCAUGCUGUGUAAGCUCUUGAAGAGAGAUCGAAACCUUCCCCAACGGUUCCGAUUUCUUCGAUGACGAUGCCCCAGAAUAGGCCAGAUCAACCAUUACUGUAAGAAUGAGUUCGCCGGUAGGUUCGCAUUGGAAACCAGCUCCAAUACUCUUCCCUAUUUUCGAUGAAAUAUCCAACCUGCCGCCAUCACCGAUAAGUGCAUCUGGUUGAGUCUUGGUGAACCAUACAUACACACUUUUCUCUGGAAUUGCAGAUGGUAAGUUCUUGAUGUCCACAAUCUGUAAGUAUAACUACAAAAGUAUGAAAAUAUUUUGAGUUAGUAAAUUCAGUAACUGUCUCUUGGCGCUGGAUCGUGUUUUUAGAUAACUGAUACCAGGCGUUUCUUCCAAAUUAAUAAUCUAAUAUUAAUAGUAGUACAACAUACAACAUUUUGGGUUAACUUACUAGAUCAGAAAAAACUUUGAAUCCAAAAUUAUUGACUACUUGUCUAACUGUUGCUUCAUGGACAGCAAUAAGAUGUAAAAAGAAUAUCAUACCUCCACAACUGCUGUUUCAACAACAGCAAGACGCUUCUCCGCUUCAUCGACACCAAAAACACCAUCUUCCUCACCACCAAAUUCUAUCCGAGGAACGGAUGUCACGGGAGACGGCAAGCUUCCACGGUACAUAGCGCCGGCCUUCCAGUACCUCACACCAAAGCAAUCCUCGAACUGCUCGGUGGUGCCUGAAAACCCGGUGUCGAGCUUCUUCCCUUCGGCCCGAUCGUCGUCCGUGUCAUCGUGCUCCAGAACUCUCCCAAGGAGACCCACCAUGUCAUCGCGGUAGGCAAGAGGAUUCAGUUGGUGGGUGUGCCACAUCAGAUCCACAUCGUAGGUUGGCACACGGAAGAGGUUCGUUCCUUUCUCCUGGUUCAUCUUGAUCAGAUACAAAAACCCUUUGUACCGAGCCAAAGCGUCUUCAAGGAAACGGCGAUCAUGCAUGGUUGGUGUUCCAACCUGCCAGAAACGAAGGAAUUCACUGAAUUUCUCUACAUAUUUAUUUAACAGAGCAAAGUUUAGUAGUGUGACCAGCUACCUGGUAGACGAAAGAAGACUGUCUCUUAACAGCUGAGAUCAAAUCGUAGGAAAUGCCUCCUGCGGUUCCAUCGCCCACGUAAACAGAUUCUGUAGUGUACUCCAACUCAAAGGGCUCCCCAGGAUAUAACUCGGUCCAAACUUUCUCGGACGGAUCCUUGGACUUUGCUUGAACGGAGGACUUGACAUUGUUAGAGUCCAAUAUCCUGCCAUAUAAUCUCUUGCAAUCCUUUAUGUAUCGAUUCUGAAACAAGAUGAUUUUGAUUUAGAAAUUAUUUCCAGCCAUGUUGACACUAGUAUUUUCUUUUAUGCCAGGUGUUGCAAACAUAUACUGCUAGUUCUCCAAUGUUGUGAUGACAGAUUUUGAACGACACACGAACAUCUGUGAGUUAAUAUAUGUGUACCGGGUUAAGCCGAUGGCAGUGCCAUAUCCAUUCGCAGUCAAGCGGAACAACCAGAGGCUCAUCAUCUGCAAGAAUAGCGGCCUUGGUGUGCUUGGCAAGAAGGGGAAGCCAGCAAGCUUUGUACCUAGCACAACAACAAAGUCAGACAAUAUUUCGAAGUCUUCCAUACGAUACAGAACAUAAACUAAUUUAGCACCGGUGAUAUUUUUUACAUAGUAGUAUAAUCAGUGAUUUCAGCAUGAUAUACAGGGUCUUUAAAAGUAAAAUAGGCAGACAGAUUUAAUUACAUGCCAAAACUAUCUAGAUAAGGCCCGAAACUGUAGCACCAGACUGUAACUGGAAGCACAGACCAGAGGAUGGUUUCAGAAGGAAAAAUUACUGGCGAUUAUCGAUGCCAUUCCUUAUUAUAAAACUGAAAACCCAAACAUAUAUUCUCAGUUCAACUCUGUUCCACCGACCUAAUUAUACCAAGGUUAACUGAACUAGUGUUUUCUUUCUGUCUGAUUUUGCUGAAGAAGCAUGUGUCUGUCAGGGUGAUUCAACAGGAGUUUACCGAAGAAACAUGGCAACGAUUAAUCACUGAGAAAAUUUCACUCCCAGCACAAGAAGACGCCAUAGAUGGUAGAAAGUGUUGAUCAACAAUACCCAGAAGAUAAAAGAAAAAACGAUGAAACGCCUCGGAAAACAAACUAGAUUCACAGACGCGAUGGUCUCUCUUGUGCUGCUCAAGAGGCAACAGGAUGGAUGGCGAUAGUCGGUAGGUACCUGCGUAUGGCCCUGUGGAGCAGCGGGCCGUCGUAGAGCCACCGGCGGCGGUCGACCGCGGCGAGGAACUCCAGCUGCCGCAGCGCGGCCGGGACGAGGUCCUCGCCGAUGCCGAUCCCCUGCGCCGCCGCCCACCGCGACUCCUGCUCCGCGUCCAUCUUUCUUCUCCCUCCUUGCUCCGAUCGUCCCCACCCCACCCACCUGCAAGAACCUGAGUGAGGGAGACUGCGCUACGGACUCCGAUGGCUGACUCUCUGCCACCAAGUAACCAUGCAUGGCUCCCUAUUUAUGCACCGAGGGAGGGAGCCAGGAGCACGCAAAUAGUGUACGGCGAGGCAAAACACAGCACAGAGAUAAAUUAUUGACCAACUGAAAUACUCCACUAGCAUCGAUCGCUAUCCAAUCCACGGCGAAUAAUGUAUGAGCUGCUUUCAGUUAAGGGCACUCGUACGUAGCGUGUGCUGCGCGCGCAUGAACAACUCUGCACGCUUUCUGAACCCAUACGAUAUCCAUCCAUGCAUGAUCGAUCUUUCUUGCCAACUAUGCACACUUGUGGCUGCUGGUACUGCAAAAGCAAAUGCAAGUGCAAGUGCAAGUGCAUGCAUCUUCUACCAACUCUCCAGCUUCCUUUUGCAGCUCGUUUAGAAACUUUGAAAUGCAGAAAAAGAUAUUACACCUGCUAUAAAUACUAUGCACACAGUAGUACGACAAGUUUUUAGAUCAGUGACAAGAAGUAAAAUUUAGUCUGGAUCAUGUAACAAAACCGUGGCAAUAAUUUCGCAGGACCCUAGCUAAUCCUUGCAAAAAGUAUUGUUGCUUGCAAACCCAAGAAAACUAUGUGAUGUAACACAUCACGCUUGGACUAUUCAAUAAUGGAGAUGCUCGGCCUGUGCGGAUCAUGCCGCUUCCGGAGCAUACGCAGCACGAUAGUAGUACACUCGUACUGCAGUAGUACAGGGCUCAAGGCGUUUGAUCGUACGGUACGUCACAUGGCCGUGGUUUCUGCCAGGUCAUCUCCGCACCGGAUAAACAAUUCUGGGGCGGAAUUAUGCUAUUAUUACAGAUUAGAGCAUCUCCAAAAGUUCCAUAAAAUAAUUACAGUUUAGGGGAAGUUGGGCACACAAAAAACAGUCUCCAAACAUUUCCAUAAACGCCCAAGAAAUUACAAAUAAUCCCGUGUAACCUUAAAAAAAACCUUCAUCUACGGGAAGAUGACCGCCCUUUCCGUAAAAGUGUCACACCACCCAAUCCCCAUUGGACGCCCCCCCCCCCACCACCACCAACGACUGUCGUGCAGCUUGCUCGCCGUCGCUGAACAACAUCGUAUGAUGUCACCACCGUUAGUUGGGGUUGCGUCACCACGAAAAACCACUUAUAGGGAAAGUUUUCACGGAACUGAGAAAAGACCGCACCUUGGAACUUCCUCCAAGUUAUAUGGACAUCCCGUAAAACCACUUCUAUGGAGAAUUUUUUACAGAAACCGUUGAAGAUGCUCGUCCGUUGGGUUUAUAUGGUGUUUGAUUGGGUUUAUUCUUGGCUUUUGCACUUUGGUUUAUAAGCUCAAAAACAUCUAUUUAUGGGAUUCUGGCUUUAGCUUUUGGCUUACAUAAACAUGUAGCAACACUGAGUCAUAAGUCUAAAGCGUAUAAAUAGGUCAUUUUUUUGGUUUACAAACCAAAGUGUAAAUGCCAGAAACAUGACCAAGUCUCACGUUGGUUGUCGGAGGUAGAAGAUGACUUAUAAGAAUGUAGUGUCCCCUCCUAUCAAGCUGGUCUUUCAGACAAUAUCUUAUUUUUGACCCUCUUUAGAAAGGGAAUUUUUGUUUUAGCCAUUGUAGAUUUUGCUCAUUUUCCUUAUCCCACUCUAGUUUUUGACAUGUCACUUUUGUCACUCUUAGCUUUUGACAAUACAUCACAAUUGUCAUUUCAUGGCAAAAGCAAAAUAAUUUCAUUUCACUUUUGCCAUUUUCUAUGUAGGUUAUGAGGCAAAGCAACAAAGACUAAGACCGAGCAAAACAACAUAUAAUCUAGUGAAAUGUGCUAAAAUUGAUAACAAAAUUCAUGAUGCUUGUAUUGUAUCUAAUGCCAAAGUAAAUUACGUGGAGAUCGGGCGACAUAAAAAACUUAGCAAAUUAUGUAGGGGAACCAUCAUCAACUCCCCACGAGUACCGUUGCUUGUUUUCUUAUUGUUCUUAGGCGUCAUCCCAUUGUAUAUGUUCUACUAUUUGCGGCACAUUUGAAUUAUCUAGGAUUAUAUGUUGUGCCAAAUAUUAGUUGCAUACUCUUGCUGGGAUGGAUUGCUCUUGUCUUGCACCGCCUUUUUGCGGCACGAGAUGUAAAUGAUUCAAGGCCAAGUGUGGUGUAGGCAUGCAAUGGCAUCAUAUCACUUAACCUAGUAAAUGUAAAAACAUACAUGCCCAUAAAAUAUCAAAAAAUGAGCAACACCAACGACUCCAGGAUAAACCACUCACUCACAAUUUAUUUACUCUAGAAUUUUUUUAAAUCAGUAGAUUUUUAGUUAUCCCUUCUAUUUACUUACACCUAAAAACAAAAAUCUUGCACUCUAGAAACCUCCGUCAACUUUAGAUAUUUCUCCCAUGGUAUUUAAAGAUACUAUAAAAGACAGAAUGAUAUAUACAUAUACUUAGAAUUUAUCUAAGUGGCAAAAUGGAAUAGGUGAUAGAAUGCGAGUUUGAUCUUUUUGGCUUUUCUUUGCUACAGAGGAAUUCUGAUCUAACGGGGGCUUUUAAGGGGAACUAUCUAAAGAAGGAAACUAUAAAUGCCACCUUUUAUGCAUACUAUAUUCUAUAAAUAUAGUGUAUGUAUAAUUGUAUUGUAGAUGUUAAAAUUGUAUAACAUGAGUAUUUUAUCACAAUAUAUAGUAGCAUUGUUGGGAAACUAAAUCGGUCCAGACAGUAUGUUGAGAUAAUAAGUUAAAAAUAAGUAAAAAAAUGUAGUAUAAAUAAAUGAAUAUAAUUUAGGCUAUCUUACUUGUAAAAUGAACCCAUGGUCUACCGUCGGUCUGUCGCCAUAGCCCUGAGCUUCUCGACUCGUGCGGCGUCCGAAAGCAGUGGCGGAACGAGGAACGAAAUGAAGGGUGUGCACACUUUAAAAAAAAAUCCUACCUAAUCCAAGUGUAACAAAAUAUGGCAAAAGAAUUACAUAAAUAGCUCAAUUCAAAUCUCACAACCAUUUAGUUCACAAAAUAUAUCCCAAAUGUGCUCAGUUACAAUACAAAAGGCUUACAUGAAAGAAACAGAAGUAAAAAAUUACAACACUAGGUAACUCUACGUCGUUACAUUGCCAUGAAAGCAUCAACUAUUUCAUCUUCACUUACUUUCAUGAACACAUCUCGCUCAAUGAAUAUCAUCAAGCAAUUAUUCAAGCGAUCAUCACCCAAGCUAGUCCUCAAUUUAUUUUUCACUAGAUUCAUUGCAGAAAAUACCCUUUCAACACUCGUCGUUGCCACUGGUAAAAUCAAUAUCAAUUUGAUGAGUAAGUGGACCAAAUCAUAAAGAACAUGCUUCUUUGUUGCAACAAGCAAAAUAGAGAGAUCACCAAUAUUACUUGCAUUUCUAAACCUAUCAUCUUGUCUCAUAUCAUAAAUAAAAGUACCAAGUUGAAAUUCUAGCCUUAUCAAAUCCGUGCUUGAUAUGUCCAUGGGAUAGAAUUCAACAAGUUUUAUUUCCUUGAAUGCAUCAUAAGAAGCAAAUGAAUUGAGGGGAUUCAAAGCCGACAUGCAAAUAAGCAACUCCGUAUUAACCUCGUCAAACCGGUUGUUAAGCUCUUGAAUGAUUUGGUCAAUGACACCAAGAUAUAUUUCUCUUCUAUAACGAUCAUCAUUUGUUUGUACUUCAUAAUACCGACGUGAUCUUCCAUGAUGCUCAUAAGUAUCCUGCCAUAAAGGAACUUGAAUGCCAUGUUUGUUGCAAAAUAAGGUUAGCUUUGCAAGAAAUUCUUCCCAACCAUGACACCUCAUGUGUUGCAUUCUACUCUUUGCCAAACUAACAAGUGCCAUUGCAUUAACAAUAUAUUAAUCUCUCUUUUGCAAAGAUUUGGACAACUCAUUUGUAUAGCCAAGAAUAACAAGCAUCAAGUGAAGAUUGAAAACAAAUUCAAAUGAUUCAAUGGCUUGAGUAACUCCAUGUAUUCUUGUCCAUUCACCUUUUUGUGAAGGAUCUUUUCCAAUGGCGUCAAGUACCUCAAGAAUUGUGGAAUACAUAUGCUAACAAUAUGCAUAAUGGUUUUAAAAUGAGAAACCCAACGAGUAUCGCCGGGUCUAGAUAGUCCCAUCUCUUGAUUUAGCCCACUUCCACUUUCAAUCUCACCCAUUUCAAGAGCUUCCAAAACCUUUUGAGCUCUAACAUCUCGAAGCAUGUCAUGUCGCCUACAAGAAACUCCAACUACAUUGAGCAAGUAAGAAACAUGAUCAAAGAACCACAAACAUGGUUCAUUAUCCUUUGCCACAGCUAUAAGAACCAAUUGAAGUUGAUGUGCAAAACAAUGGAUGUAAUAGGCCGAGGGUGACUCUUUCAUGACCAAAGUUUUCAAUCCUUUAGUCUCCCCUUUCAUGUUGUUAGCCCCAUCAUAUCCUUGCCCACGUAUUUGACUAGGUGUCAAAUGAUGAUCUUUAAGCAAAGUUUGAAUUGCAUCCUUAAGUGACAAUGAAGUUGUAUUGGGAACAUGAACAACUCCAAGGAACCUCUCAUACCCUCUUCCCGAUUUAUCAACAUAACGUAUGUAGAGAGCAAGUUGUUCUUUGUGAGAUGCAUCACUGGACUCAUCAGCUAGGAUUGCAUAGUGGUCAUAACCAAUAUCUUCAAUAAUUCUUUUAGUUGUUUGCGCCGCACAACAUUCAAUUAUUUGAUUUUGUAUCUUUGGACUAGUCAAUAUGCAAUUCCCAGGAGCAUUGUUCAGAACAACCUUAUUAACUUCUUCUUCAUUUGCAGAAAGUCAUUUAAGAAGUUCAAGAAAGUUCCCCCUAUUGCUAGAGUCUUCACUUUCAUCAUGUCCACGAAAUGCCAAUCCUUGGUUCAAAAGAAACCUCAAGCAUCUAAGUGAAUAAGUUAGCCUAGCCAUGUACAUACGUAGAUCCUCUUUAGACGCCCUCACAAUGAUAUCAUCAAUUGAUGGUUGGGGUAACACAAACAAAUUGUACUUCUCUUGAGCUUUGUUGUGAAUGCUAUUUAUACCACCUUCAUGUUUGUCUAAUGCAUCAAGACCUAUACCAAUUUUUCCAAGCACCUUUAACAAAUGUAUCACCCCUAGGUCCCCCAUUCGAUUUGCCUUUGAACAAAUAACACACAAAGCAAAAUGUUGCCUCAUAUUUGACACUAUAUUCUAGCCAUUUAUAGUUCUCAAACCAAACAAAGUUGAAGUGUCGAUUUUUACCAUACAUUUUCUUGACUUCAAAGUUGUGUGCAUAUGGUUGGAUUGCAUUCUUUGCAAUGUACCGUUUCCGAACUUUAUCUUGAUCACCGACAUCAUACUCUGAAAUAGGAAUCCUUUCCCCUGGAUUAGUUGGAAGCCUUUGAAUAUUAUAUGAUCUUGCAUUUGGAUGUUGAGGUGAUGGUUGUCGUGGCGCUUCAUCAUCAAUAUCAAUGUCAAUCUCUAGAUCGGAAUGGACUGGAGGUGAAUAAAUAUCAAUGUCAAUCUCUGAAUCUAAAUGGAGUGGAGGCAGUGGAGGUGGAUCAAUAUCAGGUUUAUGUUGCUCUUGGGCUGCAACCUUUCUUGUUUUUGCCUCAUAAUUGAGGAAAAAUGACUUAAUGUCAUCAUUCCUCUUCAUCUUCAGAUGUACUAUAAUUAAAACAUAAUGUCACUACAAAGUUGUAACUGCAAAGAGCAAAGUCUGCAAACAAGAUACAAACUCAUCCACCAAGCAACUCACCCACGAGCCAUGAGGCCACAACGAGCGGCUCUGCCCUGGGCGAGCAGCGACGCACCGUCGGAGCGGCAGGACUGGGAGCAGUGGCGGAAGCUCCGCGGCUGGGCAGGCAGUGCCGGAAUGGCGGAAGACCGUGUUGGGGAACGUCGCAUGGGAAACAAAAAUUUUCCUACGCGCACGAAGACCUAUCAUGGUGAUGUCCAUCUACGAGAGGGGAUGAGUGAUCUACGUACCCUUGUAGACCGUACAGCAGAAGCGUUAGAGAACGCGGUUGAUGUAGUGGAACGUCCUCACAUCCCUCGAUCCGCCCCGCGAACAAUCCCGCGAUCAGUCCCACGAUCUAGUACCGAACGGACGACACCUCCGCGUUCAGCACACGUACAGCUCGACGAUGAUCUCGGCCUUCUUGAUCCAGCAAGAGAGACGGAGAGGUAGAAGAGUUCUCCGGCAGCGUGACGGCGCUCCGGAGGUUGGUGAUGACCUUGUCUCAGCAGGGCUCCGCCCGAGCUCCGCAGAAACGCGAUCUAGAGGAAAAACCGUGGAGGUAUGUGGUCGGGCUGCCGUGGAAAAAUCGUCUCAAAUCAGCCCUAAAACCUCCGUAUAUAUAGGUGGGAGGGAGGGGACCUUGCCUUGGGGCUCAAGGAGCCCCAAGGGGGUCGGCCGAGUCCAAGGGGGAAGGCUCCCCCCAAAACCGAGUUGGACUUGGUUUGGUGGGAGGGAGUCCUUCCCUUCCUUCCCACCUCCUCUUUUUUUUCCUUUUCUCUUGAUUUUCUCUUCUUGGCGCAUAGGGCCCUUUUGGGCUGUCCCACCAGCCCACUAAGGGCUGGUGUGCCACCCUCAAGGCCUAUGGGCUUCCCCGGGGUGGGUUGCCCCCCUCGGUGAACUCCCGGAACCCAUUCGUCAUUCCCGGUACAUUCCCGGUAACUCCGAAAACCUUCCGGUAAUCAAAUGAGGUCAUCCUAUAUAUCAAUCUUCGUUUUCGGACCAUUCCGGAAACCCUCCUGACGUCCGUGAUCUCAUCCGGGACUCCGAACAACAUUCGGUAACCAACCAUAUAACUCGAAUACGCAAGAAACAACGUCGAACCUUAAGUGUGCAGACCCUGCGGGUUCGAGAACUAUGUAGACAUGACCCGGGAGACUCCUCGGUCAAUAUCCAAUAGCGGGACCUGGAUGCCCAUAUUGGAUCCUACAUAUUCUACGAAGAUCUUAUCGUUUGAACCUCAGUGCCAAGGAUUCAUAUAACCCCGUAUGUCAUUCCCUUUGUCCUUCGGUAUGUUACUUGCCCGAGAUUUGAUCGUGAGUAUCCGCAUACCUAUUUCAAUCUCGUUUACCGGCAAGUCUCUUUACUCGUUCCGUAAUACAAGAUCCCGCAACUUACACUAAGUCACAUUGCUUGCAAGGCUUGUGUGUGAUGAUGUAUUACCGAGUGGGCCCCGAGAUACCUCUCCGUCACACGGAGUGACAAAUCCCAGUCUCGAUCCAUACUAACUCAACGAACACCUUCGGAGAUACCUGUAGAACAUCUUUAUAGUCACCCAGUUACGUUGCGACGUUUGAUACACACAAAGCAUUCCUCCGGUGUCCGUGAGUUAUAUGAUCUCAUGGUCAUAGGAACAAAUACUUGACACGCAGAAAACAAUAGCAACAAAAUGACACGAUCAACAUGCUACGUCUAUUAGUUUGGGUCUAGUCCAUCACAUGAUUCUCCUAAUGAUGCGAUCCCGUUAUCAAGUGACAACACUUGCCUAUGGCCAGGAAACCUUGACCAUCUUUGAUCAAUGAGCUAGUCAACUAGAGGCUUACUAGGGACAGUGUUUUGUCUAUGUAUCCACACAAGUAUUGUGUUUCCAAUCAAUACAAUUAUAGCAUGGAUAAUAAACGAUUAUCAUGAACAAAGAAACAUAAUAAUAACUAAUUUAUUAUUGCCUCUAGGGCAUAUUUCCAACAGACCGGAGGGGCGGAGCCGCGGAGGGCAGAUGGCUAGGGCGCCGGAGCCGGAGCGCGAUGGAGCGGGGGAGCCGGGGCCAGAUGGGACGAGGGGAGCCGGGGAGGACCGGCGGUCGCGGCGACCGGCGGGGAGGCGCCGAGCAACGGCGGCCCGGCGGCCGAGCGCGAGCCCUAGCGGGGAGCAGGUUGCGGCGUCCUCUAUGUUAGGAAUUAAUUAAAUGUAUUAAUUAAUGGGAUAAUCCCUGCGUUGCCGGUUGCCUUGUUUUAGCAACCGUUCCUUGUAAACCGCCUCUGUAACAGGGGUAUAAAUACCCACAUCUUCAAUCAAUGAAAACACUGUUCCAUCAUUCUGUCACUUUCACUACUUUACACGUUAUCAGCGCUCGCUCUGCCGAGAGCGACAGAGAGCCAAGAGAAAGGUGAGAAUGGCAGGGAGAGAUUUGUCCUCGCUUGCUUUUGCUUUCGCACGUUUCCUGCAGAAAGAAGACAGCCGCUUCACUCGCACGCAGCGCCACCGCAUUGCACGUCGCCGUCAGGGUCUUGGUGCAAGGAAUGGCCCUCGCCGCCGUUCCUUCACCAGGAACCACCGCCAGAACCGGAGUGGCCCUCAUCGCCGCUUCUUCGCCGGGAACCACCGCCAGAACCGCCGCCGUGGGGCCAUCAGCGUCGUUCCUCGAAGAAGAUGUGAUGUUCCCCUGUGAACUUGCGCCGCCGCCUCUUCCUCCAUACUGCAUGCAGCACGGAUUCGGGCCAUGCCCUGCGCGCACGGAUGGCCACGUCCCGGAGCUGCCAUCCCCGACGCCGGCAGCGGCAGCACACACCGGCCCCGUCCCGGAUCUGCCAUCUCCGACACCGGAUCGAGAGGAACGAGGCGGUUAUCCCACCAUCCCCAUCUUGAACAUCCAGAUCAAGGUUGAAGAAGAGGGGAUGGAGGCCAUGGGCUCGUCGUCGUCGCUCCGCCCUCCAUCACCGGCGAUACCUCCUCCUCCUCCGGCUCCGCCCCUUCCGCUGACGCCACCGCCGGAAGCUCGCCGGAUCCUGUGCUAGUUCGCCGCUGCUAUGGCGCAGAACCGGGCGGCUCUUCGUGGCGCGUGGUCGCCGGACGCCCUGGGCUUCGCCGGCGCACCGGAGGCAAGCAGCAGCGGGAGUAGCCGGGCUGCGCUGCGGGGCCAGCCCCGUUUUCCUUGAAGCAGCCAUGGGGAGAGGAGGCUGGAGUUGUGAGGUGUUUGGGUCUGCAUCGGGAAGAAGAUGGGAAACAGGAGAGAAGUGGCUGUGUGGCCUCGGCUUGCUGCCUUGCUCUCUCCCUUAUCCAUUUCUCCAACCGGUAUAUGGUCCAACACAGGCCACGUCCACUCCAAACUCCAAGCCACGUUUUCCUCUCCAAAAGGCCUACAAGCCACGUUUCCUCUUCAAAAGGCAUACAGGCCAGGAAAUAAAGUGACUAUUAGCGUUGUGUUUUAAUCAUAGUACUACUAUGCUGCAAUUACUAUAUUGCACUGCAGAUUGUUCCUUUUUAUUUCAGUGUGAUAUGUUAUUGUAUUAAGAACCUCUCCUUAUCAUAUUCACUCGGUAUUGUACUGUAGUAUGAAUACUUAGAUUGUAUAUUGUCUAAAAUAAAGUCUCAGAUUAUGUGUACAUAUUCUAUAUAAUUGCCUCAGCAAUUUUCAUUUUUUUAGAAUAUGUAGUUUUCAAGUACAAUUUUUUUUUAAUUCAAAUUUUUGGGAUCACAAGGUAGAUGAGGCAUCUACUGCAUUUUGCAGAUUAUCCUCAUCGCUGAAAGAUCUACAUUUUGCCUUCGUUAUUUUGGCAAAAUGACUAUCUUCGAGUGCUCUCCCGAAUAUGCGAAUUAAUGUGACUACCUCAAAUUUUUACAAAUCACAAGGUAAUUGUGUGAUCUACUGCAUAAUUUGCAGAUUAUCCACUCUUGCUGAGAGGUCUACAUCUAGUCUUUUGACAAGAUGACUACCUUCAAAGUGUUUUUGUAAAAUAUAGUAUGACACAAGGUAAUGGACUACGAACAUCUACUGGUCAAAACCAGACUAUGUUCUCCACUACUAUGAGAUCUACACCCCAACGGUGAAUAUUUUCGAAGUGUCAUAUACAUAAAAUGAGGUCUACACAUAAAGCAUCAGCUAUACUUGAAAAUUUUGCUUCCUAAAGCAUUUGUUGUAACUUAUAUUUUACUCUCAUAGUAAAACUAAAUUAUGCAUGAAAAUACCAUGCAGGAAAUGGCUGGUGUCAUGCAUCGUGAAUUUCAUGAACUUGAACUAGAUGGUAGUAUCUAUUUACCAUGGGCUAUGGAUGCAAAGAUAGCCCUCGAAAGCCGUAAACUCGGUUUCACUAUCACCACACCCGUUGAAGGCGCCGGAGAAAUCCCCACGGCAGCCAAAUAUAGAGCUUUAAGUUUCUUAAGGCACCAUCUCCAUUCAGACUUAAAGUCGGAAUAUUUGAUGGAAGAAGAUCCACUGGUUUUGUGGAACUCUCUCAAGGAGAGAUAUGACCAGCAAAGAGCAGUCAUGCUGCCAGAAGCACAGAGAGAAUGGUCCCUCAUAAGGUUCCAAGACUUCAAAUCUGUGGCAGCAUAUAACUCUGCAGUUCACAAGGUUAACUCAAAACUAAGGUUUUGCAAUCAAGAAAUUUCUGAAGAAGACCUUAUUGAGAAGACCUUGUGCACUUUCCACCCCUCGAUGAGGGUACUACAAUAGAAGUACCGUCAACAAAAAUACAAAAAGUAUUCUGAGCUCAUAUACACUUUACUUCAGGCUGAGAAACAUGAUGAACUUCUCAUGAAGAAUCAUCAGACACGCCCAACGGGCUCAAUGCCACUCCCUGAAGCACAUGCUAACACUCAGUUUACUAAAAAGUAUGGGGGCAACAAAAAGAAUUUCAAAAAAUUCAAUGGAAAGUGGAAAAGGAACAACAAGCAGAAAAGCUUUGGUCAAUCUAAAGGUAAAGGUCACUUCAAGAAAAAUGACCGAAACACCAACUCCGAGAUUUGUCAAAGAUGUGGAUGUACUAACCAUCGUACUAGUAAAUGCCGAACUCCCAAGCAUCUAGCGGAUUUAUACAUCAAAUCCACUGGGAAAGGCAAACAAGUUCAUGGAAAAGCCGAAGCUCACUUCAACGCCUUACAACAAGAAGAAAACCUUGAAGCUAGCACUUCUCAAAGCGCUCCUAAGGAAACAAGGCAGAAGGAUGAAGAUCUUCUUGAUGUUGGCAACAUGAUGGUGGAAUACACCCAAGACGCAUAGAGAUCUUAUAUAAUCUCCACAUCACUCAUUUGAUGUUAUCAACUAUUUUAUUGUAAUAAUGGAUGUUAUAAUUUGUAUAACUCUAAGUAGAAUAAAAGUCCUACGGACCAAUCGUAUUAUGUAAUUCAAACAUAAUGUCAUAUUUAUAUUUGUAACUGUAAUAUGAAUACUUUGUAUGUAUAUAUUUAUAUGUGAGUAAUAUGAAUAAAGUUUCAUCCUAAAAUAUUCUUUUACUCUAUAUAGAUUUUACGGGAAAAUAAUCCAAUGGAAGAAGAAUUAUGUUUGGUGGACAGUUGUACCAGUAACACAAUAUUAAGGGAAAUAAAAUAUUUCCAAACUCUAACUAAGAGAAAAGGGAAUAUUAUGACCAUUGACAGUCGCGAUGCGUCGAUUAUUGGUUCAGGACGAGCCACACUCGUUCUACCUAUGGGUAGUACAAUUGCAAUUGAGGAUGCACUAUUGUAUCCUCAAUCUACACGCACUCUUCUAAGUUUCAAAGACCUCAGAUCAAAUAACUUCCAUUUGGAAACAAUAUCUGAAAAUAAUUUUGAACAUUUGCUUUUAACAAAGAGUAAUGGGUCUGAGAAACAAAUUCUUGAGAAAUUCCCCUCACUUUCAUCUGGAUUAUAUUACAGUUAUAUAAAACCCGUACCACAUGUUGCGUACAAAAUAAUUUUUCAAGAUCUUGAUAAAUUCAAGACUUGGCAUGAUCGCCUAGGUCAUCCUGGCGUAGGGAUGAUGACAAAAAUUAUUGACAAUUCUAUUGGUCACAGCCUUCCAACUAUAAAUUUCCCAAAAUCAUCAGAUUUUGUGUGCACCGCAUGUGCAACUGGAAAAUUAAUUAUAAAACCAUCUUAUCUUAAAGUUAAAAAUGAGUCAUUAAAUUUUCUUGAACGCAUUCAAGGAGAUAUAUGUGGUCCAAUUCAAGCACUAUCAGGACCUUUUAGAUAUUUCAUGGUGCUCAUAUAUGCAUCUACUAGAUGGUCACAUGUGUGUCUAUUGUCCACACGAAAUCAUGCUUUUUCCAAGCUAAUUGAUCAAAUUAUCAAAUUAAGAGCAAAUCAUCCUAAAAAUAGGAUAAAAACAAUUCGAAUGGAUAAUGCCGCUGAAUUUUCUUCACGUGCAUUCAAUGACUAUUGCAUGGCUAUGGGCAUUCAUUUAGAACAUUUUGUGCCUUAUGUUCAUACUCAAAAUGGUUUGGCUGAAUCUCUCAUCAAAAGAGUAAAAUUAGUUGCUCGACCACUAUUACAGAAUUGUAAUUUACCAGCAUCAUGUUGGGCACAUGCGGUAUUACACGCCGCAGAUCUGAUACAAAUCAGACCAACUGCAUAUCAUACAACCUCCCCGCUACAACUAGUACGUAGCACUCAGCCAAGUAUUUCCCAUCUACGAAAAUUCGGUUGCGCAGUAUACGUACCGAUAUCACCACCGCAGCGUACAUCCAUGGGCCCCCACAGAAAACUAGGGAUCUAUGUGGGUUAUAACUCUCCGUCAAUAAUAAAAUAUCUUGAACCUCUUACAGGGGACCUGUUUACUGCCCGCUACGCUGAUUCAAUUUUUGAUGAGGACCAUUUUCAGGCAUUAGGGGGAGAAUCAAACCACAAAGAAUGCCAGGAAAUAGAUUGGAAUGUAACAGGCAUUCAGUCCUUAGAUCCACGUACUAAAGAAUCUGAAACUGAAGUUCAGAGGAUCAUAGAUUUGCAACAUAUUGCAAAUAAUCUGCCAGAUGCAUUUACUGACCAUAAAGGUGUCACUAAAUCACAUAUUCCCGCUGUUAAUGCACCAGAACGAGUGGAGGUACCAACUAAAACCACUCAAACCACAAAUGAGAGUAAGAGGGGGAGAAAUCUGGUUAGUCGGAAUAUAGCUUCUCAAAAGCCUCCGCGGAAACAGAGGAAAUCAAAUCCUCUACCAGUAAAUGCAAUUCAACCUCAAGUUGAAGGACACCAACCAGAUGCUCAACAUCUUGAACCUAGCAUAAAUGCGCAUAAAAACAUAAUUGCUGGGACAUCGGAACACCAUGGUUCUAUUGUUGUGGGAAAUCACAUAGAGUCUGAAGGUAUAAAAGAAAUUUCCAUAAACUAUACAGAAUCAGGAGAAUCAUAUAAUAGAGAGACUACAAUUGUCGACAUAUAUUUCGCCUCUAAAAUUGCUGAAACCCUUCAACUGGAUCCAGAACCAAAGACCGUCAGGGAGUGCCUCAAGCGUCCUGAUUGGCCUAAAUGGAAGGAAGCAAUUGAGGCAGAAGUGCGCUCGCUCAACAAAAGAGAGGUAUUUUCCUCGGUAAUACCUACUCCUCAUAAUGUAUUCCCUGUUGGAGCAAAAUGGGUUUUUGUUCGAAAAAGGAAUGAAAACAAUGAGGUGGUGAGAUACAAAGCGAGGCUUGUAGCACAAGGGUUCACGCAGAGGCCCGACAUCGAUUACGAUGAUACAUACUCUCCUGUAAUGAGUGGAAUAACGUUUCGAUACUUAAUAUCUUUGGCAGUACAAAUGAAUUUAUCUAUGCAGUUGAUGGAUGUAGUGACAACAUACUUAUAUGGGUCACUCAAAUCGGACAUAUAUAUGAAAGUCCCUGAAUGACUUAAAAUGUCGAAUCCAAAAGAAAAUCGCAACGCAUAUUGUGUAAAAUUACAAAAGUCACUAUAUGGCUUAAAACAAUCGGGUAGAAUGUGGUAUAACCGACUGAGUGAGUUCCUUAUUCAAAAAGGCUACUCAAAUAAUGAUGAUUGCCCUUGUGUAUUGAUAAAGAAAUCCUCAAAUGGAUUUUGCAUCAUCUCAGUGUACGUUGAUGACCUCAAUAUCAUGGGAAGUACACCUGAUAUCGAAGAAGCACACAAUCAUCUAAUGGCGAAUUUGAGAUGAAAGAUUUGGGAAAGACCAAAUUCUGCUUAGGCUUACAGCUUGAGCAUCUUCCCUCGGGAAUUUUAGUAUACCAACCUGCAUAUAUUCAAAAGGUUUUGGAAAAUUUUAAUAUGGAUAAAUCAUAUCCAACCAAAACACCCAUGGUUGUCAGAUCCCUUGAUAUGAAUAAAGAUCCUUUUAGACCUCGGGAUGAUGACGAAGAGAUAUUAGGACCUGAGUUCCCGUAUCUCAGUGCCAUUGGUGCGCUAAUAUACCUUGCAAAUUGCACCAGGCCUGAUAUUGCAUUUACAGUAAAUUUACUAGCUAGACAUAGCGCUGCUUCAUCAAAACGUCAUUGGACGGGAGUAAAGAAUAUCCUUAGAUAUUUACAUGGCACAAAGGAUCUUGGCUUAUUCUAUCAGAAAAACCAAGAUAUGACUAUGGUAGGAUAUACUGAUGCUGGCUAUCUAUCUGAUCCUCACAAUGUCAGGUCACAAACAGGUUUCGUAUUCUUAUAUGGUGGAACUGCUUUUUCAUGGAAGUCAACAAAACAGACUCUCCUAGCAACCUCCACUAAUCAUUCUGAAAUUGUUGCAUUAUUUGAAGCAUCUAAAGAAUGUGUAUGGCUUCGCAGGAUGAUUAACCAUAUUCAAACUUCAUGUGGUGUUGGUUCAUUAGGAUCACCAACUAUUAUAUAUGAAGAUAAUGCAGCCUACAUUGCUCAAAUGCAAAUGGGUUAUGUAAAAAGUAAUAUCACAAAACAUAUUUCUCCUAAGUUAUUCUAUCCUCAUGCAUUACAGAAGGAUGGAGAAAUUGAUAUUUUACAAACUAAAUCAUGUGACAAUCUAGCAGAUUUGUUCACAAAGUCUUUACCAAAUUCAACGUUCCAGAAAUACAUUCAUGGAAUUGGUAUGAGAUGAUUCCGAGAUUUGCAAAGUUCAGGGGGAGAAAUCUCCUGAAAAUAUAACCCUUUAAUUAUCAUCAGGUAAUGAAUAUUGUACUCUUUUCCUUUAUGAGUUUUUCCAACAGGUUUCUCAUAUAAGGUUUUUAACGAGACAAUUAAAUACAAGUAUUGAUGCAUGCCAUAUCAUAUUUCUCCUUAUAUUUUUCCUACUAGGUUUUAAAGGAGUUUUUUAUGGCACAUCUCAUUGCACUCUUUUCAUUAUGAGUUUUUUUGACAUUUUCUCUCAUAAUGUUUUUAAUGAAGCAAUAUCUUAUCAAUGAUCAUAUAUCAUACUUUCUAUUUUCCCUAUCGGGGUUUUAAAGGAAGUACUCAAGACAUAUAUUGUUCUCUAAACUCAAAAAUGAGUUUUAUCCCUAUAUAAAGGUUUUCUCAAAUGAGUUAUCAUGAGGCAAUAAUCAUUAUAUGUUGCACAAUUUUUUCCUUAUUAUUUUUCCACUGGGUUUAAAGGAGUUUUAGCAACAUAUCUACACUAUUGUCCUUAUAUUUUUUCCACAGGGUUUUUGGAGGAGACUUUAAAGAUUAUACAACGACUUUUCAAGAUGAAGAUGAGGAACAUUCUUAAAGAGAAAAAUUUACAAGGAUUAUUAUUUAUCAAGAUGAUGCACAUUUACACAGACAAGCAUGGAUUAGGGAGAGUGUUAGGAAUUAAUUAAAUGUAUUAAUUAAUGGGAUAAUCCCUGCGUUGCCGGUUGCCUUGUUUUAGCAACCGUUCCUUGUAAACCGCCUCUGUAACAAGGGUAUAAAUACCCACAUCUUCAAUCAAUGAAAACACUGUUCCAUCAUUCUGUCACUUUUACUACUUUACACUCUACUCCGUUCGUUGCCUCUCUCGCGGGAUGGGAAAGGGUGUGGUGGGCCACCAGGGCUCAGGCAAAAAAAAUUAUAUGCAUAUUAAAAAAAAAUCCUGGGGGUCUGGGUGUGCUGUGGCACACCCGCUGGGUCCGCCGAUGUCCGAAAGGGUAGAUUUCCUUCUUUUUUUACUGAUGAGAUAAGAGGAAAGCGGGGGAUGGACCCAUCGUCUACAUGCACACGCGUUCGUGCACCGGACCGCACCAUCAGAAAUCGUUAUGUACCAACAGAACAUAUGUGCAGUGUAUCGUGAUCACGUAUAAUACUGUCCCAUCAUCUAUAUCUUUUGCAGCUUAUACGAUGGCACUAAAUAUAUAUGCAUUGACGCGUCGUUGUUUUGUUUGUCUACAUACCGAGAGCAAGCGAGCUCGUGUGCUCUAUCCUCGCUCUCGAUAGUGGCUAGGCCAUUCAACCUCCAUGGCUAGCAGUCUAGACUUCACACUGCGGCAGCAAGCUAAAAGCAACUCCAACAAUUUCUCUGAAAUCCUUUCCGUAAAAGUGCUUUUACACGAUGUUUAUACAUUUUAGGGAAAGUUUUCUCAAAGUUAAUUUUGCCACAUCCCAUAAAGCUUGCCUAGUUUCUUGUGGUUUCAGCCGUGCAUGUAUAUUUAACUGUUGGUUUCUUGUGGUUUCAGCCGUGCAUGUAUAUUUAGCUGUUUUUUUUAAACGACUUUGCCUCAUCUUAUUAAUAAAGAAGAAGAGAGUUGCCCGAUUGAUUAAUGAAAAACUGGGCGAAAAUCAUUACAACACGUUCACACAGGACACACACGGCGACCUGACAACCCACAUAAAAACGCACACACGUAGCCGAGGAGAGAACACCGUUGAGGCUGCAAUCCGGUUUCAUCGCCAUCACACCUGCAAGGACGACUCCGACUCCAUCAUCGACGACCAUCAAUAUAAAAUAUAGCCCUCACCGUAAGCAAACGCCGAGGCCCACGCCGACCCCUUCCAAACAGUCAACCGCACACACCAACUACCAGACAGCUCCGACUCUGUCGACGAGAAUUGUAGGAGAAAAGCACUUAGCCUUAGCCGAGCCAGGGCUAGAACCGACCACCCGCCUUGCGUCAUUGUCGCCGCAUGACGCGAGACCCCUCCUCAACAGCUCCGACUCCAGGAAGACAAACUGAGGUGCAGCAACCCCCCCCCNGAGACCGACUACCAAAACUCAACAACAAACCAAUUCCGCCAGAAGCCACCAUUGUCACCGCACAAGAAGUUGCGCCAACCACAUCACCAGUCGGGCACCUGCCGACCACGAUGUCAUGUGUGUCCAGCUCCGUGAAAGCACGAAGGAAGCCAAUGACCCUCAAGGCAAUGCCCCCAAAGGGAUAGAGCGACGUGGGAGAACGACGCCAUCACCCGACUCACAUCCGAGUCUUUGGCUUUCGCCCGAUGGCAAUGGUCCGAAGGUGUUAGGCAAGGAAAGGGUCCACAAUGACCCUCAGGCAAAUUGUUACAUUUGUUGCAAAAUAAACAUAUGCACAAAAAUGCUCAUAUUUGCAAGAUAUGCCAGUAGAACAAAGCAUCGUGCAAGAUAUAACAGGAACGGAUGCAUUGAACAUCAAAAUCUUGGCCCAGACAUUCUUUUGUGUAACAUAAGCGCCACACACAGCGGUUCUAUGCAUAUCAAACUGAAACAUUUACCAUAUAGUAAAAUGUGACGAAAACAUUCUCUGCAUCAUCAUAUGAACAAUAGGAGAGAGCGAAAAGUUCCCAUGUCAGCCUUUUUGCCAACACUGAUGAAACAAGCACUGUGUUCAAGUAAACGACAAACAGACCUCAGCUCAGUCAGUUUGUAGAUGCAGACAUGGGCCUGCUGGUGCCUAAGCUCAGUGCCUAAUCAACCCCUAAGCAGCAGCAGCUCAUCAUAUAGCUGGAUCUUCUAAGUCAGCGGUGGACAAGUUAUUGAUUCGUGGAUACGCUGCCUUUUCGCUCAACUGGUUUUGAGUCCAAAUCAACAUCUUCAACAGGCUGGGGAGUUUCGGAUCUGCCAACAUGAACACAAAGAUCAAGGAUCUUCAAUAAAACAAAAAAAUCUGGCACAAGCAUGCUAGCAGUUUGAAAAAGCCCAAAGACAGCAACGAAACUUUCAUUCUGCUUAAAAUGUAUGAAUCGAUGGUACAAAAUCAAAACAAAGGCUUGCACAUCAUGCACUACUGAGGUGAAAAAGUUUGAAUUUCCGUGUUGCGAAUGUGAAUUUUAUUUUAAAAACUUGAAAAUAUUCAUCAUGAUUUCUUUCACCACAUCUCAAAAGAUUUUCAACAAGUAUCCCUACGCAGUUAUUUGACCUAUGUUUAUCAGUGUUUUCAAUAUUGAUUGCUGGUCACGCAUUAUCAGCUCAUGGGUUACCUGUUUUGAGCAUGACCGUACCUGCUUAUAUUAAUAUUAAGUCAGGUAACCUUUUGGUACAUCUAGUUUAAAUACACCAUGUUUUUGUUCAUAUUUCAGGAUAAAUAUAUACACUUGUCAGUCUGAUUUCCUUCUACCAAAGGGUUGCUUAUUCUAAAAUAAGGAAAUUGCUAUCAUUUCAUAUGGCACAGGCAUACAGGUACGCUUCAGUGACGAUAUACCAUAAAAAAGGUAAGCAAAUAAAAAGGGUAUCACAACAUAUACAUGCCUUAGUACGUACCUUUCUCAUGGCUUUGGCUUGUAAGAAUGGCAGCGUUAACUUCACUUGCUGUCUUCAAACGUUGAGAAACAUCCAGUAGUUCCCCGUAUGGGCAGUUUUUUACAUCUUCAAAAACCAAAAGCGCUACAGUUUUCUCUAUUUCCUCGAGAAAGGCUUCCUGCAAAAUUUCACAGACCAAAAGUAAGGUCACAGAAUGGUCUUAAAUGCAGUGGUAUUAACGGAAAAAAGUCAGCUAACAGGAGGAAUUGCAUUUUGAUUGAUGCAAUUUUGAACCCUGACUCUUAACUAAGGUAAGGGAGAUAAUUUGUUUCACUAAAAAUUACAUUUUCUUCGCCUCUUGGUGCGAGUUCUUCUUGAGCAAACUCCAAAGCUUCAGGUAUUUUCCCCACACGAAUCAACUCUAUCAGCUUUUGUUGCUGCAGAUGGAAGUAUAAUUCGGGAUUCGUAUCCAGAAUCUGCAUGUCAUAAGUUGAGUCAGGAUAGCAAGUCAAAAUUUAAUGAACCCCACUAUGAAAAACGCACAAUUGGAAUCUCGGUUAUAUAGAACUAACACAAAACUUCACUCAGCAGUAUACGAUAGAUCUAAAUAUACCACCGGCUGAAAAACGAGAAAAUGUAGUUUUCGCAAUCAAACGUAGAUGCAAUUUCUGAUACGCAUAUACCUAAGUUUCACAUAGAAAAAGAACAACUUCUAACCAAAAAACAAGCAUGGUCCAAAGACAAACCACAUCUAUCACCAGUACUGGAUUAACAAUUUGGUCUACUGUGACAUGUGAAAUUAAUUAUUGUUACACCAUUGCUCACCAGCAACACAUAAUGCAGAACCCAGAAUGUCCUUAGCACAUAGAUACAGCGAAGUGCCCAGAUACUGCAAGAUCAUCGCCCCCUUCUCCAUUCUUACUAAAAUUCUAAGCAACAAAUGCAGUCUUUCUUUUUCCUUCUGAAAGAAAGGGGUUUCCCCCCAGCCCCCACUUUAAUUAUGCAAUGGCCAAAACCGGACACAAAAGCAGUUUUCUUAAUCAAACAAAGAUGUAAUUUCUGAACCGCACAUUCAUAAGUUCUACUCAGAAAAAUAACAACUUGUAGCAAAAAGCAAGUAGGGUCCAAAGGCAAACCAAGUCGAUCAUCGGUACUAACACUUUGGUUAUUUCUCAGAUCUGAAAUUGGUUGUUACAUCAUCAGUUCAUCACCCACCAGUUAUCAGUAAACAUAAUGUGGAACCCCUAUGGUCGUUAUCACAUAUAUACAGGCAUACAGCAAAAUUAACCAAAACUGUCUCCUCCAAUCUUGUACUUUCCAGAAUCCAGAUAGCCCAACACCGAAAUAGGAACUGAAUUUGGGAGAAUGAGGGGCAGAAUGGAACCGUGGGGUUGAGAUCGUUGAUCCUCUCGACGGCCUCCUGGAUGUUCCCCGACUGAACCGCCUUCUUCACCUCCAUCCGGUCGGUGAUGGUCGCCAGGUCGAUCUCCGCUGCAACACGAAACCGCGCAUCGAUCAGACCUUGCACAGGGUGCCGUCACUAGGACAGCGAGCGAGAGGGGCUCGAGCUCGAUGCGUGUAGGCAAAGGCGUGGCGUACGGUACGUUGGGUGCCGGACUCGAGGCGGAAGCGGUGGGCGGCGUCGACGAGGCCCUCGGUGACGAGGAAGUUCAUCACGAGGCGGUUCAUGUCCUCCUUGCGGAUCUUGGCGUCCCGCAGCUUCCCCUCCCACUCGUCGCGCGUCACCACCUUCUUCGAGGUCGCCAUGGAGGGCGCGGGGCAGGAGCUGACUGCGCCGCGACGACGGGGAGAGGGAAACGGCGAGGGCAACAACGCGCGCGUGAGGCGGAGGUGUUUGGGGGCGUGGGGUGUGGGCGGGAGGGGGCGUCGGCGGUGAGGUACGGCGCGGCGGCGGGGCAAGGGCAGGCGGCGGUGGAGCGUGGAACCGUCCUGGGCUGGGUUAGGUUGGUAGGGUAAAACGAUGGUGGUUAUUAGGUUGGUAAUUUUCCUAUUCUUUCACAGGACGGGCCGGGCCUACCACCUGUACUUAACCGAUUUUCUUUUCUUUUUUCUGCUUUCCGUUUUCUGGUUUCUUUUUCUGUUUUUUCUCAAAUAACCAAAAAAAUAAAAACUAUGUUUAUUUAUUUUACUUAAAUUAUUGUUUUGGUAUUUGUGUUAAUAGUUUAUUAUUGCUUUGCUCAUCAGAUAAAAAAUCAAAAACAAAUGUCAGGUAUUAUUUCAAAAAACAUAUAAUGUGUAUGCAAAAAAUAAUGAUUUUUUACAAAAUAUAACAUGUGUAAGUAAGUAUUAAUAUAUUUCCAGAAAAUGUUCAUUGUAUAUUCUACAAAUCCGUAGCACGUAUUUUCAACAAUAUGAAGCCCAUAGUAAAAGGUUAUCUUAUAUUGAAAUUUUAAAAAAGCGCACCCUGUGUAAAAAAAAUUAAUCAUGUAUUUUUUAAUGUUCAUCGUGUAUUUAAGAAAUGAUCUUAAUUUGUUCUUCAGAGGUUGAUGUGUAUAUAAAAAAUGUCAUCACAAAUUUCAAAAUAUUCAUAUUUUUAUACAAAAAAGAGUCUCCAUGUAUUUUCACUAAAUUUAAGAACUUUGCUUUCAAAUUAUUAGAAAUCUUUUGAAACAGGCUCCUGGUGUGUCCCAGUACACAUUCGUCGUAGCCAAUAUAAGCUUCUACCUCGCUACAACCUGCAACGUAUUUGAGAGCAACUAAUGGACAAGCACCCCUUCGAAAGCCUCCGAAGGAUCAUGCAGAGAGCGCGUCGCUUGGCGCACUCUCAGCGUCCGCCACAUGUCAUGCUCUGGAGGCUACCUCUGUAUAUUUUUCUUUUAUUUUAUUUUGCAUNGUGACAGGCACAGAUUUCCUUUCGUGAAAGGCAUGAAUUUGCUUCCGUGAAAGGCAUGAUCAUCCCUUUCGAAAACAAAAAAAUGUAUAUUUUUCUCUUUCAUGAGAGGCAUUGUUGUGCCUCCUUUUUGUCUCUGUUUUUCUUUGUAUUUUCAUGAAUUUUGUUUUGUCAAAAACUAUUUAAAAUUGAUCCAUUUUGAUAAAAUCUCAACACGUGAAUUCCGACAAUGAAAAUGGUUCAUGAUUUAGAAGCAUGGUUCAAAAAAUAAAAACAUUUUUAAAAAGUGAAUCUAAAAGAAUCAUAUUGAGACAAAUGGCGCAUAUACAAUACACUACUUGCGAAGGCGACAAAAGAUAAUAAUGACCUUUGCAAGCGGUAUCCUUUAGUUUUUACUAUGGAAAAUCGAUGCGUUAAGACAACGACGGAUCCAACAACGACCAACCGAGCAUCAGAUAGCUCAGCCCACAUGGCCCUAAUAUGCAAUGACUAUAGCUCACUGGGAGAUGAGAUGUCCAUAGCUCCUAUUUGGCGCGUAAGCUGUUGUAUAGUGACCUUGCGCAUAUACACCCCACCCCCUGUGCGGUGAUGCGCAGCUGACCAGUGUAUGGAUCGGCCCGCUCUGGUUUUGUCCAUGCAAAAGGGUCUAGAACAUACAUGGAAUUUGUUUUUUCUCUCUUUUUCUAGUUUUAUUUCUUUCAUCUUUUAUGUUUUCCUUAUGAUUUAUGUUUCUAUUUUUUGUUGUUGUUGUGUUUGUUUUUAUUUCUUUUUAUUUUUCUUUCUUUUUUAUCUCGCGAACAUAUUUCAAAUUCCUUAUCAUUGCUUGAAAUAGUGAAUCAUUUUAAAACCAUAAACAUUUUUCGAAUUGGAGACCAUUUUAUAGAAACCAUGAACAUUUGUUUGAAAUAGUGAACAUUUUUUACAAACUCAUAGACAUCUUCUCAAGUCAUGUUCAUCGUGUAUUAAAAUAAGUGUUUUGUAUAUAAGAAUUUAUAUGAUUUGUUGAAAAUGUUGCCUGGGUAUUUGAAAAAAUAUUAUUAUGUAUUCAAAAUAUUGAACAUGUAUUUAAAAAUGUUUAUCUUGUACUGUAAAUGUUCAUCAUGUAUUAAACAAUGUCCAUCAUAUAUAUAUAAAUUACUUACCAUGUUUUUUGAAAUAGUUGACAUAUUAAAAAAACAGUCAUGCAACGGCUAGUUCCGCAUCACAAUAUGCCCGGCGUCCUAACAUCAAUAGUGAUUAUCUUUGGUGGGCGCACAUGCAUGAUUUUAGAAAGAUACGUUGUCUAGAUAAUGUUUGAAACACACCAGGGGUUGAAAUCAUGGCCUGUGUUGGUAGGGCUCAACAGAUGCGGACUUGCGUCGUUAAUUUAUUGAAGACGUUGUCUCAGUGAUGGCGCUGGCGGUGGCGGUGGCGAGGUGUAUCAUUUUACGAAGACGUUGUCGCGGAAGAAGUUGACCUAGUCCUAGGUGGUACAUCCAUAUAUUGUACUCCCUCCGUCUCAUAAUGUAAGAGUGUUUUUCGAUACAUGUAAAAAAAACGUUCUACCAUUAUGGGACGGAGAAAGUAAUGCUUAUGCGGUCUUUGAUUUUUUUGAUUUUUUGUAUGUACUUCAUUUUUUUGAUCACUUUGACCUUGCUCCUUUGUGUUAACUUAAAUAAAAGAUGGUUGCCUGUAUCAGUUGUAGAUGUAAGGGGGUUCCAACUCCACCUUCAUGAGAAAAUACAUCUCACUUUCUGUUUGUUUUUUUUUUUGUUUUUUUUUUUUACUAUCUAGUCUAGGAUAAAAGAACCUCUCACUAAGACUGGAACUAUUUUGGCAUCCCCAAUGGCACAAGUACGGGGGGAAUUAUGAUCGACGACGCACAAAGGAAGGUCAAAGGCUCAGCGAGUUAGUUAAUCCAGCAGCAGCAAUGAGCAUGUGCUUCUUCGCUUCUCUUGCUUUGCUGCUGUUGGAAUAACAAAACAUGAGUCUUAAAGUAGAGCUACAAAAUGGGAGCCCAGAUGCUGCUGCGCCUGCACAUGGACGAAUCGGCGGCACCGACAGAACGGAGUACUCCAUCCUACGUAGGGUAUGCUCGAUCGUGCUGGCCAUGUACUCGAUGAACAUAAUGUAUGUAGUACGUGUACGUACGUAUAAGGAUUCCACGCAAAUGGUACUGAGUAUUAAGAAGCGACUAGAUUAGUUAAGGUAGCUUAAUCAGCAUUGUACUUGAUUAGUUAAGGAUGGGCCCUUCCCCACGUACGUACGCAGCAGCUUCUAAUCAAGUGCGAUUAAGCCAAGUGAUCCACGGCCGAGAGGGUUUUGUCUGAUGCGAGAGCUGGCGACCGUGCCCUGUCAGUUUUGUCUGAUGCGGGUCUUUUCCUAUAUAAUCGAAUCGCAGAUUGACACUUUUCUGCCGAAAGAAAUGCAGGAGCUGGGCAGUAACCGGGCCUACAAGCAGUUUGCAAAUCUCUACUAAUAAAGGGGGCAGUUGGUAGCUGGAUCUCACCGGUUUAAUUUCGUCACUGGUUAAUUUUCGUCCACCUCUACCUGGUUAUUUUUCGUCCACCUCUACCUGGUUAUUUUUCAUCUCUCUUUCCACCAACUGUUGUUUUUUUUUUUUGUCUCUCCUUCCACCAAAGGAUGGUUUUUUUUCGUCUCUACUUUCUCAUCGGUUAAUUUUCGUCUCCUGAUUUUUGACCAGCCACCGGUUUAUGUUUCUAUCUCCUCCCGCAAAACAAAACUCUUUGCACAAAACAAACGCCAGUCCUCAUCCCGCACAGGGUUAGGGUUCCUGUGCCGCCGCCGCCGCGCUCCUCGACCUCCUACUGCCUUGCCCCUCUCUUCCCUCGACCUCCAGGAACCGCCACGCUCGACGAUCUCUUGCAGGCGGCCCUGCACCGGCUCCCGCCCGCGAACGUCGCGUGGGCGUCCUGCUUCUGCCGCCUCUGCCGCGCCGGCGUUUCCGACCGCGCCGUGCUGGAGGCCGCCUUCCAGGCGUGCUGGGGCGUGCGUCGCGACAACAAAGUGAACCAACGUCGUCCUCAACCGCCUCCUUCGUGAAUCGCCGACGUCGUCAAUCGCCUCCGUCCAUAACUAUCGCUGCCGGUUUGAACCAGCCGUCGCCGGUCAACCGCCGCCGUAAUUGCCUUCUGUUUUCUCUAACUAAUCUAGGUAUUUGUACAGACCUAUGUACGCCCUUUUGUCCGAAUACAUCUGAGCCGGAUCUACAUAUGGUGUCGGAUCUACAAAAUUUCAUACACAAAUAUAUGCCUCAAAUCUGCCUUACAGUACAUAUGGACGUUUUACGAGCGCGGGUGCAUCUGGAAAUUUCUUCGUCUCUUCAAACUUUACUCUGCAUACAACAAAUGACGACUUCCUUUAUCAAUAGCAGAUAUGUUUUCAAAAAAGUUUUCAUCGAAAAAACAACAAGGAGAAAGCUUUUUAGCAGGCAACACUGAUCUGGUUUAGUUUACCGCUCUUAAGCAUGCAUUCAUUGUAGGUAUGGGGAAUUCAAAAAGCAAGGCUAUUGGAGGUGACAACGUUUCAGAUGUCUCUACAGGUAUAUGCUACGCUAUGAAGUUAUAAGCUCUUCAAAAUGAAUUGUACCUACAAGUGUAUUCAUUUCAAUCAACUAUCCACAUUUUAUAUCGCCUAAUGAAUGGGUCUUUGUGGUCUCAUCCUAGCUAAUUUUGUAGUUAUUUAAUCCUUCCCUACAAGUUAAAUAUGUACCUUUUACCACUGUUCGGAACCUCAUGGAUCUUAUUCAGUUUAAAUAAUUUAUCCCUUACAACCACAUAUUUUUGAACUGCCAAAUAGUUUUACCUUGCAGCUUAUCAGUUCAUCUUCCGAAUAGGCAUCACUUUCCAAAGCAUCAUGUAAUUCAUUAAUCUUUCCACUGGCAUAUGAUUUACCAAUAUCAGAAACCUGCAAGCACGGGUACUUAAGUCAGCCCAUAUUUCAAAUUGUGAUGCAAUGGUGCUCCAGUCGCACAGAUAAAAACUUUCUGAAUACAAUAACCUGAUCUACGGCUUCCUUGCAAAGUAGCAUUUUAUUUUUUACUUGCAGUAUGCAAAUAUUUGCGCUAAGAGUAUUAUACACCAUGUUAACUGCGACCUAUGAAACAUAACAGUAAGGGAGAAAUAUUACAGAUUCAUAUAUCUGAAAAUUUUCAGAAAGUGGCCAGUAUUUUUGUCAGGUUGGGCUGUUCUUCAGCAUUGUCUUCCAAGCAAGAGUAUGCUAAUUGCAUACUCUGAUUUGCACCAGAAGUACGAGCCUCGUCUGCGAAGGAGGAAUCCAUCACAGACAUGAAGUCCCUUUGUCUAAUAUUGUCAACUGCCUAUUAGAACAAAGCCAAGUCAAUCCUUUCCAUAGAUAAUGUUCAAAGUAACAUACCAGUAGUCAUAUAUUACUUCUAAUGAGAAGACACUGGUGUAAUUCCACAGCAAAAUCAGUUUCUGUAAUUAUGUUGAUGGAAUAGCUAACGUCGGAAAUGUACAAGAUCUGAUUGAGCUACCCAUUCAUUGUAGGUAUGGUGAAUUCAAAUAGCAAGGCUACUGAAGAUGACAAAGUUUCAUAUGUAGCUACAGGUAUAUGGUACGCUAUGAAGUUUACCUACAGGUGUAUGCAUUUGAAUCAACUUUCAUAAAUUAUCCUUCUAAGAUCCUGAACUUGAUGCGCACAUCAAUACCAUAAACUAAACGGAGACAAAAAUGCAGGUAAGGAAAACAGUGGUAACUUAUUAAAUAGGUAACAUCAAUCUUUACUGAUGUCUUGGAAUGAUUAGUAUCGGCUGUGAUUAUCGAUUAACUUGACGAGGAAUGGGCCUAUGGCCUUAUGCGAACCACUCGAAAAAUAUUAUGAGAGGAAUCCCAGAAUGUAGAUGUGGUGGACAAUCUCCGUGCAGCCUGCUCAACAUAUAAUCUGGAGCCUUUGUGGUCUCAUCCGAGCUAAUUUUGUAGUUAUUUAUUCGUUGCCUACAACUAUCACAUAGUAUUCAUUAGAAAAUCAUGAAGAUUAAUAGUGAACAACAUGAAACUAUGAAUAACAAACAAAUAAUGGUAGGAUUUCUCUAACAACUUGCUACAUAUAUGUUAGUAUCUCUACUCCUAAAGUGGCAGUUGCAAGCUUCUUAUACUGUCAAAUGGAACAGGUGAUUUUAUAGAUCAAGGCAUGCAUGCUGAUGAUGACGAUGCUGAUCAAAUUAAUAUAGAUGUGGCAAAUGUUGAUGAAUACAACGCAAAUGGCAUAGCCGUAGAUGACAAUGAUGACAAUGAAUACUCUACUGGACCAGGUAUUUGUUUUGCUAUAAAGUUCAGAUGUUCAUUUAUACCGCCUACUUGUAUGGGCCUUUGUGGUCUCGUCCGAGCUAAUUUUGUAGUUAUUUUAAUCGUUGCGUACAAGUUAAAUAUGUAGCUUUUACCAAUGUUCUCAACCUCAUGUAUCUGAUUCAUUUUACAGUUCAUAGUCAUGCAAAAUGAUGGAUCUGAUAGGGCUGACCAUUCAUUGUAGGUGUGGGGAAUUCAAAAAGCAAGGCUACUGAAGAUGACAUAGUUUCAGAUGUAGCUGCAGGUAUAUGCUACGUUAUGAAGUUAAGCUCUUCGAAAAUAUUAUGCUACAUGUCUCAUCCGAAGCUAGAAAAUUUAAAGAUGCCAAAUAUAAUGAUUUACUAAAAAACAAUAUACAUCUAUAAUCGUUAGCAUAGUUCUUGCAUAAUAUGUUUUUGAGGAUGAUGGAGUAUCUCUUGCUGAAAUAGCCACCCCAACUAACAUGACAGGAGGAGUUGUCUUGGAUAAUAGCAAAGAAACAAGACAAAUACCUCCAAUUGGCCGCAAAAAGGCUCCUACUGACGAACAAAGGGAUCGUAUAAACGCAAAGAGGCGGGCUUCUUAUCUGAAGAAGAAAGAUAUGCUUAACCCAAACGAGAAGACAACUCACCAAUCGACGACAGGUAAGAUUGUGAUAUGUUUCGUCAUUCUUUUUAGUAUGAAAAUGUGCUGCCUUAUUCUGGAAUGCUAACUCUCAUGUCGCAGGCCUCUUUAAUGAUAUCAGGAAUGUUCAUCAACCUUGCCAUGUGAUAGGAGGUACACUUUUCGUAUGAAAAUUUAUGUUUCAUCUUUUCGAUAGCACUACAUGCGUUAUUUUUCGUAUGACACCACGAGCUGACAUGGAAAGUAUUAAACAAACAAGGCAGACACCGGCAAUUGGACGCAAUGAAAUGUUGAGUGACGAAAAAAAUAAGCUUAUACCCUCAAACAUGCAAGCUUGUUAUGAUGCAUCGUUGUCGUUAUCAUGUACCCUUAAUCAAGAUGAAAAUGUGGAUCCCCUUACGAUAUCAGGUAGCCUUCUCAUCUAUUUUAAGUUUCAACCUAAUGAUAAAGCAUUAUACAUGGGUACUGUCUUUUUAGUAAAAUGGAUUGUUUCCUUUGUUCAAAUAGCUAACCCAACUAAUAUGACACACCAACUAACAUCACAGGAGGAGCUGUCUUGAACAAUAGCAAAGAAACAAGGCAAAUACCUCCAAUUGUCCGCAAAAACACCUUGACUGAAGAACAAAGGGAACAUAUAAACGCAAAGAGGCGGGCUUCUUAUCGGAAGAAAAAAGAUAUGCUUAACCCAGACGAGAAGACAACUCACCAAACGACGACAAGUAAGAUUGUGAUAUGUUUUGGUCAUUCUUUUUAGUAUGAGAAUGUGUUGCCUUAUUCUGGAAUGCUGACUCUCAUGUCACAGGGCUCUUUAAUGAUAUCGCGAAUGUUCAUCAACCUUGCCAUGUGAUAGGAGGUACACUUUUCGAAAACAGUCUAUGGGUUCUCUUAUGUAGGUUGUUGAUGGACGAUAAAAAUUUAUGUUUCAUCAUUAUGAUAGUACCACAUGCGUUAAUUUUCGUAUUACACCAGGAGGUGACAUGGAAAAUAUUAAACAACCAAGGCACACACCGCCAAUUGGACGCACUGAAAUGUUGAGUGACAGAAAAAAUAAGCUUGUAACCUCAAACAUGCAAGCUUGUUAUGAUGCAUCUUUGUCAUUAUCAUGUACCCUUAAUCAAGAUGAAAAUGUGGAUCCCCUUACGAUAUCAGGUAGCCUUCUUAUCUAUUUUAAGUUUCAACCUAAUGAGUUAGCAUUGUACAUGGGUACUGUCUUUUUAGUAAGAUUGAUUGUUUCCUUUGUUCAAAUAGCUAACCCAACUAAUAUGACACAAGAAGUUGUCUUGAAUAACACCAAGGAAACAAGGCAGAUACCUCCAGUUGGGCUCAAAAAAAAAUUGACGGACGAACAAAGAGAGCAGAUAAACGCAAAGAGGUGGGCUUCUUAUCGAAAGAAAAGAGAUAUGCUUAUAGGAGAUGAAAAUCUUGCUCCACAUACAAUGACAAGUAAGCUUGUGAUAUGUUUGUGAAUAUCGUAAUGAUUUAUGAAAUGUGAUUAUUUUUGGCAUAUGUUUUCAUUGUAUUGUAUAACCAUCCAACCCAGCUAGAUGCGGUGUUACAUCAUCCUCACAUGACGAUGCAGCGUUGUCAUUAUCAACGACACUCAAUCAUUAUGAAAAUGUGUCUCCCCUUACUAUAUCAGGUAGCGUUGUUAACUAUUUUAUGUUUCAUCCUAAUGAUGUAGCAUUGCACUUGAAUAAUGUAUUUUCCAAGUAUGAUGACAUAUUCUUGUUGAAACAUGACAACAGGGGUUGUCUUGGAUGACACCGAAGAAAUUAGGCUAAUACGUCCAGGUGGAUGCAAUAAAAACUUGACUGUCGAAAAAAGGGAGCAGAUAAAUGCAAAAAGACGGGCUUCUUAUCAGAAGAAAAGAGAGAUGCUCAUCGAAGAUGAAAAACUUACUCUCCAUACGAUAUCAAGUAAGAUUGUACUAACAUCUUUUUACUUCCUAAGUCCCAAAUGUUUAACAACGCCCGCUCUAUAUCUUGUAAAUAAUGAAUUGAUGAACAUGUCAUCUCACUUGAUGAUGCAGCAUCGCGUUCUUCAGCUACACUAAGACUGAUGAAAAACUGACACCCCUUACGGUAUCAGGUAAUUUUAUACCAUGCUAUAUGUUUCCUGACAAUGAUUUACCGUAAUUUGACUAUAUUCAAGUUUCUUCAUUAUAUUUGAAAAUAAUUCGAGAUGAAUGAUGACAUAUUAUUUGUUGAACCAGACAACCCAAUUAGCUCCAGCUAUACAUCCUUCUCAAUUGACGAUGCAAUGUUUCGUGCUUCAAACACACUCGCAUGUGAUGACAUUCAUGAGGAAUAUCUAGCUCGCCAUAUACUACAUUCUUCCAUUACACCUGAAGUUGUGUUCAAUAGCACCAGUGAUUUUGAAUCAGCAAACCCUACUAAGUACAACAUUGCAUCAUUAUUGACUGAGGAUGAAAAUUUGCCUCCAUCAAGUUCACAAUAUGAUAGUGCUCGUCAUAAAACCCUAGCCAAGAGGACUUACGAUAAAGAGCGCAAUUCUAAAUUAACAAUCGAGCAGAAGGAUCAUGAUAACGCAAGGAGACGAGCUGGUAAACAGAAGAAACGGGAAGAGGGCACAAUCAAUGUUCAAGAGCAAAAUCAAAGGCAACGAGAGACACGCAUGGAGCGCCGGAAAAUUAUGACUUCCGAUGAGAAGGUGCGGUCAAGUGCAAAGAGAAAGGGAAAUUACCAUAGAAUAAAAACACCCCAUCCAUAGAAUCUAUCGCAAUGCCACGGCCAGAUGUUCUGGCUCUAUCUGAUUCCGCCCCAUCAAUUACCAUUCUGUCUUACACCGUCGGAACCGAUGGUAAAAAUUUGUUAUUGUCACAAUCUUUAGAACAAAAUUUUGCUUUACCCUCUUUUGCUUACUAUCUCUACGAUGUUGCAGAAGAUAUGGGGGCAUUCAUAAGCACCAUCGUGGACGAUGAUACGAUAUCAUCCUCCUUCAUUGAUGAUGAGUAUUAUCUGUUUCGCUCGCAAGGUAUCGUUUAUGGUGAAUUAGGAGAUAGUUUGACUUUUUUGAAAUAUCUGUUUAUGCUGCUCUGAGUGCGGUGUUUGAACAAAUGCAAAUAGGAUUCGAUGAUGAUAGCCAUGAUGGAGAUGAAGUCACGAACAUGUCUAGCGCUGAGUCUGUUGACAUUGAUCCGUUCGACUUUGUCUACUCAAACCUCCCAGAUAGAACACACAUCCUGAAGCACGCCAAGAACCGCGACCACUGCAAGGCCAAGAAGUUUGAGUCUCAGACCGACGGUUUCUGUUGUCGCAAUGGGCAGAUUGAGCUCAAGGAACCAGAUCCCAUCCCCGAGCUAAUGAGGCUUUGGUCCAGCAUGGAUGCAGACUCUAGACACUUUCGGGAAAACAUACGAUUCUUUAAUGGACACUUCGCAUUCACAACCCUUGGUGUCAACCUCGAUGAAAACUACACAAACAUGAAGUCUGGUGUGUACACUUUCAGGGCGCACGGCACCAUCUACCACAACGUGCAUUCCUUCGGGCCAUGCUCACGUCCAGAACAUCUCCAGCUGUACUUCUAUGAUGACGACCCAAACCUGACCCAUCGCAAGGUUGCCACCAAACAAUUGGACCAGAAUGUCGUCAAGGUGUUAGUGGACAUACUACGUGCAAACCGUACUCACAACAAUUUCGGAGUUUGGGUGCACACAAGGAUCACCUCGAUGAUUACAUGAUAGACCUCAACACCGACCAGAGGCUUGACCAACGGAGAUAUAAUAGGCCAAUGUCAUCAGAGGUAGCUGCAAUCUGGGUCGAGGGCGCCGACGUAGCGAAAAGGUUUGAUCGUAGCAUUACACUUUUCGGUAAUGAUAAUCACAGGCACAGUAUAGGUGUCAUUGAUGGCUCUUACGACCCGUUGUCCUAUCCCCUAUUCUACCCUUGUGGGGAGCUCGGUUGGCAUCCAAAACUGCCUAAACGUAAUGUCCCUUGGGAGGUUGUACAGCAACCAAGAAGGUGGCAUGAUAAUGAGGAGGAUGCAGGUAGCCUUUUUCUUUAUUAUGUUAUUAUGAAAAUAAUAUAAGACUCAUAUGUAUACUAACUAAAGGUGCUACAUUACCUGUUGCAGAGGGUAAUAGCAGGUUAUGCGUGUCCGUGAGAGACUACUACUGUUACAGACUGCAAACACGAACUGCUAUAUUGAAUCCCAUACUUUGUGGAGCACGAUUGCUCCAACAAUGGGUGGUCGACAUGUACAUCAAGAUAGAGAGUUGUAGGUUGAGAUGGUACAGAAAGAACCAAACAAAGAUCCGUGCCGACCUUUAUAAAGGAGUUGUUGAUGCUAUCACUCCUGGGGAGACACGAGCGAGCGCUGUCGGAGUAAGGAUAGUGCUCCCUGGAACGUACCCUGGUGGCGACCGUGACAUGAAACGGAGGCAUACGGAUGCCAUGUCAAUUGUCCAUACAUAUGGGAAGCCUGACAUCUUCUUGACCAUGACCUGCAACCCUAAAUGGGAAGAGAUAUCGAACGAGCUGCUUCCUGGUCAGACAGCUCAGGACCGACCUGACCUUGUGGCUCGCGUGUUUUAUGGCAAGCUAGAGGCUAUGAAAGAGUUGUUGUUCAAAAAGCAUAUCCUGGGUGUUGUUGUUGCGUAUGUAUACGUAGUCGAGUUCCAAAAAAGAGGCCUCCCCCACGCACACUUUCUGUUGAUCAUGGAUGCAUCAUAUAAGCUCGUCGUCCCGGAGCAAUACGACCGAGUCAUUUCCGCUGAGCUCUCGGACAAGCAUAAGUAUCCAGAACUCUAUGCCUUGGUGGUCAAACAUAUGAUGCAUGGUCCAUGCGGUGCUCUCAACCCCAAUAAUGUGUGCAUGCAACAAAACAAGUGCAAGUGCAGAUACCCUCGGGCAUUCAAUGAAAACACGGCACAGGGCAAGGACCAUACCCAGUUUAUCGACGUAGAGACGACGGGCAUAGGGCUAAGGUCCGGGGUAAAGUGUUGGACAACAGGUGGGUAGCGCCUUAUAACCCUUACCUUUUGCGGAUGUUCAAUUGCCACAUCAACGUCGAGGUCUGCUCGAGCAUAAAGGCCGUCAAAUACCUCUACAAGUACAUAUACAAGGGCCACGAUAGGGCUUCUUUCAGCAUCGACCAGCCGGACGCCGAUGGAAUCAUUGAUGAGAUCAAAAGAUAUGUCGACGCGAGGUGGGUUACUCCUCCGGAGGCCAUGUGGAGAAUAUUUGGCUUCUCCUUAUGGGGGAACUCCCCGUCUGUCCUACAGUUGCCUCUUCAUCUUCCGAAUAUGCACAUGGUGGCAUUCAAUGAGCAAGCUGACUUGACCAAUGUCCUCGCCUCUGAGAAUGCUUCAAAAUCCAUGUUGACGGAGUAUUUCAAGGCUAACCAAGACCACCCGUGGGCUAGGCAUAUAUUAUACAAGGAUUUUCCUGGGAGCUUCACAUGGCAGAGAACAAAGUAUUGGAAGCCACGGGUGGAACGUUAUCAAAUAGGGCGGAUCGUGUCUGCCAAUCCAGCCGAGGGGGAGCGAUACCAUCUGCGUGUAAUACUAAACCAUGUCGCGGGCAAGACAUCCUUCGAAGACAUGCUCACCUGGAUGGCAUUCUAUGUGGUAGCUUUCGUGAGGCUGCAGAGAGGUUGGGACUCAUUGAGGCAGACAACACGCUUGACGAUUGUCUUACUGAGGCGGAGCAGUGGGCGAUGCCUUGUUCGCUCAGGAGGCUUUUCGCAACAAUCUUGGUGCAUUGCGAGCCGGGCGAUGUGCGCGGUUUAUGGGAUAGGCACUUUGAGCCUAUGUGUGAUGACUAUCGUCGAGCACACAAGUGUACAAAUGAUGUGGAGCAGAUGGUGUUGUUGGAUAUUAGAGGUAUAUUGCAGUCCAUGGGGAAAGACAUUGUAGAUUUCGCUCUUCCGUGCAUUGACGAUGAGUUCGACCCGACCGGUGGCGAGGCAAGAGAGGUGAUUGAGGAGUCCACCGUCGAGUUUGACGUGAACGACACAAAAUUGGCUUCGUCACUAAACUUGGAGCAGAGGGUUGCAUACGACGAGAUACUAGCAGCAGUUGACCGCAGUGAUGGAGGUGUAUUCUUUGUUGAUGGCCCAGGAGGUACAGGGAAGACCUUUUUGUACAGGGCGCUACUCGCCAAGGUUCGGAGCAAGGGCAACAUCGCUAUCGCUAUCGCGACUUCUGGCGUCGCCGCUUCUAUCAUGCCUGGAGGAAGGACUGCCCACUCGAGGUUCAAGAUCCCAUUGAGUUGCGAUGAUGGUGCCUCAUGCAGCUUCGCCAAGCAGAGUGGGACCGCAAAGCUACUAAGGAUGGCUUCGUUGAUACUAUGGGAUGAGGCCACCAUGACUAAGCGACAGGCGGUCGAGGCACUUGACAAUAGCAUGCGCGACAUCAUGGGAAGACGGGACCGACCCUUCGGAGGAAAGACAGUUGUUUUCGGCGGCGACUUCAGGCAGGUGUUGCCGGUCGUCAGGAGGGGGUCCCGCAGUCAGAUAAUCGAUGCAACCCUUUGAAGUUCUCACCUCUGGAAGGGUAUGCGACAGCUAAGGCUCGUCACCAACAUGAGGGCUCAUAAUGACACAUGGUUUGCGGAUUACUUGCUUAGGGUAGGCAAUGGCACCGAGGAAGCUGACGAGCAUGGCAACAUACAGCUCCCUGAAGAUAUUUGUGUGCCAUCUACAGGCGAGAUGAACGACAUGGAGAAGUUGAUUGACCAUGUGUUUCCUGGUCUAGAUGAAAACAUGUCUGAUCCCAAUUACAUGACUUGUCGUGCAAUCCUCUCCACCACAAACGACAACGUUGACAAGAUAAACUUACGCAUGAUAGAUCGUUUUAAGGGUGAAGAAGUAAUAUACCAUAGUUUUGAUAGUGCACAGGACGACCCGUAUGGCUACUACGCUCCUGAGUUCCUGAACGGAUUGACCCCCAACGGGCUUCCUCCACAUGCACUCAAAUUGAAGCUGAACUUCCCUGUCAUACUUUUGAGGAACAUUGAUCCGGCUAAUGGACUAUGUAAUGGCACUAGGCUUGUUGUUCGAGGUUUCGAGAGGAACGCCAUUGAUGCAGAAAUCAUGAUUGGACAACAUGCUGGUAGGAGGGUAUUACUUCCUCGGAUACCCCUAUGCCCAUCUGACAACGACAUGUUUCCAUUCAAGUUCAAGAGGAAGCAAUUUCCUUUAAGGCUUAGCUUUGCUAUGACAAUUAACAAGGCGUAAGGACAGACCAUCCCGAUUGUCGGUGUGUACCUACCUAACCCGGUGUUCUCUCAUGGUCAACUUUAUGUCGCGCUGUCUCGAGCCACCGCGAAGAGAAACAUAAAGAUCCUCAUUGAGAAGGAGAAGGACAAGGGAAAGAAACAGACCAAUAAAUCAAAUAAGCGAAAAAGACCCACGCUAUGCUUACAAAGGACGAUGAAGAAUAUCGUCUACAAGGAAGUCCUUACAAGCUGAAGUUUAAUGUUUCUGUGCUUUUCUCUUAUUUCUCCUUUCCGUUUUAUUUUCAUAUAUUGUUAGUGCAUUUAGAUUUCAUGAAAAAAAUUAGUCAAUAAUUAUCUAAUGUGUAUGCUGCUGCACUAACUUUCAUGAUUAAAAAGUUAUCAAUUGUGAUUAAAUAGUUCUGAUUGAGCAUAUAAUUCAAAGAAUGGUCGAGUCAAAGCGGAAGAGUGCCAAUGCACUAGGUUAGGGAGAAGGUGUGACCUGUGUAGAAAAUUUACAUCGUUAUAGAAUCCAUGCACAUAUCUUCUCCCGAAAAUGACUUUUUUGUAAUGAACCCAAUGGAGGAGUAACCUGAUAGAGCCAACGGUAAUUGUUAUUUGCUUAUAGAUAAUUUAUCACAAGAAACUAAAAACUUAGGCUGCGCAUGUGUUUAACCCAAGCAUGCACAUCAAACUGACUUUGCACCAUGUUCAGCCAUCUCAUAGCGAAGUAUUAUUUCAGUACCUCAACACCUGCAGUUUUUACCAUAAAAAACCUCAUAGUACAAAAGCACGAGAAAAAAAACUUUUGAAGGAGAAUGUUCAUAGGAAGAGUCUAUUGUAGCAUGUGCAAACUGUACUUCCUAUUAUACCAUGGUGUUCACAGUAAUGUUUUUAAUGCAUUUCUUAUGUUAUGUAUAAUAUGUUACGAUUAGCGUUCUCAGCAAUUCAUUGAAGGAUGUAAACUAAGAAGUCAAAUGCAUAUAAGAUAUAACAGUAGUCACGUUAUGUGAAGGAAACUGACUGGGAGUGACCAACCUUACCUCAGGUAACUUCAAUGAUGUAUAACUUGUGAAUGUGUGAACCUCUUAUGCCUUGAAUCUUCCAUACAAGCAAUAUAAAAGAGGAUUGUGGUUGCCAAUCCAAUCAUCUGCAGCGGACAAAGUUUUGUGAAAGUAGGCUAGCAUUUUGUAUAUGGUUAAAAUACUUUGUCCCUUAAUAACAUGAAUAAACUGUGAUAUUUAAUUAUUCAUAGAAAUAUAUGUGAGCAUCUUAUUAAAUGAAUAAUACUCUUAAGGCAAGAAUAAUAAUUUAUGAUGCUGAUCGUACGUGGAGAAUACAGAGAUUGGCCAUGUAGUCUUCAUUGCCUAAUAGGUUAUCAAUUUUAUUUUCGGCGGCUUCGUGAAGAUGGGUCAGAUAUGUUACUUCAGCAAAUUAACCUUCCUAACUAAAAUACAGUACACCACUCAUUUCAGAUUUCCACCACAAUAUUGGCAAACAUCGCUUGCAGCUUUGUGAUCAUCGGUUACCGUAUUUUAGUUACAUGAACAUAGGUUAAUUCCAAAUGUUUUCAUCAGUGGAAUACAAUGCAAGAAUUCCAUUCCCAAAAUGUUGGACAAUUUUUUUUGCUAUAUAUCAACUAUGCAUAAUACACUAAUGAGUGCAACAGUCUGACAGAUGGACGAGACCGAUGAGAUACACUAUCAAGAACAAACUAUUUUAAUUCUCUAACGAAGUAUGAAUAGAGAAAUUAUAGCCAGACAACUUAUCGUAAGCAUGAUCUCCCACAUGGCAAAAUCAUUAACUCCUUCUGAUAAGACCAGCCAAAAAGCAUAGACAGAUGCCAAGAAAACGCCAAUCUACAUAAAUUCCUUGCAAAGCAACAGAAAAUACUGAUCAAUUACUGGUUAGUCUCAUCCAGAUAGAAGGACACAAAUGUGUGCACUGCUGAACCUAAUAUUGAAUUCAAAGAGGAUACAUGACGCAACAAAGCGACUUCAUUACCAUAUAUCAAUGUGUGCACCGCCGACAAAACAAUCACGAUUUAUUCAUGAAGCUUGAAUAAAUUUUCAAGUGUCUGCUAUAACUAUUUUUUAAAGGUGGAUAAUAAAUCUUUAAAUGUUUGAAUCUGGUACCAUAAAAAUUAAAUCUUCUACACUUGGAAAGAGAUAUCGCAUUCAUUAUAAAACACACAAUUAAUGAUAGACUACGUUGACUACUUAUCACAUGGUAUUGUGGAUGUGCCAGAUAUAUUUUAUCAUGAUAUCUAGAAAGGAUAUUAAUUAAAACAUGCAAUUAAUGAUACAAUCUGGUGCUUCCAUCUAUACAAAUCAUUCAUUGAUGUACAACUGGAAAGUCUUAUAGCAAUUUUGGUGCAUAAUCAUAUAUAGAAAACAUGAGAUGCAUCAAUAUUUUGAUACAAUCUGCAACUUCCAUAUAUACAGAAUUUCCCCGCAGUCCUUUAGGCUUCCAAAAAUGCCCAUCACCACUAUAUAUAUAAGUCUCCAUCAUUGUACAUAGGAUCAUCUCCUCUUUGACACCCUCUCCUCCACGAUUAUGGUAAUCUCAUACAGGUUGACGACCUCAAGGAGAGUGAUGGCGUCGCCAUCAUUUCCUGUCAUCCCUCGUCCCAUCACCCCCCAAUUAACAGGCAUGAAAAAAUUGAGCUGCUUGUACGUCAGUUUGCCAACACCGCUGAAUUUUGUUUGUCGUUCAUGAGGUUUAUUCUAUACACAGGAACUUGACAUUUCGUCACGUCGAGAUGGAGCAUAUAUACCAGAAUUGUUGGACCAUUCGUGCAAUGGUCCAAUGGAAGGCACAAAUCAAAGUGAAUUCCAUGGGAAACAUAUACCUUCAAUGCAUACUACUGGAUCAGGAAGUAAGGCAUUGCUCAUCACUAUUUCAUAGCAUAUAUUUUGUUGUACACAUUUGAUAAACGAUUUUAUUUGCUAAUUAUGUUGAUGAUUCGUAUAUUGCUUUAGGGGACAAAAAUGGAAGCCAUUGCGUUCAACAAUCAAGUUGUUCGUUUCAACACCAUUCUUCAAACCGGCAUGUCCUAUGAAUUCACUCGUGUAGGAUUUAACCCCACUGAAAUGGCAGUUGUACAUUUCUUGUAUCUAGACAUGGAGUUUAUCAUGACACUAGAUAGUAGGACUGUGGUUAUGAUUUCGGCGCACAGGAUAUCAACGGCAAUUUGUCCAUUGUGUUUCCCACAAUUUGGGGCCAUCUACUCACUACAAGACAAACGCAUAACUGGUGCAUUUUUUAUCUUUGUUCUUGCAUAUUUUGUUAUAGAACUCAGGGUCUCAUUCUGAUUAAAUCUUCGCAGAUGUUAUUGCUAUUGUUGCCUAUGUUAGUAAGAUACAAACUCUAUGGGAUCCAAUAUAUGAUAGACAUGUCCCUUUGCUCGAAAUUGGCCUCAUGAACUUUCGGUGAGAGUCGUUUAUAAUAUGAGAUUUACAUAUGCUUUUUUGAGUUAAUUGUUGCAAACAUAAACUAAAAUUUGUUUUUGUCUGUAGACGUCAGAUAAUUUUCCUACGCAUAUAUGACGAGCACGUUGGCCGUCAAUUUGACCAUUUGCGACGCAGCGUAAAUCAGUUCGAAAAAAUAUCAAUUACUUACAUACAAUUUAAUCGAAGGCGUCAAUGCUUGCAAACUAUGCGGGAGAGCACGUUCACCUAUUCUCCUAAUAUUGAUCAUGAGGGUCAUCAUCUACAAGGCAGGUGUUGCGUACUAUUUCAAAUUUUUGUCUUUAUAUUUUCUUGUACAAUACUAUGUCAUUAAUAUCACUGACACUUAUUUUUAUUUGUAGAUAUCCAUGAAGCCAGUCUCAUGACACUUGACGAAACACGUGCCUAUGUCAACAAUAUUGUCAUGGCUAGGAACAAUGGACUCUAGAAUUAUCUUCGUGUACUCAUUAUCACAUUUCUUCAUUGAUGUAAAAAGUCAAUCGAAAUUGUGAGUUAGGCAUCUCGUUGCCAAGUGUCUUCAUGUCUUAUCUUAUGUAAUAUAAUCUUAUGUAAUAAAAAUGUAUGAUAUUCAAUAAAAAAAUCUUUGUGUGGUAUGUGUUUUGUGCAUUCAAUAUUUUGGUUGGGAAAACCUGAGAUAAGAAAACUUGCCUAUAAAUGAUCGACCGAUAAAAUCGAUAAAUCGGACGAUAAGCCGAUUUAUCUCUUAAUCGUGUGUCGACCGAUAAGUUAACGAUAAUAGACAUCCUAAACAGGUGUAAUAAAUGUACGAUAUUCAAUAAAACAAAUCUGUGUGUAGUAGGUGUUUUGGGCAUGCAAUAUUUCGGAACCAACAUCUAUGUCAGGAAGGAUAUCAAUUACCGUAGACAGACUUAAUGCCUCUUGAUUUUAAGGUAAGGUCAAUCAAUAGUUUGUUUAUUAUUUGGAAGUCAAAUAAAUUUCUAUUCCAAGUUAUGUGUCAAUCAGGAUCACAACCCUUCAUAUAAUAUCCAUUCGGUCCUAUUUCAACGCCCAGCUCUGUCCUCACAAAUUUCUGAGCACACAACACUAUAUUUUCACCAAUGGAUGGUGUGCCGGCACCCCAAGAGGCUGUCCACGCACCAGUGGAUGUUCAGCUCCAAAUGCACGAGGCAUUGCCUGCCCCACUAGCGGAUGCAUACAACGUGCAUGUCGUAGAAGAUGCUGUCGACUACAUAUUUCAAUGGAUCAUAGACGCACAAGAAGAUGAGGCAUUAAAGUAAGUUAUCUUUUCUCCAUGUUUUGUUGUAGACCAUGCUGUAUUACUCUCCUACACAACAGGAUAAAUAUAUGUUCUGUUUUUGUGAGUUGAAUCAUUCGAUAGUUUGAAUUAACCACGAUAUUUUAGAUGUGUCCAGCUCACAGCUGUUACCCAUAAGUAUGUGCUUAGUUGUGUGCUAUAUUACUUUUGUAAGCGCGCUUUGUAACAACCAGAUCAAAGCAAUAAGCAAAAUAAGCCAAGCUGGACACACCCCUAUCGCCAAACAAAUAUUGAUGAAGAAAAUGUUUCAUACCAAAUAUACUUUUUUCAUAAAUAACAAAGUAUAUUUAUAUUGUAGGUAUGGGGAAUUCAAAAAGCAAAACUUAUAUAAUUCUGUUAUUUUCAUGUUAUUAUCAUUAAGCUAACUUUGGUAUAAAACAGUGUAAUGUUUGUUCAUCCACCAAAUUUUAAUGAAUGUUUAUUUUCUCCUAUUGGCUAACAUUGUUUGGAUUUAUUUGUGGUACCCUAAUGUAGAACAGUACAUUUUUUUAUCUGUGAUACAUGUGGCCAUGUUUUUUUAGACAACUAAUAGAUUGUUACAUUAAAAAAAGAGCUACCAGAUUAUGACACAUUAUUUAGCAGAUUUUCAAUGGAAGCAACUAUUUCACUUAUCUUUGCUUUCAAUCAAUCGUCUUUAUUUAUUCACGAUUAUCAUAUUUUUGGAUAAAGUUAUAUUUUCAAAAUAAGUUCGUUACAAUAUCCUAAUGGUGAUGCAGAUAUAUGUGGAUGUUUUUUUAUUAAAAGUUGUUCUGCUUAUUUUUGGUAGCACAAUAUGGAUAAGAAGCGCACGACCAUACCAUAUCGAGAUCAGCCUACGGGUCAUCCGGGAAACAAUUUGUCUUCAUGGACAAGUUCAUCCUGAUUGCUUCAAUAUCGUAGUUCGUAAACUCGCCAGCGCUGAAGUGGAGACCACUGCAGGCACAAGGAUGUUUGGAAAGAAACAUUUCUUUGACCUGCGGUUCCAUUCUCAGGCACGGGCUCUGAGACACUCUUGGACGGAACAAGGUCCCCGCACCACGGCUCUGAUUGACAAUGCUAUUGUCGAGCCGUUUCCUAAAUAUGAUGUGUUCAACUCUACAAUUGUAAGAGACUGUUGGUAAUUCCUAUCUUAAAAUUUAAUUUUAUUAUUAUAUUAACAGUUAACAUGUGUCUAUCUACUGCAUCUUCCACGGUAUCUACUACCAUUUACUUGUGUGGAUUCAAACUACGCACUACUUGUAGUCAAUAUGGAGUGUGGGAGGUUUGUCCAUUUUGAUCCAGCCAUCGACAUCUAUAGUCGUGGAAUUAGUUUUCAUAACAGUGAGUUGAUGAAGGAAAUCACAAUGUUGAAGGAAGAAUUCAACAAUGUGUUCCAUAUGAGGAUUCCUGAUUGGAAUACCCAACUCAUGGAAUGGCCUGCUGAUGGCAUAUCUUGUACUGCCAGACGGUAAUAUACUAAAGCAGAUCACUUACAGUAUGAGCACAUUUAUAUAGUUUUUAAUAUAUACAGUUUUUAACAGCAAAGACUCCGCUUUUCAAGUGCUACAAGAGAUGGCCCACCAGACUGGUACAACGGCGUCGAUGAGGUGUAAAACAGACGUAAGUACAUAAUAAAUAGGUUUAGUGUGCAAUUUAUUUUCUAGACAUUUAUUCCAUUAUGUUUUUUUGCAUCUUUUAUAGGAUUCAAUACAGCUCAGGAAGCAACUCAUGAUCCAGAUGCUGACGAUCAAACAUAGUGAAGCGGCUGGAAACAUCCCGGUUGAAAUUAGAGAAGCCUUGAGGGUCAUAACAGACUGACUAUGGACUGAUGGGUCUAAAAAUUACCGCAAAUAAAUCUGCAAUACAUCUUUUUUAGGUGUCUGCUUCACAAUUAUCUAUUUGGCAAUACGAAUAAUUAGUUGAUAUAUUUGGUUAUCUAUUCAUUUUGUUUUACUGAUAUAUUUAAAACUCUAAAUAUCAAGUCUUGGUCUAUGUAUGAUGUUUUAGUGGUAUUGGCAUCCACUAGCUUUGUAUUACCUACAAAUUUUUAUUGGGUUGGUGUCAUACCAAACCGGUUUGGUAGUACUCAUAAACCGUAUUCAUUUUGUAUUGGACCAUGCCAGGUUCACAUGAUUCUACAAGAGCAGCCAGUUGUCGGUGUACACGCACUAGUAUCGUGGCUCGCAUCCUAUACUGAUUCGUAUCGUAUAACUUCAUCCAUACACACACUGGUAUAUGAUACAAGGUUUACUUUGUCGAAUAUCAACCCAUACAAGCUACGGAAUAUUGAACUUAAAGAUAUGAUGGUUGUAAGUCAUGUACCUUGCAUUGCCUUUAAUCUUCAAGUAUCUUCACAUGUUUGCACAUGAUCCAAAAUCUAUAUCAGGAUCAUGAUAUUCCCAACUACGUGAUUGUUCACUUUUACGUUGACCUGAAUGGAAUAACCAAAUUAAAUGAAAAUGUGUUUUAUUCUUGACUACAUAAAGUAGAAGAUGAUACGAACAUUUAUCAACCAACAGGGAGGAGGAAGAAAUUUAUUAUUAAGCUACUAUAAAGGAGAUACAUAUUCUUUUAAUAAGCCAAUUGUGAUCAGGCAAUAUUUUGUGUUCUAUGUAUGAAGCAUGUUUUUCACUCAUCUAUUACCACUAUUACGAGACAAAACUUUGAGAAGUACCAUUAGAUUAUCCAACACCUUCUAUAACCUAAGAAUAUAAGGUAUUAUGUAUGAAGUUUAAUACUAAUGAUACAGAGAUAAAAUGGACAAGUGCGAGGCUACCGAAUAACAAGUUAAAAAUUGAUAUAUGCAUGGGAGUAUGGAUCGAGAAAUUUGAAACCUGAGAAAGAAGGUCUAUGAUUUAACAUGUAAAAAUAAAGAAUAAUAGAAAUCUCGAUAAAUACAACUUGUCAUGCUACUACUUAUCUUAUGAUUUAAGCAUAUGCAUCCAUUUAUAGAAUCAACCUGUACCAAAGUAAAAUCAUAUGCUUGAGAUAACUUGGCAGAGUAUAAACAGAGUAGAAUUCAUAUGCUUGAAAUUGAAUUAGAGCAGAACUAAGUUACUAAAUAACCUACCCGUUUGACUAUGACAUUGUUGGCAUCCUCUUUAGCCACUUCUUACUUUAGUAAUGUACUAAGAUCAUGGCAUAUUUUCAAAGAUAAUACUAUCUAUCCAAACCAAACAAGAAAACACUUCAUUACAACGGGGAAUAAUUAGGGACAAUUUCACUAUGUAAAAUGCAUUGAUAAAUUUAAAAAUAGUUAUCACAGAAAAUUAAACGCCGUGCGUUGCCAUGGGCUUUCAGAAAAUAAAUAAGAUGUUACUAACUGAGUUAACCAAGAACAAUGCUGACUAAGCUAACACACAUCUUUUUUAUAUAAUCAGCUAACACAUAUCAUACUAUGAAACACAAUAAUCUUAGAGCACCUAUAGCCGGUCCCCUCAAAUCCUGCUCAAACGUCCACGGAAACUAACCAGUGGAGAAAUAUGUAUAGAGAGACAUGGGUGAGAAAGGGGCAGGCACCAUUCACUAUGUGACAUAUUAGUGUAACAAGCAUCGGUAUUAUAUACCUUGAAAUGUACAAGUACAAGGCCACAUUGCAGACCACCCAAAUAGGUUACAAUCACUAUAUUGAGAUGAUAAAGCAAAAGAACAACCAGUGAGCUUACUUAAAGUACCGUUGAUUUACAAAUUACUAACCAAUGGAGUCAUCCAGACUCAAAUGUAUCCUGACAACACCAUGGAGCAUCAGGUUGGAGCGGUUUAUUUUCUGUGAUAAUAUAUCUUCCAUUCCUGUAGUAAUAAAGUAUGAACAAUGAUUAGAGAUUAAAUAAAAAAAGAUAGAAAGACACAGUUACGAUAAAUCUUGCAUUCACACUUCAUGUAGCAUACUUAGCAUACAUAAAUUAUUUUUCUACACGGCACAGAAUAUAGUAAGUAGUUAUCUACCAGCUUUGCUUCUAAUGAAUCCAUAGUGUGUAGGGUUUAUAGCUAAUGCAAGAGCAAACAAUUGAGAACCAUAUAGCUAGAUCAAGCAAUUAUAUAUUUGAACCAUGUAUAAAUUUGACAUGAGAAUUGCUUGACACCUGAAAAUGCCAACAAUUUUGAGCUUUAAUUUGAAAGGACCCAAAGCUGAUAGAUCACUCAGUAAAUAACUCUGAAAUAUAUCACCUGCAUACCGUAAGUAUGAAUGGAAUUUGUCAAAAUAAUUCUGAAAUAUUUCAGCUUUAUAUAUACCACUUUAGGAGUAUAGAUAUGUUAGUAUGUAUGGAAUUAAUGAGAAGUUCUUUAUUUAAUUAUGAUAAUUUGAUUCUAUAGUAAGUUCAGAUUGGUUGACAUCUUUCUAAUUUAUUAACAGGUGUGCAAUCAAUGGAAAAAGGAAACAAAUCUACACCAUACAAGAAUCAAAUUUAUUAACAGGUGUGAAAUCGUUGGAAAAAGGAAAAAGAUACGACAUACAAGAAUAUAUGGUAGAAUUUGAAUACGCCAGGAUGUGCUACCCAGUGGCCCUCCGCUUUGCCUACCUAUAUAGAUAACCUCCUCUGUCAUCCUUCUUCCCCCUCCUUGUUCUCCCUUCGCCCAUCACAUAUAGCAAAGGAUAUAUCAAAGGAUCAAAACAGACAAGGCUGGAUGGUAAAUUGAGGAGGAGUACAUUGCGUAAUCAAGGAGCAUCAAGAAGUCGAGUUCCUCUAGGUAUGAACUUUCCUAGAUCUUUCACUUUUCUAAAAGUUGAGUAUUUAUUAGAUUAUGAUCAUCUGGUUCAGGUUCACUAUCAAAUUGCAAAUGAAGAAUGGCAGUGGAGAUACUGCCAACUAAUCAAAACCUAACCAAGCUAACCUAUUAGGUGGGUUAUAGCUCACAACAUGUAUUCCCAAGGCAGGUCAAAAAAUAUGUAUUCCCAAGUAGCCUCAUUAGAAAUAAUAAUAUUACAAGGUGCCAACUAUCACAAAUAUAUACAUUAACUUGGAUCUCAGUGACUAAUGAGUAAGGCGGCGGUGGGAACAAUAAGCAGGGAAAGGAAGAAGGCAAUUGCAAUGGAGGGGGGAGGAAUACAAACCAUGAGGAGGAGAUAUUGAGCAGCAUGUCGAUGACCUUCGAAUGAACAUCUCCAUCAGAUCCUCCUUGGUGCCUGCGGCAACCAAUCCUCAAACAAUUCAUAACCAUCAGCACAAAUACUGACCAUAUCGAAUUCAGCCUCUGAACAAAUUUUAUGAGGCUGCAGAGACCAGGACAGCAAGAUAUACGUAUGGGCUGGCAGUGGUAGGUGACUUACUGAUGGCAGGCGGUCUGGAUGACGGCGAGGACAGCACGUAGGGGUUGGAGCCCGUGGUCGCCACGACCGGCGGCGUCGGUGGCCGCGCCAGGUCAUCCGAGGACAUGCGAGGGUACGCCAACGGCGGCGCGACUGCCGUGUGGGCUUCGGGCUUGCAGUCCAUGUGCGCUCGGCCUCCAGUGGGCAUAGUUGACGGCUGUAAGAGAGACGUGGUGGUCGGGGUAGUGACACGGGCACGCAAUAAAGCACGUGAGACACGCAUGGAUCUAGAAUCCAGGUCAUGGAAAUCGAUCAACCUCCACUGGUAGAGUAGAAGGAGGAGGAGGGAAAUGACGGCGACCUCUCCGUCGCCGCCGGCGCCACCGUGGUGGAGAGGAUUGGAGGGGAGGGGAGACGAGGGGCGUCUGCAUCUAGAAGCCAGGCCAUGUAAAUCGACCGGCCUCCAUCGGUAGAGUAGAAGGAGGAGCAGGGAAAUCACGAAUACCUCUCCGUCACCGCCGGCGCCACCGUGGGGGAGAAGAUUGGAGGGGAGGGGAGACGAGGGGCGUCUGCAUCUAGAAGCCAGGCCAUGUAAAUCGACCGGCCUCCACCGGUAUAGUAUAAGGAGGAGCAGGUAAAUCACGAAUACCUCUCCGUCGCUGCCGGCGCUUCCGUGGGGGAGAAGAUUGGAGGGGAAGGGAGACGAGGGGCGGUUGGAUCUAGAAGCCAGGCCAUGGAAAUCGACCGUGCUUCACCGACAAAGUAGAAGGAGUAGGAGGGAAAUCACGGAUACCUCUCUGUCGCUGCCGACGCCACCGUGGGGGAGAGGAUUGGAGGGGAAGGGAGACGAGGGGCGGUUGGAUCUAGAAGCCAGUCCAUGGAAAUCGUCCGGCUUCGACCGGCAGAGUAGAAGGAGGAAGAUGGAAAUCAUGGAGACCUCUCCGUCGCUGCCGGCGCCACCGUGGGGGAGAGUAUUGGAGGGGAGGGGAGGGGAGGGGGUCGGGUGUGUCCGCAUUUGGCCGACGGCGAAUGGGUGGAGGGGAAGGGAUGAGAGGGGACGGUGGUGGGAGACGAAGGGAGUGCAGUGGGUCGAGUGAGGCAAGGAGUGGAUAGAGUUCGACUGGAAACUGAGAGAGUGAGUUUGUUUAGCCAAAUGGAGAGAGUGAGGUUAAGGGAGAUCGGCCUGGUUGGGCCGUGCGGUAUAUUGGGUCAAGGUUGGGCCCUGCUGGAUAGUCAAUUUUCAACUUAGCUAUAUCAAAAAUGCUUAAAAUGUUUUAAAAAAUAAAAAUGCCUAAAAAAAAUCUAUGAAAAAAUAUAUAUAUUAAAAGUUGUUUAAAAAACAUGUAUAUUAUAGUUGGAUCAUACAAAUCAAUUUUUAUACUUAUUAGAUAUAUUCAUAGUAUCAACAAAAAACACAAUUUUGAAAGAAUAAGCCGAAUAUACUUGGUUUAUGUUGUAUCGCUUAGCCUAUAUAAAUAUAUUUAAAUGAUUUAAGAAAUUUCAGAAGACUGCUUAUUUAAAUAUGAACAUUAUAGUUGGUUGUUUGCUGAAAUAGAAAUGCAAUGUAUUUUUUAAUAAUAUGAAAAAGCAUUGUUUGUUUAUACAAAAUAAAACCGCUGUGUUAGUUUCAGUUUUAUUAUAUAAUAUGUUUAUAUGAUGCAAUAUAAAAUAUCAUUUAUAUUUCAUUGGAGAUAGAAAGUGAUGGGUUCUACUGAUGUAACGAUGAUGGACCAGACUGAAGCAUCACGAGAAGAGGUGCAUAUAGUUAAUCCUUUUUCGUAUGUAUGUUACUCAUGAUAAUACAAAAGAUUUAUUAGUUUAUAUUAAUAUUUUCAGAAUAUAGGAGACAUAGAUAUGGAUUUUGGAGAUGCACAAAAAGAAUCCAUCGACAUGGCUUCUGAUGCGGCAUAUCUAAAAGGGGCCGAGAAUCGAUCAAUUUCUUUACAAAACAAUGACGUGGAACUAAUGAUAUCUCAUAAAAAACCAAAAAGUAAUGCCAAUUUGAAUAUUACCACACAAGGUAUUUGUUCCUGUAAUUGACAACUAGGUACUCGCACGUGGCAACUAUAUAAACGCACAUAUGCACAUCCGACCCCAAUAAGCACCUUCGAGAGCUGAGCCAGCAUAUCAUUUUAAGAUGUACAAAAUCAUCAUAGACGCUACAUCAUCGAUGGAAACGUAUCCUCCCACUAAAUACGCAUCGACAAAAAUCCUAAAACAGAUUCAGAGAUAAUACAGUACGAACAAUAAAACUUAAACCUUGUUAGACCGGAGAUAACAAUGUCUUCUAACCAUCCAAUCAUAAGUUGGUUCGUUAUUCAUCGCUGGUUCUUACUUGAUGUGGUAUCAACGUUUUCCUAUAUAUUUAUUUUUCACCAGAUUCAGCGGCCAUAAAAUGCCCUGAAUCAGUAUACCAACAAAAUAAAAUAAAAUUUUGAAUUCCUUUACAUCGGAUGUACAAACGAUCUCUGUCGUCAUCCCUCGGGCAUAUAAUCCUGCACCCUAGCUACUGCCGCCGGAGAUGGUCGAGCGCGAGCGCAAGCGUCGGCGCGAACCUUUCGACGUCGACGCGCACGUUCUGCUUGCCGAGGUAGAACUCGGCGACCUUGUCCCACCCGCUCCGGUGGACGGAAUCCGGGUCCUUGAUCGCGGGGUGGUCCGGCCCGAGCGUCUCCAGCAGCGUGCUCUCCUCCGCCUUGAUGCUGUACUGGAGGUACCGGAGCCCCAUGUCGGACGCGGGGUCGCCGAACUCCCGCUGCGCCAUCGGCUCCAGCUUGCCGUACGGCACCACCUGGAUCACCACCGCGCCCGGCGGCAGGAACGCCGCGUUGGUCAGCCCGGCGCCGUGCACGCCCAGCAGCACGUCGAACGAGUUCACGGACAUGGCCAGCUCCUUGACGCGCACGUUGAACCGCGGGUCCGCUAUGACCACCUCGAACCCGGCCUUCUCCGCCGCCUUGACGAUCUCCGGCACGUUCACGAGCUUCCGGUAGUGGCCCCGGUCGAGCAGCAUCAACCGCGGCUUCUUCUUCUUCCUGUCCACCGGCGGGCUGCUCCCCUUGGUCAGGCGGAUGGGAGCGGCGCGCGGCAGGGAGUAUGUCUCGCGGAGGAAGGCGGUGAAGUUAGCCAUGGAGAGCGGCACGCCGCCGGGGACAAGCUCAGGCACGAUGUCGAACUCCCUGUGCAUGUUGAGGCCGACGGUGACGCGCCGGAAGCACCUGAUCUGAUCGUCAUGGUCCAGGUCCACGACGUCGUACUUGGUCAGCCGCCGCACGACGGCCUCGUACUUGCCGAGCCACCAGGGCUGGAUGUUGCUGGCCAGGAGCUGGACCUCGCCGUGGUACCGCCGCGACGCCACGAACAGCGGCACCAGCGCGUCGCUGAAGUCGUGGAAGUAGUUGCCCAGGUGACCGCCGAGCCCGAUCACGAUGGCCGGGACGCGGUGCGUCACCGUGCACGCCGGCGCCGGGGACGCCGCGGACGUCGAGUCGAGCUGCGUCACCGUGAUGUUGGGGAUGCCGGUCAUGUUGUAGCGGGCGUAGGGCUGGAUGCUCCACUCCCGGCGCUCUGUUAGGGACGUGGCCGGCACCAGGGUGACGGUGUGCGCCGUGCCGUUGGUCCGGACGUCGCCGGAGACGUCGCAGGUGUAGGAGAAGGGGCUCGCUCUGCACACCACCUUGCCGUUGUCUGCUCAACAAAAAAGGACACCAUGGUUAGUCAGCUUCAUUGAGGAUUGAGCAUUUUUACUGAUCAACUGAAAUCAAUUAGAUGCAGGAAGAGAAAUGCAGUGGUCAUCUAAUUGUUUCAAAGAAACAACGAGAGUUCAUCACUUAAGCUAGCUCAGCCAGGAAUAACCCGUUGCUACCCUACUUAAAAUAGACAACCCGUGAACUAUUCUUUUUUAUUUCAGGAAGGCCCUAAAGUGCAGUCAAAUGACCUCAAUGAUUCUUGCAAAUCCUUUACUGAAUUGGCAGAGCAAGUGUUGUUUAUUUGUGAAAGUUGAACCUAGUAGUAUAAUAGAGAUGACACCAUCAAAUUUAUUUUCUGGCUCCACCCCUGCUUAUAAAAUAGUCAAACUAAGAACUAAAUUUUAUUUCGGGAAGUCUCUAAAGCGGUAAGAUAUGGUUUGGUAUCGUUAGGUCCAAAUACAAGAAACGUUUGCAACACAAAAAUCCGAAUGGUCCCUAAAGUGAUCUGGACUUUGCCAUGUGUCCCGUUGAAAAGUAUUUUCACAAUGAUGCGCUACCCUACACUUUGCGGCCAGGUCAUCAUCAAACAUGAAAAACAGGAAAGAAAAUCGUCGGCAUGUUACCGUUUACAAGGGGAAGGAAUUUGGUAUAGAUGACCUAGUAUAUAUACUAGUUUCAUCAAUAAAUUUGAUCCAAAUACCAGUACCACCACCAGUGACCACCGGAUACGUUACUAUACGUCCCAAACCUACUAAUAAUCGGAUCGGAUCAGCACAUUUAUGGUGAGCAAUCAGUGAGCAGACAGUAGGUACUCUACAUACGUCUGAAAGCCGAUCGAAUCGAAUCAAACCUUCUCUACAUUUUCUACCAGUAUCAAAUGCAUCAUCACAUCGCAUCAAAUCACAUUAAUUUUGCUUGUUUUAAAUCAGGGGAAGGAAUAUUUGGACACAUACCGAAGGGCUUGGCGGCACCGUCGUCUCUGUCUCUCUUCCCCACGCCGCGUGCGCGGUGCUCUGCUUUCGGCGGCCCUGCUUUUGGUGAGAGAAAACACAGCUGCCUUUCGUUCACUCAUUCCGUCCAUGCCGUGCCACCGACACCAAGAAGAAGAAAGAAAGAUAUUUGUGGUGCUUACCCUGUUGCCGCUGCCGCUGCCGCUGCUCUUGAGCUGGUCCGGCCUCCGCCGUCGCCUCUCCUCCUCGAUUCCGUUGCGUUAAUCCUGGUCAAUUUAGCAUAUGAUUCGAUCAGUCAGAGAGGGAGGCACGCAUCACUGUCUCCAAAGAACAAGCUGACUUCGUCGGAUUCUUUCUUUCCAGCGGCGAGGUAGUGCGGCAUUAAUGGUCUCCAGAGUCCGUACUUGAAAUUGGGGUGCUGGGAGUUACAGCAGGGGCAGGGGUGGUGGUGGUGGAUCCUAACCUGCUUCGCCGGCGCGACCGGAGGACUUGGUCGCCUGGUGCUUCUUCCGGUGCGGCGUCAUGGCGGAGACGGCUGCUGCAGAUGGACGAACACGGACGAACGAACGUAUCAAGGGAGGGGCAAGACCGGCAAGGAAUCUAGAACCGAGAGAAGAGCGAGCGAUGCGCCGGGCGGGAGCGAAGGCACGGCGGCUGUGUCGAUCACCGGGGAGUGCGUACGUACCGUCAGGGGAGGCGACGGCGAACUGCUGGGAGACGACGAAGUAGGCGAGGAGCACGAGGAGGAAGCCGGCGACGAAGCAUAGGUUGAGGUGCCGCUGCGCCCAGGCGCCCACCGUCAGCCCCUUCCCGGCAGACGCCGGCGCCGGCGCCGACUGCUUCUCCACGCUGACCAUCUCCUCCUCCGUCUACCGGCCGCGGCACGAGGUUCUUGCUCCCUUGAAUGAGCGGCGGACUGGCGUCGCUGGUUCACAUGGGAGAGAGCUGUAGAUGGCUAGGGACGGGACAGAUGGUGUGGCAUGCAGAUGCAGAUGCAGUGUGCGACUUUGGGUUGGGGUUCCCAAAGCUUCGGCGCCCGCUGGCUUUCUCCUCCAUCGAUCGGUGGCCAUUUUGUACCCAUCCGGCGGCCACCCGGGCGGCGCCUUUCGCACUUAACCCCCUACUACUACUACUACAGAGUACAUAGAACCCAACCCAACGGUUUGGUGAAUGAUGAGGAGCAAUUAAGUCGACCCUUGAGCGACCGGUGAGAGCAACUCUGGUGAGAGCAACUCUAGCAGACCCGUAAAAAAUUUACCCGUAAAACACAUUUGCGGUUUCACGAAGAUCGCGUUUGCGGGUUGAAAACAUAUGUGAUCGAACAGAACCCGUAUCAAAACCUGUAUAAUUUAAAAAAAACACUUUCGCGGAAAAAAUUACACAAACAUAGUUCAUCACAUGAUCAACAAACUACAAGCAUAGUUACACUACAUACUACGUUAAACUAGUAAUAGAGGGGUCGGCGCUCCGCCUCCUCGCGCACGCUCCGCUCCAGCGGGCUCCUCCUUCACCGGGACGAAGGCGAACGGCGCCGGCUCCUCCGGCUCCUCCUCGUCGUCCGACCACUCCCUCUUCACGGGAAGAAAGCCCAUGCCAGAGGACGAGGAGGAUCCGGCAUAGGAAGAUCUCGCGGAGGAGAAGGACGUGCUACGGCGGUCGUACUCCUCCAUCUCGCGGCGGUUGAAGCUCGCCGGCGGCGACAUCCUGCGGUCGGUCCACCUCCGGGCGUCGCGCUUCCUCGCGCCGUCCGUCCGGACGAGCCGCUCGCGCUCCGGGUCCCUCUCACGGUCGGAUCUGCUGCCGGAGCCGCGUCCGAAGCUCCACAUUCGGCCCCACAUGACGGCUGGAGGCGAGGCGGGUGGUCGCCGGCGGCGAGAAAUGUGGAGAAAGGAAAGGGGAAUCGGGUGGCUCGCGGCGGCGGGGCGAUAGGGUUUGGACCCGCAAAAUGGUCGCGGAACCGCAGUUAUACUGCUCGGGGCGUGCGGUUUAUGUGCUACGGUAAAAAAAUGUGCGGACCGGGCGAGUAUGCGGGCUCUGUUCUAACCGAAAAAUUAGGUCGAGUCCGCAUACUAGCCGGAAUUUUUAGGGACCGGACGUUUUGCGGGAUGUGCUAGAGUUGCUAUAAGGAACAAUAACUAUUAUUAGAAAGCAACAAUCCUUAACACGGGCAUCAAGCCCGAGUGAGCACAUGAUUCUAUCGUAGAGAUCAGUUUGUCCUUGUCUCAGCACCAUCAUUCAGACUGGACCUGCCACGAGUGUUAGAUCUAUCAACCAGAAUGGUCAUAUCCCGCACCAUCGUCCUAACACCAGCCUGAAAACCAUCUUCCUUACAUUUAAAUUCUACUACUAUAAAGUCGCACAAAUUCAUAUUAGUAUCACUAUACUGUUUCUUAGAGGAUGCGGUUUAGCGGAUUUGCUAAAGAUGCCAUGAGCCUCCUCUCCCCGCGCUAGACACGCAUAUGUUCCUCCCCAACCAUCCCGACCGUGACGGCAAUGAUGAGUAUACAGUAUACAUGAUCCGUAAUGCCCAAGGGACGGAUUUCACCAACUGGCGAGGUGAUAUGUGAAAAAACAUAGUAGUUUUUCCAAUGCUAAUAAGCGCGUGCGGGCCCGGAUACUGCCCGGGUCAUGCGUUUCUUUUAGCAUAACGAAGGGGCUGUUGAUCUGUCAUUCGGCUUGAUAGAAACAAAACAUGCAUGUCGUAAGCUAAACCAGCAGCUCUUGCAUCAGACAAAAAACCUUACGGCUGUGGGUCACUUGGCUUAGGUUAAUCUACAUGUCUGAUCACACUUGGAAGCACAGUUGGAAGCUGCUGCCUGGGGUCCAUGAACCCUUUUUUUUAGAUAUAAUCAGUGUGCCGAGACGCGGACAUGUGCAAGACGCAGAUGCAGACAUGUGCCCAAGUCCACCGACGAAGCCGAGGCUGGGAAAUGUUGUGAUGUGCAAAGCGUGGUGCGUGAAGACGUUCCUCCUCCCCGCGUUCGAUCAGGUUAGAGCAAUUCCAACCGUUCGAUUCACUUUAUCAGCGCGUGUUUAUUUGGUUGCCGCGGACCAAAAAUAUAUAUCAAAUGUGUCUAUGUAAAUUAAAUUGUGUCCGUUACAUAUCCGUUAGGACUGAAAUUGGUGUGAGGGGACUCAAACCAAACCCAGCACGUUGGGGGCGUUAGAGGCGCUGGGGAAAGGAAUUCNNNNNNNNNNNNNNNNNNNNNNNNNNNNNNNNNNNNNNNNNNNNNNNNNNNNNNNNNNNNNNNNNNNNNNNNNNNNNNNNNNNNNNNNNNNNNNNNNNNNAGACAAGCCUCCGAAGUCUUCGAGGUGUACUCCAUCGAUCGCAAUCCCUAUUCGACGCUCGUGAGCGUCAAAAGGGGGCACGCAGCUUCGCUCAAGCUUGAUCUYAMRUWCGUCGWSGCUSGUUCGUUUCSUUUCUUUSUUUCUUUUUUGUCUUUUCUUUUCUUCUUUCCUUUUUAUUCUUUCCUUUUCUGCUUCUGUUUCUUUUUUUAUUUUAUUUCCUUUUUCAUGCAUAAUGAAAGGUUCAUUCUUCUUUGGAAAAAGAGUUCAUUCCGUGUUUAUACACAAAAAUGUUCAUCUUAUUCCAAACAAAAAAAUGUUCAACUUAUAUUUAACGAGUCUUCACCCCAUAUUACGAAAAUGCUUAACUUAUUUUUAAAUUUGCUCAUUGUGUAUGCUAAAAUUGUUCAGCGCAUAUCACAAAAUUGUUCAAUGUGUAUUUAAAUAUUUGUUUCAUCUUAUGUCACAAAAAUGUUCAAUGUGUACUUAAAUAAUGUUCGCAUUGUAUAAAAAUAUGUUUGAAGAUUGUUCAGAGCAUAUUAAAAUGUUUAUCGUACAAAAGUUUCAACAAUCUUUUGGAAUUUUAAAAGUGUGUUCACAUUUUUCAAACGUUUGUUCACUGUAUGUAAAAAAAUGUCCAUUGCCUAUACGAGAAUUGUUCAGUGUGGAAAAAAUAGUUCACCAUAUAUUAAAAAAUGUUCAGUUGAUAUUUGAGUAAAGUUCACCAUAUACUAAAAACGUUCAAUAUGAAGUUUUAAAUUCAUUCUAUUAAAAUAUUGUUUGGAAUUUUCACCUUAUUUACAUUGUGUCUUGUUCUUAUAGUGGUGCACUGCAAUGUCGACACAGAAGAGCAUCAGCUCGACUAGUUAUACUCGCAUGCGUGUAACGAGAGGUCCCAAGUUGGAUUUUGCCGGUCAUUUGUUUUUGGUAUAUUUUGGCGGUUCGAGAUGUAAUGGGCCAGCCCAAUUUAGGGAGUCCGGAACUAAGGGGUCCUCUAUCGGUUAGCUCAUCCCUUAUAGGCCGAUCAUAUGGACCGCGUUGUUGAAGAUCAGAUUGUGUGACGACCUCAUGCUUGAGAAAGAAUGUUCCGAAGACUGUCAUGUCAUCCAAGCAAAGUAGUCUAGAUCGUCCUAUCUGUCCCCUGCUGGAGGUCGUUUGUAUGUAACCCUAGGAACCCCUGGUGUCUAUAUGAACCAGAAGUUCUCAUCCGCAUUGGAAGGUUGAUUAAUAUAGGGUUUAGCUCAUACGAUCUCAGAGAGAUCAACUCUGUAAUUCUCAUCCACAUCAAUAUAAUCGAACAGGACGUAGGGUUUUACCUCAUCAAGAGGGCCCGGACCUGGGUAAAACAAUGUCUCCUUCUUCUCGUGUAACCUAUCGAUCCAUGGUCCACAGAUCGGGACCCCCUACCUGAGAUCCGCCAGUUUUAACACCAGUAUUGAUGAUUUCAUUGAGAGUUCUGCUGUAGGAUCGCCAGAAGGAUCGAUGGUUAGCUUAAUCAUCAGCAAUCGAAUCAGCAACGGGGACAUCUUCGUUCCCGGACAGGUUCUUGCGUUCGGCAGCUUCACACUGCGCGCCAACCCGACCGACUGUUUUGACCAGAUCGGAGGCUUCGUCUCGAGUCAGGAAAUAAGGUUUGGGAAUCUCGAAUUCUCCGCCGACUCGCGGGGCAAUCUGUUCCCCGCUAAGAUCACGGUUUCGUCCGAUGAGCUCCAAAAUCUCGAAGCCUUGACUUCGAGUCUCUUGUCGGGCCAUGACCUCGGUUCCCUCGUUGUCGAAGAGUUGGCCUUGAGCCCGAACCCGACCUAAGUGCGCGCGCAACAGCAAACGGUCAUUGCCGAACACGCAUCCCUAAAGUGGCAUUGAACUGCGACAGACGCGUCUUAUGGUACCGAGUCGUUACAUGGUGGCAAAGUGUGGUAGCUCCUUGCAAUUAACUCCAGGUGUCAGGAUCUAUUCGUCCGAUCAAUUUCCAUUUUUUUUCUUUAAUCUCUUCCUUUCCAUUUAAACAUAAUCAUAUAAAAUUGCAUGAUUGGUUGCGGGAGCAUCAAUAAGAAGAAUAUACGAAAGCGCAUGCUAAUACACAAAUAUCAUCGACCGGCCCUCCCGUGUCAAAUUUAAAGGUUGGUUGAAACAUGUGGUGCCGCCAUAGCUAUGCUUAUGCACGAAAAGUACCCAAUAAUCAAAAAUUAUAUGAUUUCAUAUCACGCUUACCACAAGUAAAACAGCAUAUAUUCACCACAACACAUUGUGCGCUGUGAGUAGAGGCAUGGCGAACUGCACAGGACAGAGUGUGCUUUUUAUUCGACUUCAUCUCCGACUAGAGCGUGUGGCAUGCCAUCGCCGACGGUCACCACGCGGACACCGGCCACCUCAGGCAUAGUUAUGCUUAUGAGGCUGUGUUGAGCAUGCUGCCACAGCCAGAGCCACAACCUGAACCAUGGCCACCAGAGUUGGCAUGGUUAGUCUCCCAUGAUCAUGCCACCACAUCCACCGCCACCGCACCCGGCGCCACAGCCUGAACCGCAGCCCCCAGACUUGGCAUGGCUCAUCUUGGAGCCUUCCAUGAUCAUGCGGCCACAUCCGCCGCCACCGCAGCCGGCACCACAGCCUGAACCACAGCCCCCAGACUUGGCGUGGCUCAUCUUGGAACCUUCCWUGACCAUGCCGUCACAACCGCCGCCACCGCAGCCGGCGCCACAGCCUGAACCACAGCCCCCAGACUUGGCAUGGCUCAUCCUGGAACCUUCCUUGACCAUGCCGUCACAAN